GAAGGAGCUGGUCUGCAGAUAAUGGGGAAGGGAGGUGUUUCACCUCCUGCAAAAUCCAUGGCCUUGGCUUGAUACUCCACGAGUGGACCAUCCAGAUACUCUCGAGCCGUAAAGGUGAUGUAAAGCUUCCACCCAUCUCCUGCUUUUAGAUUGCCUCUCACUAUACUUACAAAUUCCACAGACCUAAGUAAGUUACACACACGUUCAUCCUAUCUGUGAGAUUCUCAUCAAAUUAAAACAAAAUAAAAAUAUAUAUUUGAAUUGAUGAGUACUAACCUUCUCCUCGUUGAGUUUCUUAACACACAAGGAAGCAAUAUCCGCCAAAUAUUCCCUUGUUGUCAUGUUUCUAAAACGUUGUUCCAGAUCAGUAAGGGGAAAGAUGUACCUGAAUGGACCUUCUUCAUAAAAACCCUAAAAAAUCAAAUACGUAAAAGAUUAACAAAUUUAGAGGAUAACUCAAUGGAUAAAGAAUGGGCUACGUUACCUUAUUCUUCCAGGCCUGGAACUUAAAUUCGCGGAACUCUUCGUACUCCUCGUCGUUGGAGAAGCUUUCACGGUCCUCAGGGUCGUAGCAUUCGUAACCAUCGAAGCUGUCCUUGUCCCACUCCGGUUCCGGGUCUUGCAUGUUAAAAAAAUUAUUUCUAGGAGGUCUCACGACUCCUUCAUCAUAUCCUCUUCUGUCUCGACACUCAAUGCUUGUCGGCUGUCGGUAUCGCUUUCGUCUUCCAUGUUUCUGUCGUCUUCAUCUUCGACUUUCAGCUUUUUCGAGACAGAAGAGUCGGAUUCCUCCUCCGUCGAAGAUCGGUUCGGCGUCACAUCGUCGCUUGACAUCUUCAUCGAACAAACCCUAUAAAUAUCCCUCAGCAAACAUUAAAUCAGAGCCGUUCAACGAGUGUUGACUUUUCAGUCGUAGUUUAGAAUUAUAUUCAUCUUAAGCCUGUUCGGUUCAUUACAGGUCAGUAUGUUCAACCAAUCGAUACGUAUUGCAUGUCCUUUUCUCCUCAUUUUACCGUAAAGAAAUAAGAUUACUUUAUGUUUGCGUGUACAAACACCUCACAAACCUGCCAAGCUAAUCAAUCAGUACAAUAAAUAUCCAUUCUCAGUGACCUUGAUCUUUAAAAUGUCUCUUCUCUUUGAAUGAAUUAAAACACUUAGCACGAAAAAUCAGCACUCAGAAAUACUUUUGUUAAGGGAAAUAAUUAUCCUCUCAUAGUGAAUUGGUGAUAAUAAUACUAAGGACUCGGUUAGACUACUUGGAUGAGAGCUUUCAUUGUAUAGUCUCCUGAUGAAAACUUGCAUUAUCUAAAAACCUUCCAAAUACACAAGAGAAUGCCACAAGUUUAUUAGUCCAAUAAACAGAAACUUAUUAAUCAGCAACCUAACGUCGUAUGAGUUAAAUAAACACGACCGUGUUAUCUGACAAUAAUACAAAAAAGAAACCUACCUCGGACUCAGCUUCGAUCUUUGUGUUAUGCGGAGACCAGCAAAACAACAGACCAAUUUUGCAAUGAUUAAGAGUGAAUAUUUGAAUUCAGAAAGACAAUCAUCCAAAAAACUACAUAAAAAUAAUAAUAUUCCCAUAACUAAGAAAAUCACUUUUUGUUUACAUCCAUUCCUCCACAAAAAUUGACAAAAGCUCAUAAGUAAUUCCAAACAAAAUUAUCAGAGCUACUAAGUAGUUACACUGAAUAAUAAAGAAACCUUACGCAAGUCAUAGAUUAGGAUAUGCUAGAGGCUGGUCUGCAGAGAAUGGGAAAGGGAGGUUUUCUGCCUCCUGCAAAAUCGAUUGCCUUGGUGGCUUGAUACUCCACUAUAGGACCAUCCGGAUACUCUCGAGCCAUAAAGGUGAUGUACAGCUUAUACCCACCUCCUGGUUUUAGAUUGCUUCUCGCAAUGCUUACAACUUCCACAGACGAACCCUUAGUUAUUAAAACACACACACGCAUCUUAUCUGUAAGUAUCAUAUCAAAUUACAGAAGAAAAAAAAGGUUCAUAUUUGAUCAGAUCAGUGCACACCUUCUCCUCAUUGAGUUUCUUAACACAUAGGGAAGCAAUAUUUGUCAAAUAUUGCCUCCUAGUCGCGUUUACCCUGUCUGACCAAAGAUCUUCCAGAUCUAAAAUGGGGUAGACGGAUCUGAAUGGAUCUUCUAAAAACCCCUAAGAAAAUCAAAUACGAAAAUAAUAAAAAAAAUUUGUGUGGGAUAACAAAGAGGGGUCGUAACGUUACCCUAUUCUUCCAGGCCUGGAUCUUAUACUCGCGGAAGUCUUCGUACGCCUCGUCGUUGGGGAAGCCUUCACGGCCGUCAGGAUCGAAUACGCAUUCGUAACCAUCGUAACUGUCCUUAUCCCACUCCGGUUCCGGUUCUAUCAUGUUUGAAUAGUUAAUUGUCGGAGAUCUCUCGACGUCAUCUUCUUCUUCGUCGACACUCCAUAAGCCUUCGUUAUCGCUAUCGCUUUCCUCUUCCAUGCUUGUGUCGUAUUCAUCUUCGACACUCGUUUCCUCCUCCGUCGAAGCUAGUUUCGCCGUCUCAUCGUCGCUUUUCAUCGUCGCUGCAGAAUUAAACAAACCCUAAAAAUAUCUCUUGCAACAAUUUGAUUUGUGAGUCCUAGUAAAAGGCCCGAAAUGUCUUUACAGGCUUUAUUUUUUACAUGUUAAUUUACUUACGUGAGUGUACAUAUUAUUACGUUGCGUGUACAAAGACCUCACAAACCUGCCAAGCUAAUCAGUACAAUAACUCUCCAGUCUCAGUGACAUUGAUCUCUAAAAGGCAGUGUUUUUAAAACUGGACAGAACCGACCGGGUUGAACCAUAAACCAAAAAUAAUCUGGAUUGGGUUAAUACUAAAAUUAACCAGUUAAAAACACCUAUCGAACCGUCAAAAACCCAAAAACCGGCGACCCAAUGAAUCAGCCAAACUCCAGUUCGUAUAUAAACCAAAAUUUUGUUAGUGAAAGCUCUCAUAACAGCAUGAUCCUUUUAGCAGUGUUUUUAAAACCGGACCGGCUAGCGAACCGGAAAUUUUUGGGUCAUGGGUCAUUGUAGUUUAACCGGGUAUGAACCGGGUUCGGUCGGUUUACUUAGAUUAAACUAAAUUUAAUGAUAUUUUAUAAAUAAUAUGCAUAUUCUUUAAAAAAUAUACCAUAUCAAAUAAAAUGUUUAAAUAGCCAUAAUGUGUAGAAAAACUUAAAAAUAACAAUUAAAAUCUAAAAUCAAUAUGAAAAACACAUUUAAAUUUUAUUCGCAAAUCUUAUCACACUCUAAAUCUUCAUCACCUUUUAAAAGAAAAUUAUAUACACAUUAGGUAAAAUUUAUAUUUUGAAAUACAAAUUUCACAAACAUGAAAUAAAAUUUAAACACAGUGAGAACUAGACAAAAACAAUAUCUUGACGUGAAUAUUAAACUUUAUGAAUCUUAUAAUUUAUGAGUUGUAGAGACGGCAAAAGAAAAAAACGAUACUUUAUUGAUCUUUAAUAAAUCUUAUUUUUAUUUAAAAAGAAGAAAAUUAAUUGUUUCAUUGACAAAAUUUUGGAUCAUGCUGUUAUGAGAGCUUUCAUUUUAUAGCCUGCCAUGAAAACUUGCAUCAUCUAAAGACCUUCCAAAUACACAAGAGAAUGCCCUUACUAAUCAACAACAUAACAUUACAUGAGUUAUACGAACAUAAAUUUUGGUUCCGAUUGGUAAAUAUAGAUAUUAAUCGCGGAAAAAAUAAUUUAACUACAAAUUUUAAAAAAAUCUGUGAAAUCAAAACUGCAGGAUAAUUUUACGAAAUGGUAGAAUAUAUAUUAGAUUAAUUAAAAUAUUUAUAUAGUAUCUAAUUUAUUAUAGUAAAAAAUAUUAAUAAUUAAUUAAUACAAAAUGUGAAAAUAAUUUAAAAUUUCUUGUAAUAAAUAUUUAGCUUGUUUGUAAUAAUAAUUUGACAUCUUAUAAUAUUAUAAAUAAAUUAUAGUAUAAUUUUAUUUAUAACAUAAGUAUUUAGCAUUAAAUUUUUAUUGUUAUCUAACCUAUACUAAAAGGGUUAUAUGAGCAUCAGAGAAGCUGUCCACGUAGGACAAUUAAAUCAGCCAAUCAUUAUGUGACAUCUGUUCACUUUACCGCGUUUCAUUUAUUCUGUUUCCGUUUGGGCUACAUUCUUUGUUAUUGUUUUGGUUUAUAAAGCCCAAUCUUUAAAAAGCAGAGUAAGACGUAUGCCUGAAACGCAGAGUUUUUAAUUCUAUGGUUUCAUCUCAUUCUCUUCUCCGCCGUUGCAAUAUCAUACCCUAGGGUUUUGAUCGAGAUGCUUCAUCUUCUUCCUACGGAUCCAGCAAUCUACCUGUUACAGAUUCUUACUCUUAAAGCCCUUUUUAAAUCCAUCCUCCACGAUGAAGCUCAACGAUUUCUCACUCAAUACUCUCAUCUCUCUUACAAGCGGUGAAGCUCCUCCUACAAAAAGGUAUGUGCUCUUCCCAGAAACAUCAUUCUCACAAUCCUACUACAUUCCCAUAAACUGUUUUCUAAGAAAUCAAAGUCGAUAAUGGCUAAUUCCUCCGUCUUUCUCGCCGAUUUGAAAGCUAGCCGCUGCACCUCCACCGCCCAGGUCCGUUUGCUUAGGUUCUGGGAAGAUAGGAAUGUUAAGCGCGACAGAGAGGGUCAACAUUCUCUUCAUGGACGCCAAGGUAAAUCCGGCUUGACUAUGUAGUUUUGUUUUGUUUUUUAAUCCUUUCUCGCGUUGUUGUGUUUUGGUUAUGAAACUUUCAAACCUAAUAGUUCUUCACCGGAGAUCAAUACAUUCAUGUCUUCGUUAUUCUCCAUAAGUUUUUGUUAUCUUCAAAUAUUUGGGAUAUGAUCAUUGUUGUGAUUGUUGAUUCUUUUUUACUUUUUUCGUAUAUUUUAUUCAUACCUAAAAUUCAAAUAGUCCGUGUAGAGACAUCCAUAUGCUUAUGUCUUUUGAUUAUGAAAAAGUUAACAAGCGCUUUAGUUUAUUUUUAAUGAUUGCAAUAUUUAUUUCAUUUGUUUAUGUUUCCAAUUUUUCAUGCUUUGCAGGCCACUCUCACCUAAGCCACCGUGAACGUCUACCGCUUAAACACAUUCAGACAUCUUUUCACUGUUGGUUAAGUGUACUCUGUUAGCGGCUUUGAGCUGUCCGGACUUCAAGCUGUCCGACUCUCCUGUGUCGAUCCGGUUCAAUAUUGAGACGGGUUUGAAAGACUUAACUGACCCAGGUUCACCAAUUCCUCAAGAACGUUUCAGGUUCUGCAAAGAUGAGUUGCUUGGUCUAGCAAACACCAACACCCAUCUUCCAGGUAACCCUAUUAUUUUUUUUUUGCAAAUAUGUCAUUGAUAAAUCGAUCCACACCGGAAUCUUGGAUGAGAAUCAAGGUAUUUUGUAAUUUAUAUGUAAAGGCUUAUAUAGUUUAUUUCUUAAUAAACAUCAUCCUCACAACUCCUAAUAACACCAGAAACUUCUUUUCUCAUAUAUCCUUCUAGAUAUGAGUUGAUUGAUAAAUUUGUGCAGGAGCAUGGGCUAACUGAAUAGUUCCUCCGUGCCUGUCCUUUUGGUAUAAUGCCUGAUGGAUCAGGUAACAAUCAUUAAAACCAUAAACUAUGUCUUAAUGUAUCACAUUAGUAUGAAACCAUGUCAACUUGCAGGGUGAAAAUUUUGAUUCCAAGUCAAUUGACCUAUAUUAUCUUAAUAAUUAUUUCUUCACCUUUAUUUUCUUUCAGGCACCAAAUUUUUUAGGUGAAUCCUUAGACGUUAACGACAAUAACAAGUCGGUUUACUGGAGGAGAAGAAGGAGAUAGUGAGAACAAGAAUGAUAUGACAAAGGAGGUGAAGAGCAAAAACAAGCAAGACAAGCGAAGAAGUAGAAAACUAACGAAUGAGACAUAUUGCGGUCGCUAGGAAUAGGAAGCAAAUGAACGAGCAUCUUCGUAACCUCAAGUCUCUUUUGUCUGGAUCCUACGUUCAAUGGGUAUCAUGAUAACACAUAUACAUCUUCAUUUCGUGAUUGUAUUCAUUAUUUUAAAAUAUUUUUUUAAUAUGCAUGUAUAUAACAGAGAGAUCAAGCGUCGAUCAUAGGUGGAAUAGAGUUUGUAAGAGAGCUUGAGCAACUUCUACAAUGCCUAGAGUCACAUGAGUCGUAUAGGAGGAGGAGGAGGGCUCCGGGAAGAAACAGCUGAGAACGAGUCGUGCUUGGCUGAUGUGGAGGUGAAGCUGCUAGAGUUUGAUGCCAUGAUCAAGAAACUUUCAAGAAGAAGACCAGGACAACUUAUUAAGACUAUUGCUUUUUUGGAGGAUCUUCAUCUCUCUAUUCUUCACACUUACAUGACUACCAUGGAGCAAACAGUCCUCUACUCCUUCAAUGUCAAGGCAAGUUUCACCUUUGUACAUUAUACUCUUAGGCAUUCAUAUAUAUAGUACAUCCUCAAAUAAAGUUUUUUACCCAUAUAUUUGGAUUGAUUUAAAUAAAAUAUGCAUAUAUUAGUAACCUACAAGGAAAAGUGGACGUUGAAGGUUUCCUCUCAGCACAAGCUGCCAUAGAUGCAAUUAAGGGCUCCAUGUAAGUUUGUUUUCUCCAAAACACCAGAGUAUUUUACACGUUUACUCUGUUACCUUAGUCACAGCAAACAAUGUAAUGUUUUGAUGUAAACGCAGGGAUCUUUACGCAGCUAACAUCAAAGCUGGCUUGCAGCGUUAAUGAACAUACCGGUCAAUCUGUUCCUCCAGGUUUGCGUUGAUGCCUUCUCCGGCUCGCUGGAGAACAAACUCACUGUGAGUGGAUCAGUCUCACCGUUGGAUAACAUCCUAUUUUUGAAUUUGAAUUUAAGCCACUUCGUUCAGUGUAUUUUUUCUGCAGAGCUAAUGUGUCUGAAAAUGAGAGGCGAACAGGUCUUUAUGAUUAUCAGGUAUGCUCUCUUUUGUACUUGAAACAACACCUCUAACAAACGACUGGUGAGUGUAUAUGGGAGUAUUUUGGAUGGGUUUUGUUAGAUAGACUGAAAGAUGUCUGUGCAGAGCCAUGAUCAAUAUUCUAAGGCAAGAAACAUGGACGGAUAAUAGAGAAGCGGGAAUAUCCGAAGGAUUCUUUUACAUGCGUUUGGAGAAAAUCUUUAGCUUAGUGGAUGUCUGACUGAUCAAACUUCAGAGUACGCACCAAGGGGCAAGCCUAUGGAACAUCCCAGAUUCAAUACAUAUCAUACUUGGUGAGACAAUAAGUUUAGAAGAUCACAAACAAGUAACUGUUUUUAGGUGUGAGAGAGCUUCUUGAGUAUGAAUGUUAUAAUAACAAAACGGGUUGUAUUGCAGCGAUACUAAUGUGGUUGCUCCAUUCAUAUAUUGAAAUGAAUUUUCAGAUUGUUGUUAACUCAGUAAGAUAGCUUUGUUUUCAUUCGAAAUAAAUAAAUAUAUUUUUGGUUUAAUUCAUUUUAACAGAAUCUCUUUCACACAUAGCCCAAAUUUGAUAGUACAUUCAAUCAAGUUUUUGCUUAAGUCGAUUACGUGGAAAUUCAUUAUAUCAACAAAAAUUAAUAAAAAGUAAAUAAUUUACACAUGUACUAGAAACUCAAUAAAUUAAUAUUUGAUAAAUAAAUAAAUACAAUAAUUAAUAAAAAAUUCAGUUCCAAGUUGAAUAUGUGCAGAAUAUAAUUUUGGGUAAGUCCUAAUCCCUUUUAGAUCCGGUUUUAAAUAUUUCACUUAUAAAUAAUUGAAAAUUUUCAUUUAUCAUACAGUUUCAACUUCUACCUAUUUUCAACUGAAACUAACGAAAAAUAUAAUUAAAGUUAAGCAUUAUUACAUUUCAAAAUGACAUUUAAAAUUAGCAUUCUACAUGAAAAUUUCAUAUAAUAAUUUACAUAUUUUUGCAGAAUUUUGUUUUCAUGAAGGGACGUCAUCAUAUGAAACAACAUAAAUUUACAGAUCCUAACAAUCAUUUAAUAUUUAUAAAAUUUCUCACAUCUCUUACUCCUAUUAUUUGAACUGAAUGUAUUAAAAACAUCAAAUGGUCCAUAUAUAUAUUAAAUAAACCAUUGUACAUAAAAAUUGUAAUUUAAAAUUAUAAAUAUUUAUUUAGACAUAUUUUAACAAAUAAAAAUUAAAACAUUUGAUUAUACUAAUAUGUUUAUAUUUUUAAUAUUGUCAAGACUUAAAUUUAAAUUUUAUAGCAAAAUAAUUAUGAUAAUCUAUAUUAUUAUUAUUAUCAGCAAGGAGAAAGUGAAGUCGUUCACGCUCUUCAUGUGGUAUCCAUUCCCUUUUCUUCUGCAGCAAAUAUCCCAUUAGCAGAUUGAAGUCAUUCAAUCUAAUGUAUUCAAAUCAUGCAGUAAUGUGAUCUUUUUUUUUUUUUUUUUUUUUUUUUUUUUGACAGCACAGUAAUGUGAUCAAGAACUUACAUUCACCUUCCUCUUUCUAUAUAUUUUUAUGUAUUUUCAAGAAUUGAUCAAACUUUGCAACUUAUUACUUAUAACAUCAUAAAACUCAUCGAGCAAUGUUUUAAAACUAAUUCUAACUAUCUAUAGUCAAACUAAAACAAACAUUAAAAAAACAAAAUAAUAAUCUCCUAUAAAACUUUUAAUGAUUAAUAAGUACGAUUUUUAAAAUGAAUAGUCAAAUAAAUAUAUAAAUUGUUUUAGUAAAAAAUAUAAAUAUUAAUAUUAAUUUCAGUUAAGAAUAAGUUAAACAUAUUAAGUAAUUUGUAUAAUUUAUUUCACACCCGUAGUAAGAGAAAAUGCGUUUGUAUAUUUUUAUUUACAUAAUAGUUUGUAAAGAAAUAUUUAGUGUAAAUAAUAUCAUAGUUUUAUAAAAUACUAAAAUAAAUUAGGCUGGUUUUCAACUUUUACAAAUAAAAAAAUAUUAUUUGUAAACUUAGAAAAGAAUAUGUUAAUUAACACAAUGAAACUUAUAUAUAUAUAUAUAUAUAUAUAUAAGUUUCAUUGUGUUAAUUAACAUAUUCUUUUCUAAGUUUACAAAUAAUAUUUUUUUAUUUGUAAAAGUUGAAAACCAGCCUAAUUUAUUUUAGUAUUUUAUAAAACUAUGAUAUUAUUUACACUAAAUAUUUCUUUACAAACUAUUAUGUAAAUAAAAAUAUACAAACGCAUUUUCUCUUACUACGGGUGUGAAAUAAAUUAUACAAAUUACUUAAUAUGUUUAACUUAUUCUUAACUGAAAUUAAUAUUAAUAUUUAUAUUUUUUACUAAAACAAUUUAUAUAUUUAUUUGACUAUUCAUUUUAAAAAUCGUACUUAUUAAUCAUUAAAAGUUUUAUAGGAGAUUAUUAUUUUGUUUUUUUAAUGUUUGUUUUAGUUUGACUAUAGAUAGUUAGAAUUAGUUUUAAAACAUUGCUCGAUGAGUUUUAUGAUGUUAUAAGUAAUAAGUUGCAAAGUUUGAUCAAUUCUUGAAAAUACAUAAAAAUAUAUAGAAAGAGGAAGGUGAAUGUAAGUUCUUGAUCACAUUACUGUGCUGUCAAAAAAAAAACAAAAAAAAAAAAAAAAAAAAAAAAAAAAAAAGAUACGAAAAAAUGAGAAUAAUGUGAUGAGAAGGGGAAGAAAGAACAGAAACAUGGAGCCACUGGAAAGGUCGAGCAAGAAGUUGGUACCAAGUAUUGAAGAGUAUGUAGAGAAAAGUGGAAAGCAGAACAAUUAGUCGCCUGUUUCGUCAUCAGAACAGUCGCACAAGAUAUAAAAACGAGUAGAGGCUGUGGACAUCAAUGGAUCUAUCCUCUCUUGCCAAAAAAAAGUAUUUUUAAUUAAAAUUAGUAGUUUUCACUUCCACCAUUUUUCAAAAGUCUUCUGAUAAAAUAUUCUAUUCACAGAUUUACAACGCCCAACAUAUCAACCAUACGAUGAUACAAUUAAAUAAAGAAGGACUUACACAGAAUUUUUACCAAGCUAUGCCAGGUAUGGAUCUUUUUAUAUAAAUAACCAUAGCUUGGUAUUUACUUAAAUUUAAGUUUACUAACUUAUUUUUAACCAAGUUCAGGUUAUUUUUUUCUUAUGGUCCAUAGCGCAGCUUCUGAUUUUCAAAAGACUUGAUCUCUUUCUUACAUUAUUUAUGAUUACUUAGCUACUCUUUUUUUUAAAACAAUUGCAUAAACUCGAUAUUCACCAAUUUUCAAAAUAUUUUGAAAAAUACAAUGCUUCCAUUCCAAACAAAAACAUUCGAACUUAUAAUCAAAAAUCGAGUAUCAACAUACUUUUCCGCGCAUCGCGCGGAGAAAGACUCUAGUUUAUUUAAUAGCUUGAAAUGACAUUAUCAAAUUAUUUGAAAAUAAUCUACUAAAACACAUUUUCUAUUUAAUAAAAAUUUGUGUGUUUAUCACCUCUAUUUUAUGUCUAUUUUCUUAUUCUGCAAUUUUAGUAGUUUAUCGGCAAAAUAUUUUAAAUUUGCAUGCCAUUCCACAAAGUUACCAAUCAUACCGUUUAUUUUGAUCGCUUUACUGACAGUAAUCAUCUCUCAUGAAUGCACGAGCGUCAAGUCGAGAUACCCUCCCCCAUAAUUAUCCAAAAUACAGAUAAACAUUAGCAAAAAGCAACCGUGUCCAUGAUUGAACUCCAUAUCUAUAUCGACCACUUAGAAAGUAGGGCCAUAAGUUGUAAUCCCAAAGACAUAUUCCCUCUCUUUCCUAAAUAUAAAAUGUUUAAUGUUUAGGUAGAAAUACAUAUUAAAAAAAUUAUUUUUUGUCUAGAAAGUAUCAUUAAAACUAUAAAUUAAUGAUAUUCAACUAAUUACAAAAUAGACUAUUAAAAUAUGAUUGAGUACACAAUUUUUAAUAAAGUAAAAAUUACAUAGAAAAUGAAAACAUCUUAUAUAUUAGAACUUCAAAAUUUUGUAAAAUAUCCUAAUUUUAGGAACAGAAGGAGUAGCUAACAUUAAGACAAAACAUAAAAAAACUCGGACUCAGCUUGAGCAUGAUUAUUGGGGGGUUUUUAGGGUGAGGUUCUUAGCGGAAUAUAAGAACCCGUCUCUUAACUUUUAACUAAAAAAACUAAGAACCGGUUCUUAACAUUUUUAGUUAAAAAUUAAGAGACGGGUUCUUAUAUUCCUCUAAGAACCCCACUCUAAAAACCUCUAAUAAUCAUGUUCUUACCCAUUCUGCAACGAUUAGAUUGAAGGUUUGAAAUUCAGAAAGACAAUCAUCCGAACAAUAUUCCCAUAAUUAAGAAAAUCGCUUUAUGUUUACAUCCACUCCUCCAAAAAAAUUGACAAAGCUCAUAAGUAAUUCCAAACAAAAUACCAAGUAGCUAGUUACACUAAGAAUAAAUGACUAAGCAUAAUAAAUAUACCUAUGCAAGUCUUAGCUUAGGAUAUGGUAGAAGCUGGUCUGCAGAGAAUAGGAAAGGGAGGUUUUUCUCCAAAAUCCAUGGCCUUGGCUUGAUACUCCACGAGAGGACCAUUGGGAUACUCUCGAGCAAUAAAGGUGAUGUACAGGUUCCACCCACCUCCUACUUUUAGAUUGCCUCUCACGAUGCUUACAGAUUCCACAGUCGUACCCUAUUUAGUAAAAAACACACACAUCCUAUAUGUAAAGUAUCAUAUCAAAUUAAAACAAAAUAAAAAAGUUUAUAUUUGAAUUGAUGUCACCUUCUCUUCAUUGAGUUUCUUAACACACAAGGAAGCAAUAUCCGCAAAAUAUUCCCUCGAAGUCAUGGUUGUCCAAGGUUCUUGCAGAUCACGCAGGGGGAAGAUAGACCUGAAUGGAUCUUCUUCAAAAAAAACCUAAAGAAUCAAAUAUUAAAUAUUUUUUGAUGUAAUUCAAUGGAUAUAACAAAGAGGGGUUAAUUACGUUUACCUUAUUCUUCCAGGCCUGGAUAACUCUUCGUACUCCUCGUCGUCGGAGAAGCUUUUACGGUCAUCAGAGUUGUAGCAUUCGUAACCAUCGAAGCUGUCCACAUCCCACUCCGGUUCCGGAUCUUGCAUGUUUAAAUAAUUAAUUCUAGGAGGUUUCACGACUCCUUCGUCUUCUUCUGUGUCGACACUCCAUGCGCGUCCGCUAUCGGUAUCGCUUUCGUUUUCCAUGCUUGUGCCGUCUUCAUCUUCGAGUCGACUCUCGUUUCCUCCUCCGUCGAAGCUGGUUUCGCCGUCUCAUCGUCGCUUUUCAUAGUCGCAAAGAAUCGAACAACCCUAUAAAUUAUCUCUUACGACAAUUUGAUAAAUUUGAUAAGUGUGAGUCCUAGUAGUAAGCCCGAAAUUUCUUUACAGGCUUUCUCUGAAUGUUGACUUACCUGAUAGUAAAUAACAUUACGUUUUAUUACUGCGUAUUAAAAAUUCAUUGUCUAGUUUCUUGACAAACAAGAAAAGAAGAUUAAUUGGGCUUCGGCUCAUCUAGAAAAGAUCAAAUCUCUCGACUAUUCUCUUUUUGUUUGUGGCCCAUUAAAUUAGGGAAGAUCUAUUCUGUAACUGUAGUACACUAGAGCUGCUGCCUGUACAUUGUAUGUAACUGAAGUAAAAUCUAAAAAAAUAUUGUAAAAUUGCUCCAGUAUAGAUGUAUUUCUUAAACAUGAUUUCAUUAUGCAGAGUGUAUUGCAAAUUAUUGAGACCAAACACAUGUUUUUUAGUUUUUUUUUUCUGUCUGAGAGGCAACAGCAUAAAAUAAAGUUUUGGGGUCACCACACUACUCAGCAAUCUGAUUAUUACCAGGCAACAUCUGCAAAGCAGUUCUGUUGUUACUACUCUUUAUAGAGAGUUCCUUCACCAUCUUCACAAGUUUCCUCAUGCUAACAUCUUUCAAGUUCUCUUCAUCAAUGUCCACCUUCUCAUUCUUCUUUGCAGCCUCCUCACCUUUGCUCUCUCCAUUAAAAACAUUCAUCAUCAUCAUCUCCAUGCUGUUCUCCUUGCUCGUAUUAUCCACAUCGACCAGUUUCAUAGCCGAGUUCUUUGAUGCUGAUUUGUUUGGUCUUGGAAACUGAGCUGAGACUGAUUCUUCUGCCACAAAUGGAGAUACUGGAGCUGUUUCUACUGGAGCCUCUUCAAGCACAAGAGGAGAAGUUGGAGCCGAAAUAGAACCUUCUGAUUCAGGUAGAAUCACCUUUCCGUCAGCAAUAUCAGUUCCCUGUAUGGCUUGGUAUGAAUCAGCUUCAGAGAUAGUGCCAUCCGACGCAGCACCAGAAUCAUCAUCUCCUUCCGACUCCGUGUCUGAAUCACCACCAGUUUGUUCCACCAUUGUGUCUUCAUCAAAAGCGUUGAUUUUCUCAGUCUCAGAAUCAUUCUCCUGAGUCGCCUGUUCUGUCUCUUGGUGGUCGACUUGGUUUGAAUCAGCUUCAGAGAUUGUGCCAUUCGAGUCAAUGCCAGAAUCGUCUCCUUCCUGCUCACUUUCUGAAUCACCAUCAGUUUCCACCAUUUUAUCUUCAUCAAGAGUGAUGAUUUUCUCAGCCUCGGAAUCAUUCUCCUGAGUCGCCACUUCUAUCUCUUGGUGAUCGGCUUGGUCUGAAUCAACUUCGGAGAUAGUGCCGUCUGAGUCAACACCAGAAUCUCCUUCCGACUCAGCUUCUGAAUCACCGUCGGUUUGGUCCACCAUUGUUUCCUCAUGGAAGGUGUUGGUCUUCUCAGGCUCGGAAUCUUUCUCCUCCACAGCCUGUUCUGUCACUUGAUGAUCGACUUGUACUAAACUCUCGAAAGUUUCAAGGUUCUUGGACUCUGCAAGAAAAAAAAUGACAUUUGGAUUUAGAAACGUAAACAAGAAAAUUGGUUAGUGCUAUUAAUUUGUUGCAUUACCUUUAUUGUCACUAGUUGUCUCAGUGUUGGCAUGUUCCAAGACAGGAGGAGUAUAAUCGUCAUUCUUCAACACCUCCCAUUCUUUCUCCAUGGAAGCACUUAAAUCUCUACCUAAGAUAACCUCAGCAUCCUCAGUUCUCUCCUCUGAACCUGAUAUUACCACAAAAUGUUCAUUAUAGAUCAGAAGCAUUGCAAGAGAGAAAAAGGCAUUGUAUCUAAAGUCUAAACUAACCAGCUGGAUUCUUCUCCUGUGCAGACACUUCUUGUUCCGUUUGUUCAAUCCUCUCAGGUUUAUCCAAUGUUUCUUUAGUCUUCAAACUCAGAUCAGCCAUACAUUUCUCCAAUAGCCUGGUUGAUCUCCUAGUGCUGUACCCUGACUGGACCAUCUCAACCUUCUUGCUCUCCUGAGCUUUGCUGCCACAAGAAGCUGCUGCUGAAGCCUUCCUUGUGCUUCUCACUGCAGGAGUUUUAGCCACAUCGAACUUGACAUUCUUGAUCAUGUUUUCUUGGUCCAGUUCUCCAUCACGAGACUUGCUCGUCAAACGAGAUGACUGAGGCUCAGGUUUUACAACGGUGGUCUUCCUUCGGGUUGCUCUCGUUGCAGUACUUGGCGGAAGCUUUGCUACACUGGUUGGAGACUGAAGAACAUUGGAGUCUGACUGUUUCAUGUAUUCAUCAAGACCUUCAACCUAUUAAACCCAAAGAAAAAAAAAGAAUCACAGGAACUAAAUUAAUCCUGUAAAUACAUAAUGAGCACAAGUAAGAUUCAAAACCACAAGCAUGACCAAGAUGACUAAAUAGAUCAAACACAAACGAACAACUUCGCAUAAAAAGAUAGAUAUACAAGAGCAGAUUUGAAUGCGAUGAACAAACAAUUAUGAAGAUCAGAUUCACCAUUUCAUUAGAAUGUCAAGCAAACGAUUUCUGGAUCUUGCUUAUUUUGACAGAUCUCAGUAAUUUAAUGAGCUAAAACACCUAAGAUCUUCGAUCAGGAUCGGAUUCAAUCAGUGACCUAAAACUUCUAGAUCCAGAAUCAUAUUAGAUUCCGACUUAACUAACGAGAUCUCUCUCAACCAGCUCAGAGCGAUUCGCUGAUUCAUAUUAGAUUUGACGAAAUCGAAUCGAUGCAAGUGUGAGAAGGAGGAAGGAAACUUACAGUCUCGAGAGAUUUGAGAGCAUCGGCCAUGGCGAGGUUAGUCAUGUUAGCUGGGAUUUUGUUGAUCUUGCAGAGAAAUUGAAGAUCUCUUCUGAGAAGGCUGUGGAAAUCCAUCUUCGCUCGAGUGUUGGUUUGAGACUUGGGAGAGAUAGUGAUUAUGAAAACAAGAUGUUUUAUUAUUUUGGAAUCGGAAGGUUUGUGUGUGGGGUAUUUAUACAAUAUCUCUUUUCUCUUUUCCCAAGAGGCGCCAGCCAAUGUAGACCUAAUAUUCAUAGUGAACGUUGGAGCGGAGGUUUUGAAUUUUGAAUUUUCUGGAUAUUAAUAUUUAAUUUAUUUAUUUUAGUCAUCCUUUGUUUUACAUUCUCCGCCUUGUCACUUGUAAUGUACCGUAUCGGCCAGAAAUGGCAAAGAUAUUCUAAAAAUGGACACCGGAAUAAAUACAUUUGUUGAGGAGAAUUUUAGUUUGAAAACAAAUAUCAUCAUUUUAUAAGAUUUGAAAAAAAAACAAUCGUAAUAUAUAGUCUUGGGUAUAAAAAUGAAUUUAUAUUUUUAGGCCAUAAACUGUAAAGCCCACACAAAAGCGUCAAUUGAUUAGUUUCUUCAGCCAUAAACUUUUCAGAUACUUUAUAUAAAAAAAAGCUCCGAUGCCGGGAAUCGAACCCGGGUCUCCUGGGUGAAAGCCAGAUAUCCUAACCGCUGGACGACAUCGGAUCCUGUUAACUUCAUUGCUACAAAGUUUGUAGACUCAUGCAUACGUUAUACUUCAAUGAGCUGGUGAUUUUAAUCAUUCUCUAAUCUCUACCACAAGAGGCAAGAGCCCUCCUGAUCAGUUGUGCAAGUAAGCUAAAGAAUAUAUGAUGAUCCGAACCAAAUAAGCUUCAUAUUUUCUGUUUGUGAGUUUGUACAUUUCAUAUUAAUAAAUAUUGUUUUCGUAUUUAUUUUUGUUGUUGUAUGUUUUCAUAACAUGAGUCAAGCUCAAUGAAUAUUUGUUAACUUCUUUUUAUCACAAAACUAGCUCUGCAUCCAUAAUAUCCAUAUCUCUUUGGUAGCCAAGAGCCAAGAGAAAUAAAAUUUUUUUUUUUUUACAUUUUACAUAGAGAAAUAUAAGUGAACACUGAACACCAUAAGAAUUUCUUUCCCAUUUAUAUGUAUAUAUUAAUUAACAUAAUAAAUUCAACCCUAAGCUUUGCCUUUAAUCACAAAAGCCCUCUUAGUUUAUUCCUCUUAACUUGAAACCUUUACUACUGAUUUAGCAUAAGCUAAUGGAAGAGCUGCAAUUUUCUUAACUUUCCCAACAUAAGCUCUCUUGGUAAAGUUGUUGUAAUCAUUCGCUUCAAUCUCGUCCAAUAUUCUCCUAUACAAUAGUAGCGAUGCCCAUACCUGAAGGGAAAACCAAUCUUGGGGGUUAAAUCGAUCAAAAACAAAGUUAUGGGGUAAAAACGAAAAAAGCUUCAAACCAAAAGUUUAAACGGUAGAGAGAUGCACUUACUGGCCAUCUGCUAGCAGCGUCAAGCUCGGUGACACCUUUCUCAGCUUCGUCGAAGAACAUUCUUGCUCUCUUAAGCUGCAGUCUCAUGAAGUUUCUCCAUUUAUCAGUGACUUUUCCAGCGAAUAUGUCUUCAUCGGAGAGACCAGCCUGAGCUAACUCAUCUUGUGGUAGAUAAACUCUUCCUCUUCUUGCACUGAGAGAGAACAAAACCAGUUCAAGAAUGAGAUCCGGUUUAAUUGAAAUAAGAAACCGAUAUGUAAAAGUCAAUAAACCAAAUCUCGAUACUCACUCUUCACCAACGUCCCUGAGUAUGUUGGUAAGCUGAUUGGCUAUACCGAGGGCCAAGGCAGCGUUGUAAACACUCUCGGUCGUUGCCUUGGACUUGGGAUUGAUUCCCAUAACCGGAACGCUCAUCAAACCGACAGUUCCGGCGACAUAGUAGCAGUAAAGGUAGAGCUCAUCAAAGUUGUUGUAUCUAGACUUCCUCAAAUCCAUUCUCAUUCCUUCAAUCAUGUCUCUAAAUGGCUGCAAAAAACAAAUAAAACAUUUUAAAAAUGAGAUUUAUCAAAAGUGAAAAAGACAAAAAUAGCACUAAAUCAAGUUUAUGUUACCAAACUAGCACUCAAGGUCAAAAGUCACAAAAAUAGCACUUAAUGUUUUAUCAAAAGUCACAAACUUAGGGUUUAGAGUUAAAGGGUGGGGUUUAGGGUUUAGGGUUUAGGGUUUAGGGUUUAGGGUUUAGGGUUUAGGGUUUAGGGUUUAGGGUUUAGAGUUUAGGGUUUAGGGUUUAGGGUUUAGAGUUUAGGGUUUAGGGUUUGAGUUUAGGGUUUAGGAUUUAUGGUUUAGGGUUUAGAGUUUAGGGUUUAGGGUUUAGAGUUGAGAAAUGAGGUUUUGGGGAUAAGAUUUCAAAUUUUGAAAAAUAAAAAAAUUAAAAUUUUCAAAGGAUAAACUUAGAAAGAUGCUAUUUUGGUUAUUUUAGUUUUUGAGUGCUAUUUUUGUGAUAUAAACUUAGAAAGGUGCUAUUUUGGAGAUUUGCCCUUAUCAAAAUAUAUUGAACAAGGCAGAGAGAGAGAGAGAGGCUUACCUGAAUAUCUACAGGGUAUCUAGUAACUGUAUCAGCUAGAGCAGCGUCAAGCAUAUCGAAAGCACGGCCAUGAAAAAGAUCUUCUAACCUUGCUUCCCAUCUAUCUAACGCCAUGGGAGUUAUAUGUGAUGCAUUCGGCCCAUCUACCAGUUCAUCAGUUCUUCUGCACCAAACUGCACAAAGAAUGAGAGUAAAAUCAUGACAACCAUAAAAGAAAAACAACAUUUUAGUAUGUGGCAGUUUAGAAUCCCUCAGAUGCUUUAAAUGUUAGUAUCUCAAAGGGUCAUGAACUAACAUUGUUCAGCAUGAGAUGACUCAUGCUGAUCAAGAUAAUUGGGCCCAAAAGCCCAUUGAAAACCCAUAUUAGUAACUAAAUUAAUUCAUUAUCUUGGGACUUAAUCUUGAGAGGGGUACAAAUUUGGAUGCUCUGUCCUUCGUGGACUUGUCUUAUACACAAGCUAACACACAAAACAACUAGAAAAGUCAUAUGUAUACAUGAGCGUGAGGUUUCAAGGAAACUAAUUCUGCUUCUUAUUAGAACUUCCUGCUAAGAAAUUUAGCUAAAAAUACUAAUCACGAGUAGUAAUAAACUCACCAUAGAUAGCCCAAAUCGCCUUUCUCCUCUCGGGUGUCAUAAGCAAAGUUCCUACAACAAAAAACAUAAGAAAAACUCAGAAAACAAAUGAAUAAAAUACUCUAUUACGCCAAAGCCAAAGAAGAGUAACAAAAAAAAAAAGAUACUAACCAAGAUAAAACGUUUUGGCAUAUUCAGCACAAACUUCGCCGCAUCGAUCAUAAGCUUCACCCAACAAGCUCAAACUCCCAGGACGAACAAUAUCCUGUGGUUUCUUCACAUCGUCAAGAACAGGAGAAGUAGACCUAAGCUGUUUGUUCACCAAAGCUGCUUGUCUCAACACAACAUUGUAAACCUUCUCUUCAGAUGAGAGGUCUAUCUCUCCUGCAGGAUGUGCUACUAAGCUUGAAGAGACAACACUACUUCUUCUUCUUCUUCUAAAGCUCAUUACAGAAGAAGAAGAACUCCAAGUAGUUUGUGUUGUUUGGUUCCUCCUACCAUUGUUCACUCUCUGAUUCUGACAACGAGAGAGCACUCUAGAAGAUUCUAAAGCCCGUACCAACCCACAAGUGUUCAUUGGGUCUGGAUUUGGAGAAGAAGCAGCAACCCAUAACACUGCUACAGAAGACAUACUCAAGUUCUGUUUACUCUGUUUCCUCACUAAGAAGAAUCAAAAACCAAACUUUGAGUGAAACCCAGAUUUUGAUUUUGGAUCAAAGUGGUAAAGAGUAAGGCCUUCCUGCAAAUGGAUUAAAAGAAGAGUUGAUGAGAAAUCGAGGUCUCUGAUUCUCUAUAUAGAAAAAGACAGAAAAGUGAAAUAGCAUAAGAGAGCAACCUUAACCAAACCAGAGAAAACGAAUGAUGGAAACAAGAUCCUACCUUUCUCUCUCUCUCUAGGACCAGAGACGUGAGAGUGAGACGGAGAAGGAGGAGGAAGGACAACGAGAUUUUCAAACAAUUAAUUAAACAAAAGACGAGAAAAAGGUUCGAGUUUGACCCAUUGAUGUCACAAGUUUACUUUGCAACACAAGUAGAAAAAAAGAAGACUCUUCCUCUUAUCACAAACAUUCUCACCCACUCAAAUUUUCUUCUUUCUUUUUCAUCUUCUCUUGUUUUUAUUUACUUUCGUGUGUGUGUGUGUGUUUGUAUAUUUUAAUUUGUUUUUUGACUGGCCAAGUCUUCGGGGUGACUUGUGUUAUCGAGCAUUUCUGGUUUCAUAUAACAAAAAGAUCCCAAUUUAAAAAAAAAAAAACAAAACUUACAUUUUAACACCUUUUCUCCUUUUGGCCUAGUUAUUUAAUUAAAACUUUGGUUACUAUUCUAUAUUUGGUUGAUUCACCAAUUCAGUGCCAGGUUCUGAUUCUAUACUAGAGGAUCUAUCAUUGAUAUUUAAGCUAUUUAUAAACAAUUAAAUUUAUUACUUUGGUUUAAGCCAACAUUUGAGAUUAUGUGGUUUAACCUUUAAAAGUAUUUCACUAUACUACAUACAAAUAUUUUGAGGGAAAAUGAUUAUUUAUGAAAAAGUAUAAUGUCAUUUAUAACCGCUAAUUUCUAAAUUAAAGAAUAGAAAUGCAUUGGCAAUAUAAUAAAGGUUAUUCCUUUUGCAUUGUUUAACAAAUUUUUGGUAGAAAUUGUUUCUGGUUGCUAAAAAAAAAUAUUGUUUAUCUGUAUAAUUUUUUUUUUCUAGUAUUGAGUUUGUGCGGGGAAUAUAUUCGAUGCAACCAUAUACUCGUCUAAUAAAGAUCUAGCUGGUUCUUAGCAAAAAAAAAAAAAGAAGGUCUAGCUGGUGUAGACAUUUGAUAAUGAUCGCCAACAUAUAUGUAAAUAAAUAAUGAUGAAGAUACAACAAAGUUCAUUCCAUAACACAAAAGAGUGUUUUGGUUUAAGCAUAAUCAUGGUGAAAAAAAUGGCGUGUUACAAAACAUUACGACACCAGCUUCAUCUUUCAGAUCAAUGCUAAUAAUUGAGAAUGCAUAGGAAAGUUGAUUUCACUAUUUCAAUAGACUACCAAUUUACCAUUCAAGAUAUAGUAUAUUUUUCUAGAAGUACAAAUUUAACGUGGUUCUGUACCGGAUAUUUAUGAAUCGAAAGUGACGCACACAUAAAAAUUGAGACAUCACAUUAGGUAGACAAGCGAUAUUAGUUAAACAAAUUAAAAAUAUACAAAUUUCGAAGAACAUCCAUAAUAAGAGAAUUUGUUAGUAUAAAAGACCCUCGGGUUUGGGUUGGGUCCACUUUGGGUAAGAGAGAUCACGGAGAUGCCACGUCGUCGGAAAGCCAAUGGGAGUGCGAGCGAUAAGCUUAUCAAAUGCGGAGAAGCACCGAACCGGUAAAGUGGGGAACGAUGCUUUUCAACGUGUCAUUAUUUCAUUGGUAGCAAGUGUUAAAAGUUAGAUUUCAUUUUAGUCUGUAUCUGGGUCCCACCCUCUCUCUCUACCCUCGUUGGCAACUUGCUCGAUGUCUCCUUGCGACUAGUCUGUAUCUGAGUUACCUCUUUCGUUCAGAAGGUUUGUCUUUUUCUUAAUAUCAUUUGUCCCUUUCUUAUUUUUGGUUUGGUCCGUCCGUAUCUUGUGUAAAAUAUGCUCUUGCAAUACGUUGAUGAGAAACUUUUUUGGUUUAACGAUAGGUAUAAGCUAAAACUAUUAAUAUUGAAUUUAAAUUGGCGUAAGUUGCUUUGAUUGUUCUUUGUAAAUUAUAUAUAAUGACCAGAGUCUUUGUUUGAGUCAACGAAUAGCUCACAUACAAUACAUUAUUCGAUUUGGUUCGUACCAUUCCUACCAUUCUUCGCAAGAUUGUUUUGAUAUAUCGCUAGACCUACAUUUCAACUCAACCCAGACCUAGCAUUAGAUCAUUUGUACCAACCGACGUAACUUAACGCGACUAGUAGGAAGUGAGACAUAAUAAAGACACCCUAGCCUUGUUAAAAACACCAAUGACUUGUCGGAAAAGGCCCUGAGCUUCCUAAUUCUAACAUCUCCUCGGUGGGAACGACAGACAUUCCAAGACCUUCAAAACACUUUUGGGCAGUCUUCUCCAACAAAGGAUCUUCGGAAAAGUAAGUAAAACAUAUCUUAUCAACGUGAGCCUUGAACUCAGUCAAUGAUGAGCCUUCUUCCUUUAAAAUCUUCUCUCCAGUUUGACAAAUGUAGGAGCUCAGUGCAUUGUUGAUAUGACACACUAAAUCCGCCUGGCAGAACAGAUCAUACAUCAUACGAAGGGCCUCCCAGGGUCUCUCAUCCAUUAGCUUCUCAAAACCCUGCAACCAACCACAUGUACUUAGACAAACUUUGCAACAAAAAACCCACAUUAAAGAGAAAAGGAGGAGGAUUAGAACCUUUUCAAGAAUGGCACAAGCAUGAACCCCCAGGAGUUCCCUGUUGACAAAACUUGGAGCAGCUCAUCCUGGAGUCGAGAGAAAAGGGGGAGGAGGCUUUUGCAUUUUUUCUUCUCCUCACCAACCCUUUGCUGCAAAAAAAGAAGAACAAAGUAGAGCUACUCAGGGGAAAAUAUACAUUCACACAACAACCUACAUAUGUAGGAAAGAGAAGAAAUGGUACAUCGAUAUGUAGACAUAUAAGAGUAUCGGAGAUCUAUAUAAAUAUUACUUAAAAGUUUUCGUCAAUUUCAAUGAAAAUCCAACUAAAAAAGUGAGAAAAAUUAACUUAAAAGUAUCGAUCCUACCAUAUGUGCCAUCUAAAAACAUUCUCAGCCACUAAUCUACAUGGAACAAUUGAGAAUUAAGGGCCCAAAAAUACUUGUAAUUAUCAUGGACUUAAGGCAAAAGCCUUUUUCCUUACACUGUAGGCACGCCCUGAUGAGGGAGAGAACAAUUCAUAAUCCCUUAGACCAUCCCCAUUAGCCAUGCGGGGUGGAGUUUGCCACAUGGGUUUUUCUUUUAUUUUUUUUAUUUUUUUAUUUGUUUGCUUUAAAAAAAAAAUAUUAAUAAAGUAACCAAUCGUGGGUCGCCACGUGUCGUGGGACUCACGAAAACAGUGAUGAAUCGUCUCUUGCGGAUGAACCCCGACGAGACCAGUCUAUUAAGUUUACAAUAUUGUAUUAUUUUUUUUUUUGGGGAAGUGUGUGAACUCCUUCUUAAAACUUUCAAUGGGCAUGCUCUUAUAAUUAAAGUAAAGAAACAUCCAAAAGCAACAUGGCCUAAAUUCAAUCGUGGCAACCAAUGACUUGUCGGAAAAGGCCCUGAGCUUCCUAAUUCUAACAUCUCCUCGGUGGGAACGACAGACAUUCCAAGACCUUCAAAACACUUUUGGGCAGUCUUCUCCAACAAAGGAUCUUCGGAAAAGUAAGUAAAACAUAUCUUAUCAACGUGAGCCUUGAACUCAGUCAAUGAUGAGCCUUCUUCCUUUAAAAUCUUCUCUCCAGUUUGACAAAUGUAGGAGCUCAGUGCAUUGUUGAUAUGACACACUAAAUCCGCCUGGCAGAACAGAUCAUACAUCAUACGAAGGGCCUCCCAGGGUCUCUCAUCCAUUAGCUUCUCAAAACCCUGCAACCAACCACAUGUACUUAGACAAACUUUGCAACAAAAAACCCACAUUAAAGAGAAAAGGAGGAGGAUUAGAACCUUUUCAAGAAUGGCACAAGCAUGAACCCCCAGGAGUUCCCUGUUGACAAAACUUGGAGCAGCUCAUCCUGGAGUCGAGAGAAAAGGGGGAGGAGGCUUUUGCAUUUUUUCUUCUCCUCACCAACCCUUUGCUGCAAAAAAAGAAGAACAAAGUAGAGCUACUCAGGGGAAAAUAUACAUUCACACAACAACCUACAUAUGUAGGAAAGAGAAGAAAUGGUACAUCGAUAUGUUUCAAGUAGUGGGGAAGGUCAGAAGACUGUUCCAGGACUUGUUUUGCUUCUGCGGCGUAAAACUCAGCAGUGGAGUCAAGAAAAGGCUUCUCCAAGAAGCGCAAUUCGCGGGAAACCGACCCAUUAAGCAUAAGCAUAAGAUUCUUUAGCAGACUCAGGUUAACAGACUUGCCUAGUCUGGAGAAAGAAAAGAGUCAGUCAGUCAGUAUAUCCAACACCUAAAAAUCAUGAUGACAGCAGACAAUAGGAAAGUUACCUCUGAUCCGUAAUGAGAAGUAGAACGCUGGUUCGAACCUUGUCACGAACUUGAGAGGCCAAGAAGAGCUUUGUGGGUAAAAGCUCAAAACCCAAAUCCCACACUUUUCUUUCAAGAAAUUUUAUCCGACCUUGAACCCCACCAAUGCUACAGAUGAGCUUAAAUUUCUCACCGUACUCCAGGCAAAAUUUCUCCAAGGGAAGCAAGAGAAGAGAGGGAUCAUCAUCAUCAUCAUCAUUGCAAUGCACUGCCAAAGACUCCAGGGUUGUGGAAAUAUAUAUGCCCCACAUUCCUCUACAAUCAGUUUGAAAAGGGCUUCUCCUACUUUAUUCUCGAAAUCUUAGCGAAGCUGAAAUGGUCAGUGUCCUCUUCAUGUGAGCGCUGGGCUUUAGAAACUUCCAAGCCUCGUCCAAGUAAACUUUGGGGUCAGCUGACAGAUAUCAAAAACAAACAUGAAGAUAGCCAAUAAGCACACAAACACAUAAGCAAGAGAAUUAGAGAUUACGUUUAUUAAUGACGAGGUUGAGCUUGAAAACUCGCACAGCAGGGGAGAUAUUCGGAGGAGGAUUCACCAUAGCCGAUUCCAAAUUAACAACAUCGAUUGGAUAUUCAGCGUCAUGGUCUGUGUCCGUCUCCUCCCAUCGCUGAUUGAGCAUCUGAUGGGCGGUGGAGCCAAAUCGGACUCGAGAUCUUCAGAUUCACGGUGCUUCGACUUCUUCGACGAGGAGGACAAAUCGCCCUCGCUGAUUGAGCGUUUCAUUGGCCGUCUCUUGAUUACCGAUCGGAGGAAUAGGAAGAGUAGGCAAAAAGAAAAGAUAACAGACAGCAAUUUCACCAAUUGAAGGAGAGAGUCGGUCGUGCCUUUUACGGUUGCCGCCAAAACAAAUUAACAACCAAAAUUUAUAAUAAAAACGCUACAAAUAAAUAAGAGAUGCUUAAGAAAUUGCAAAACUUAUUUGAUAAUAAAAACGCUUUAAAUAAUUAUCAGUUUUCCUUUUUUUUUAUAUAUAGUUUAUACUAUAUUUCCUUUCUUGUUCAAAACCCAUAAAAACAAAAAAAAAACUUUAAAUAUUCACAUUUAUAUAGGAUUAGGUUAUAACCUUUUAACCUAACUACAUCAAAAAAAAAAAAGAGAAAGAGAGAUCUGGUUUUCCGCCCGAUGGAGGGGCUUUCACAGCCACCAUCGGUCUGGCGUUGUGUUUCUUUGUUCGUUUUGGAUUCUUUACUCGGUUGGAUGUGUUUAGUUUUGAGAAGUAGGGAGCGUAUUUCUCCUUUUAACUUGGUUUCUGGGAGGUGGAAGCUUAUAUAGCUCCGCUGUUGCCGGCUCUUGUUCUCGGGGGGUGGAGGCUCUCUUAGCUCCGCGUCAUCGGCAUAUGUGGCCUUUGUCUAUGAAGGCGUUUGGUGGGUUUGGCUAUGCGGGAGUCGUUGUAGUCGGCUCGGGGUGUCCCGAGAGAUGGAGGCGGUGGUUCUAGGGCUUCCGGUUUUAUUUCCCUUUUCUUGUGUGCUUGGUGGUCGGAUGAGAUCUCGAUUCGUUUGAUGACGCUCUCCGACGGACUGAAGAUGGAUCUGAGUGUGGUGGCUUCGUUUGUGUUAAGGAUGAGAUUUCGAUCAAGAUCGAUUGAUGCUCUCCGUUGGAAGAAGCGAGAAUGAUGAAGUAGUAUGCGGCGGAUGAGAUCUCGAUUCGUUCGAUGAAGGUUCUCCGUGGUACGAUGAUCGGAAAAUUAAGAGGUCGCGAUGUGGUUAGCUGACAGAUAUCAAAAACAAACAUGAAGAUAGCCAAUAAGCACACAAACACAUAAGCAAGAGAAUUAGAGAUUACGUUUAUUAAUGACGAGGUUGAGCUUGAAAACUCGCACAGCAGGGGAGAUAUUCGGAGGAGGAUUCACCAUAGCCGAUUCCAAAUUAACAACAUCGAUUGGAUAUUCAGCGUCAUGGUCUGUGUCCGUCUCCUCCCAUCGCUGAUUGAGCAUCUGAUGGGCGGUGGAGCCAAAUCGGACUCGAGAUCUUCAGAUUCACGGUGCUUCGACUUCUUCGACGAGGAGGACAAAUCGCCCUCGCUGAUUGAGCGUUUCAUUGGCCGUCUCUUGAUUACCGAUCGGAGGAAUAGGAAGAGUAGGCAAAAAGAAAAGAUAACAGACAGCAAUUUCACCAAUUGAAGGAGAGAGUCGGUCGUGCCUUUUACGGUUGCCGCCAAAACAAAUUAACAACCAAAAUUUAUAAUAAAAACGCUACAAAUAAAUAAGAGAUGCUUAAGAAAUUGCAAAACUUAUUUGAUAAUAAAAACGCUUUAAAUAAUUAUCAGUUUUCCUUUUUUUUUAUAUAUAGUUUAUACUAUAUUUCCUUUCUUGUUCAAAACCCAUAAAAACAAAAAAAAAACUUUAAAUAUUCACAUUUAUAUAGGAUUAGGUUAUAACCUUUUAACCUAACUACAUCAAAAAAAAAAAAGAGAAAGAGAGAUCUGGUUUUCCGCCCGAUGGAGGGGCUUUCACAGCCACCAUCGGUCUGGCGUUGUGUUUCUUUGUUCGUUUUGGAUUCUUUACUCGGUUGGAUGUGUUUAGUUUUGAGAAGUAGGGAGCGUAUUUCUCCUUUUAACUUGGUUUCUGGGAGGUGGAAGCUUAUAUAGCUCCGCUGUUGCCGGCUCUUGUUCUCGGGGGGUGGAGGCUCUCUUAGCUCCGCGUCAUCGGCAUAUGUGGCCUUUGUCUAUGAAGGCGUUUGGUGGGUUUGGCUAUGCGGGAGUCGUUGUAGUCGGCUCGGGGUGUCCCGAGAGAUGGAGGCGGUGGUUCUAGGGCUUCCGGUUUUAUUUCCCUUUUCUUGUGUGCUUGGUGGUCGGAUGAGAUCUCGAUUCGUUUGAUGACGCUCUCCGACGGACUGAAGAUGGAUCUGAGUGUGGUGGCUUCGUUUGUGUUAAGGAUGAGAUUUCGAUCAAGAUCGAUUGAUGCUCUCCGUUGGAAGAAGCGAGAAUGAUGAAGUAGUAUGCGGCGGAUGAGAUCUCGAUUCGUUCGAUGAAGGUUCUCCGUGGUACGAUGAUCGGAAGUACAUUGUUAAUCUCAGCGAAGCUGAAAUGGUCAGUGUCCUCUUCAUGUAAGAUGCUUUUGAGAGCUGGCUCUAGAAGUUUCCAAGCCUUGUCCAAUAAAACUUUGGGGUCAGCUGACAGAUAUCAAAAACAUAAAGAUAGCCAAAUAAGCCCACAAACACAUAAGAAUCGAAGAAAAGAGUUUUGAAUACACAGUACGUUUAGUACGGCAGAGGUUGAGAUUGAAAACUAGCGGAGUAGGGGAGAUAUUCGGAGGAUCGUCGUCGUCACUAAUUGAGGAUGGUGGAUUCACCAUAGCCGAUUCCAAUUUAACAACAUCGUUUGGGAUAUUCAGCGUCAUGGAAAAUAUACAAAGGAAAUUGUUUAGCGUUGUUGCCUCUUGCCUUGUAGGGUUGUUGCCAAAAUAAAAACAAAUUAACAUGGAAGAAUUAUGGUAAGAAACUCUAUAAAUAAAUAAUGCUAGAGAACUAUAUAAUUUUAUUAAUUUAUCAAAUUUUUCUUUUUACAUUUUUUUAUUUUAAAAUAUAUUUUCAAAAAAUAAGGAAAACUUCUUAAUUUCGGAAGAUUAAGAGGUCGCGAUGUGGUUCUAGGUCCGGUGGGAUCUGGUAAAGUUGCAGAGUUUGCGUGGGGCAUGCGGCUGCUAGGGUUUUCGUUUUGUUGGGCUUUAGACCCGUAGUGUGGUUUGUUAGUUGCUCCAUUUGUUUAAGCCUUUUUUGUUUUUGUUACUUUUCUGGUUGGUGGACUUUGUCCGUGGGUUUGGCCCUUUAAUUAAUAAAAAUAUCGAGGAAAAAAAAUAGGAUUCGAUUUUUUCAUAUUAUUUUCACAAAACACAAUAGUACGAAAGAUAUAUAAGUGCAUGGGAGAUAUAUAUAUAAGCUUGAAGGACUUAUGCGCCGGUAGUUUAUCCACACUAUGUAGUCAUGAUUCUAAUUUUUUUUCUUUACUAUUCUUAGAUUACACAUAGUCUAGCAUGGCAUAAUAGGAGUAGAUCAAUUAUUCUUCUGUAAAAGUCAUUUCUCAUAAAAAAUGAAUAAAUUGAAAUUUCAUUAAAAAAAACCCAUAAAACAAAAAGAACUACAAAUAUUCACACUUAUAUAAGAUUAGAUUUUCUCAUAUUAUUUUCACAGAACACAAUAGCAUGGGAGACAUAUAAGAGUAUCGGAGAUCUAUAUAAAUAUUACUUAAAAGUUUUCGUCAAUUUCAAUGAAAAUCCAACUAAAAAAGUGAGAAAAAUUAACUUAAAAGUAUCGAUCCUACCAUAUGUGCCAUCUAAAAACAUUCUCAGCCACUAAUCUACAUGGAACAAUUGAGAAUUAAGGGCCCAAAAAUACUUGUAAUUAUCAUGGACUUAAGGCAAAAGCCUUUUUCCUUACACUGUAGGCACGCCCUGAUGAGGGAGAGAACAAUUCAUAAUCCCUUAGACCAUCCCCAUUAGCCAUGCGGGGUGGAGUUUGCCACAUGGGUUUUUCUUUUAUUUUUUUUAUUUUUUUAUUUGUUUGCUUUAAAAAAAAAAUAUUAAUAAAGUAACCAAUCGUGGGUCGCCACGUGUCGUGGGACCCACGAAAACAGUGAUGAAUCGUCUCUUGCGGAUGAACCCCGACGAGACCAGUCUAUUAAGUUUACAAUAUUGUAUUAUUUUUUUUUUUGGGGAAGUGUGUGAACUCCUUCUUAAAACUUUCAAUGGGCAUGCUCUUAUAAUUAAAGUAAAGAAACAUCCAAAAGCAACAUGGCCUAAAUUCAAUCGUGGCAACCAAUGACUUGUCGGAAGAGGCCCUGAGCUUCCUAAUUCUAACAUCUCCUCGGGGAAUGGAUCAUCCAGCAUAGGUAAAACGACAGACAUUCCAAGACCUUCAAAACACUUUUGGGCAGUCUUCUCCAACAAAGGAUCUUCGGAAAAGUAAGUAAAACAUAUCUUAUCAACGUGAGCCUUGAACUCAGUCAAUGAUGAGCCUUCUUCCUUUAAAAUCUUCUCUCCAGUUUGACAAAUGUAGGAGCUCAGUGCAUUGUUGAUAUGACACACUAAAUCCGCCUGGCAGAACAGAUCAUACAUCAUACGAAGGGCCUCCCAGGGUCUCUCAUCCAUUAGCUUCUCAAAACCCUGCAACCAACCACAUGUACUUAGACAAACUUUGCAACAAAAAACCCACAUUAAAGAGAAAAGGAGGAGGAUUAGAACCUUUUCAAGAAUGGCACAAGCAUGAACCCCCAGGAGUUCCCUGUUGACAAAACUUGGAGCAGCUCAUCCUGGAGUCGAGAGAAAAGGGGGAGGAGGCUUUUGCAUUUUUUCUUCUCCUCACCAACCCUUUGCUGCAAAAAAAGAAGAACAAAGUAGAGCUACUCAGGGGAAAAUAUACAUUCACACAACAACCUACAUAUGUAGGAAAGAGAAGAAAUGGUACAUCGACAUGUGGAAAUAUAUUCACCACAGAACUCUAGAAUCAGGUUGGAAAGGGCUUCCCCUGACUUAUUCCACCAUGUCUUACCAACAGCCUGUGCAAAAUAGCUAUUAAUUAAGAACGAACGAAGAAUAAUAAUAAUCAAAGUAAGGGAAACAACAAGAAGGUACAUUGUUAAUCUCAGCGAAGCUGAAAUGGUCAGUGUCCUCUUCAUGUAAGAUGCUUUUGAGAGCUGGCUCUAGAAGUUUCCAAGCCUUGUCCAAUAAAACUUUGGGGUCAGCUGACAGAUAUCAAAAACAUAAAGAUAGCCAAAUAAGCCCACAAACACAUAAGAAUCGAAGAAAAGAGUUUUGAAUACACAGUACGUUUAGUACGGCAGAGGUUGAGAUUGAAAACUAGCGGAGUAGGGGAGAUAUUCGGAGGAUCGUCGUCGUCACUAAUUGAGGAUGGUGGAUUCACCAUAGCCGAUUCCAAUUUAACAACAUCGUUUGGGAUAUUCAGCGUCAUGGAAAAUAUACAAAGGAAAUUGUUUAGCGUUGUUGCCUCUUGCCUUGUAGGGUUGUUGCCAAAAUAAAAACAAAUUAACAUGGAAGAAUUAUGGUAAGAAACUCUAUAAAUAAAUAAUGCUAGAGAACUAUAUAAUUUUAUUAAUUUAUCAAAUUUUUCUUUUUACAUUUUUUUAUUUUAAAAUAUAUUUUCAAAAAAUAAGGAAAACUUCUUAAUUUCACUAUAUAAAUUAAUUAAAUUAUGUAAUUCGACUUUUAUAUUAUUUUAUGUAUAUAUUUUAUUAUAUCAAACUUGGUUUCUCAAAUUUACUAAUUAUUUUUUAUAUAAUUAACAUUUUAAACUUUAUUUUUUAUAUAAUUAACAUUUUAAACUUUAUUUUUGCUAAUUAAAUAGUUUUUAUAUUUCUUCAUAAAAUUCUUUUUAAAAACGGAAAUUUACUAUCAAAUAGGUUUUAGAAUUUUCAUUUGGUUGAGAUUUAUAAAAAGGAAAACUAAUAACUAAUGUAGAAUAAUUUUUUGAAAUGUAUUACAAUCAUGUUAAUUAGCAAAUGAUCCUCAUGUAACAGUAAUAUUCUUUUCUAAAAUUCUUAACAAACGAAAUUGUUAAAGUGUAUUCGAUAGUAGAUUACAUUUUUCAAAUCCUAAGCAAUAGAGAUUUGUAAAAUAAAAUAUUCAAAUAUUUCCUUAUAAUAACAUUUUUCCAUGUUUAAUAGUAAUUCCCUAGUAUUUGUUAAAAACAUAAACUAAAAAACACUACCAAUACUCACAUUUAUAUAUAAGACUAAGUUCUCUCAUAUUUUUUGACCAAACACAUACAAUAAAUAAGUUUUUCCUUUUUGAAAUGCUCUAAACUUUCUCUUCUACUAUCCUUACUACAUCUUAUGAUGAUAUCAUAAUGUCGUGAAUUCAUGUCGCUAUUAUGCUUAUGCGUUUGUUCGUAGACAUCUAAUUUAAUCUAUUAAUUUAUGAUCCUAUUUUUAUCUACUGUUAAACAAUGUUAUUUUAGUUUUUAACCUAUUCCUUUUUUCAUUAACAGAUAAUAUGUAUUUGAGAAUUCUGUUACAUUAACAUAUAUUUGUUUUUAAUAAUUUGACUAACAGCUAAAGAAUUGGAAAGAUCAAUACAAUCUAAACUGAACAUAAACCAAAUAUCACUACAAUCUAGCAACUUCAUAUAUUAUAACAAAAACUUAUAUUAUUUAUGAAAUGUAUUCUGUAAUUCUCAAAUCAAGAUUUAUUAAUAUGAAGCUAAAUAUUCAUAAUACAAGUUAAACAUACAAUUGUUUUUACACAAAGCAAAAAAAUACAAAUCUCCAAGUAUUCUCACAGCAUGUAUUGUCAAUUAUUAUAUGUGAACACCAAACCUAUACUAUUAAAGACCCAAAUAUCCAAACAAAAAACAGAUGAUUUUAACGUUAAAAUUGAUAUUUUGUGUAUUGCAAAAAAAAAUAUUAAUUCGUGUUCUAACUCGGGUACUAUCCUAGUUGUUAGUUAUAAUGUCAAUAUUAUAAGAUGUAGCAAGCAUAAUAUUAGAAGAAAUUACAGUUGUAUCAAAAAAUAAAAAAAAGAUGCAGUGGAGUCACAGCUGUGUUUCAAGUUCCGUAUCUUACUAUCUACGUAUUGUACAAUGUAAGUAUCCAAAAAAAAGACCCGAAAUGAGGUUAACAUGCAGUGGAGUCACAGCUGUGUUUCAAGUUCCGUAUCUUACUAUCUACGUAUUGUACGCUGAUGGGAAGAGAUGGUGAGUUUUUAUUAUUUACACAUAAUAAUCUCUUUAAAUGCCUAAUCUGUUUCCUCUGCUUAGAAUUCGAAAUAAAUUAUGCCCAUGCAAUUUUGCGAGAUUGUGUUUGUAGCUAAUACUUAGCAAAAUUUAAGUAAAUUCCAAGCAAAUUUGCAAUGAUUUUAUAAGAACUUUUAGUGACAUCUGUUUGGGGUGGGUUUCAUCUAUCUAUCAACGCCCAACCUAACUUAUUUAAGGCUCACUAAACAAUCAAGUUCUUGGUGAAAAUCAACUUUGGUGCUGCUUCAAUUGCUAAAAUCAUAUGCGCUAAACCACCCGAUAAAAAUCUAAAUUGUCAUGCUAUGACUAAUUCAUAGUUAGUUUCUGAAGAAGUAAAAUAUGACACUAAAUUGUCAUGCUAUGUUUUUUCAAAUCCCAAGUAAAUUUGCUUAGAAUUCGAAAGAAAUUAUACCCAUGCAAUUUAGUUAGAUUGUGUUUGUAGCUAAUGCUUAGCAAAAUUUAACUAAAUUCUAAGCAAAUUUGCAAUGAUUUUAUAAGAAAUUUUAAGUAAAUUAUAGUAUCUUCGUAGUUACUAGAGAAGAGAUAUACGGAUCAUAUGUUGGUCGUAACAAACAUACAUGGCUUCAAGAAACCCUGGCCCGAGAAACCUCUAUUGACUUUUGAAACCCCUUUUGACUCUGAUUUUUUUGUUCUUACUUUGUUUUUCUUCUGAUGACUACCGAUGUUGUUUGUUUCUCUCCCUUUUAUUACUGUGAUAGUCUUUUUGGACUGAAACCUUGUUGGACUACUUUUCAAGUUGAAUGAAAUCACCAGUAUUAAAAAGAAUGAUGAAACAUGGUUGAAAAUUUUGUAACUAGAAACGUGUACUCUUUAUGCAUGAAUUGUUAGUCCGAGAUGUGAAAUUUGAUUAAUAAAAUAGGUUUAUAUUGCGUUGUAAGAGCAUAUGCAACGGUGGACUCCUUCUUGGAGUCCUUACCACUAUUUUAGUUUUUUUUUUUUGUUUGAAUAGUUAAAGAUUCUAGUAAAAAUAGUGUGUCCAAUAGUGAUCCCCGAUUAGGAGUCCUUACACAUAUAUACAUAUUUUCCUCCAUCCAAUGAGACGCGACCACGUCACUAAGGACUUGAUCCUUAAACUCCUUGUCUAAGGAUUGCUCCUUACCGAAUUGGGCUUUGAUAAUAUUAUUUUAUCUGGAUUCGCCUAGGAUAUAGCGCUAAGGAUUCGUCUAAAUGAACCGCCGUUGCGGAUGCUCUAACUCACAAUUAGAGAGAUGCUUUAUUCAACUUCCUCAUCAUUCCUCGCCCAAAACAAUCAGAGGUUUUUGAACCAAAUCCAAAAAGAGCUAAACCGCCAAAGUAUAUUUCAAUAGUUGCCCAUGAAGAUAUAUGGAUUUAUAUGACCAAAAAACAACCACGAACCUUAGCAAUCAAACUCAAUAACAAUUAUGUCAAUCGCCAUUAAAAACUAGAAAAUUGCAGGAGAAAGGAUCAGAAAAUAGGCUUGAUUUCCUCUGAUGAGAGUAAAUAUAAAAUCGCUCAGUAUAAUCAGUUUCGAUCAUUUGGGGAAAUUGUCAUCACCUCCAUAACUCCAUUGCCACCAUUACAAAACAUAACAGACCAAUUAUCAAAGCUUUAGAAAGGAAAAACUAUACUUAAGGAGAUGGAUCAGAAAAUAGGCUUGAUUCCCUCUGAUGAGAGGAAAUAUAAAAUCGCUCAGUAUAAUCAAAUUCGAUCAUCUGGGGAAAUUGUCAUCACCUCCAAUUCUCCGUAAGUUAAAUAUUUAAAAAACUUUAUUAUAAUGCACCAACAUAGUUAAUGUAAUUAAAAUCAAAUAAAAAGGGAGAAGGAUCAGACUAAUUGGCUUGACUGUCCUCUGAUGGGAGGAAGUUCUAUUCGCUCAGUAUAAUCAGAUUCGAUCAUCUGGGGAAAUUGUCAUCAUCUCCAUUACCUCCAUAUAUACAUAUUUUCCUCCAUCCAAUGAGACGCGACCACGUCAUUAAGGACUUGAUCCUUAAACUCCUUGUCUAAGGAUUGCUCCUUACCGAAUUGGGCUUUGAUAAUAUUAUUUUAUCCGGAUUCGCCUAGGAUAUAGCGCUAAGGAUUCGUCUAAAUGGACCGCCGUUGCGGAUGCUCUAACUCACAAUUAGAGAGAUGCUUUAUUCAACUUCCUCAUCAUUCCUCGCCCAAAACAAUCAGAGGUUUUUGAACCAAAUCCAAAAAGAGCUAAACCGCCAAAGUAUAUUUCAAUAGUUGCCCAUGAAGAUAUAUGGAUUUAUAUGACCAAAAAACAACCACGAACCUUAGCAAUCAAACUCAAUAACAAUUAUGUCAAUCGCCAUUAAAAACUAGAAAAUUGCAGGAGAAAGGAUCAGAAAAUAGGCUUGAUUUCCUCUGAUGAGAGUAAAUAUAAAAUCGCUCAGUAUAAUCAGUUUCGAUCAUUUGGGGAAAUUGUCAUCACCUCCAUAACUCCAUUGCCACCAUUACAAAACAUAACAGACCAAUUAUCAAAGCUUUAGAAAGGAAAAACUAUACUUAAGGAGAUGGAUCAGAAAAUAGGCUUGAUUCCCUCUGAUGAGAGGAAAUAUAAAAUCGCUCAGUAUAAUCAAAUUCGAUCAUCUGGGGAAAUUGUCAUCACCUCCAAUUCUCCGUAAGUUAAAUAUUUAAAAAACUUUAUUAUAAUGCACCAACAUAGUUAAUGUAAUUAAAAUCAAAUAAAAAGGGAGAAGGAUCAGACUAAUUGGCUUGACUGUCCUCUGAUGGGAGGAAGUUCUAUUCGCUCAGUAUAAUCAGAUUCGAUCAUCUGGGGAAAUUGUCAUCAUCUCCAUUACCUCCAUAUAUACAUAUUUUCCUCCAUCCAAUGAGACGCGACCACGUCAUUAAGGACUUGAUCCUUAAACUCCUUGUCUAAGGAUUGCUCCUUACCGAAUUGGGCUUUGAUAAUAUUAUUUUAUCCGGAUUCGCCUAGGAUAUAGCGCUAAGGAUUCGUCUAAAUGGACCGCCGUUGCGGAUGCUCUAACUCACAAUUAGAGAGAUGCUUUAUUCAACUUCCUCAUCAUUCCUCGCCCAAAACAAUCAGAGGUUUUUGAACCAAAUCCAAAAAGAGCUAAACCGCCAAAGUAUAUUUCAAUAGUUGCCCAUGAAGAUAUAUGGAUUUAUAUGACCAAAAAACAACCACGAACCUUAGCAAUCAAACUCAAUAACAAUUAUGUCAAUCGCCAUUAAAAACUAGAAAAUUGCAGGAGAAAGGAUCAGAAAAUAGGCUUGAUUUCCUCUGAUGAGAGUAAAUAUAAAAUCGCUCAGUAUAAUCAGUUUCGAUCAUUUGGGGAAAUUGUCAUCACCUCCAUAACUCCAUUGCCACCAUUACAAAACAUAACAGACCAAUUAUCAAAGCUUUAGAAAGGAAAAACUAUACUUAAGGAGAUGGAUCAGAAAAUAGGCUUGAUUCCCUCUGAUGAGAGGAAAUAUAAAAUCGCUCAGUAUAAUCAAAUUCGAUCAUCUGGGGAAAUUGUCAUCACCUCCAAUUCUCCGUAAGUUAAAUAUUUAAAAAACUUUAUUAUAAUGCACCAACAUAGUUAAUGUAAUUAAAAUCAAAUAAAAAGGGAGAAGGAUCAGACUAAUUGGCUUGACUGUCCUCUGAUGGGAGGAAGUUCUAUUCGCUCAGUAUAAUCAGAUUCGAUCAUCUGGGGAAAUUGUCAUCAUCUCCAUUACCUCCAUAUAUACAUAUUUUCCUCCAUCCAAUGAGACGCGACCACGUCAUUAAGGACUUGAUCCUUAAACUCCUUGUCUAAGGAUUGCUCCUUACCGAAUUGGGCUUUGAUAAUAUUAUUUUAUCCGGAUUCGCCUAGGAUAUAGCGCUAAGGAUUCGUCUAAAUGGACCGCCGUUGCGGAUGCUCUAACUCACAAUUAGAGAGAUGCUUUAUUCAACUUCCUCAUCAUUCCUCGCCCAAAACAAUCAGAGGUUUUUGAACCAAAUCCAAAAAGAGCUAAACCGCCAAAGUAUAUUUCAAUAGUUGCCCAUGAAGAUAUAUGGAUUUAUAUGACCAAAAAACAACCACGAACCUUAGCAAUCAAACUCAAUAACAAUUAUGUCAAUCGCCAUUAAAAACUAGAAAAUUGCAGGAGAAAGGAUCAGAAAAUAGGCUUGAUUUCCUCUGAUGAGAGUAAAUAUAAAAUCGCUCAGUAUAAUCAGUUUCGAUCAUUUGGGGAAAUUGUCAUCACCUCCAUAACUCCAUUGCCACCAUUACAAAACAUAACAGACCAAUUAUCAAAGCUUUAGAAAGGAAAAACUAUACUUAAGGAGAUGGAUCAGAAAAUAGGCUUGAUUCCCUCUGAUGAGAGGAAAUAUAAAAUCGCUCAGUAUAAUCAAAUUCGAUCAUCUGGGGAAAUUGUCAUCACCUCCAAUUCUCCGUAAGUUAAAUAUUUAAAAAACUUUAUUAUAAUGCACCAACAUAGUUAAUGUAAUUAAAAUCAAAUAAAAAGGGAGAAGGAUCAGACUAAUUGGCUUGACUGUCCUCUGAUGGGAGGAAGUUCUAUUCGCUCAGUAUAAUCAGAUUCGAUCAUCUGGGGAAAUUGUCAUCAUCUCCAUUACCUCCAUAUAUACAUAUUUUCCUCCAUCCAAUGAGACGCGACCACGUCAUUAAGGACUUGAUCCUUAAACUCCUUGUCUAAGGAUUGCUCCUUACCGAAUUGGGCUUUGAUAAUAUUAUUUUAUCCGGAUUCGCCUAGGAUAUAGCGCUAAGGAUUCGUCUAAAUGGACCGCCGUUGCGGAUGCUCUAACUCACAAUUAGAGAGAUGCUUUAUUCAACUUCCUCAUCAUUCCUCGCCCAAAACAAUCAGAGGUUUUUGAACCAAAUCCAAAAAGAGCUAAACCGCCAAAGUAUAUUUCAAUAGUUGCCCAUGAAGAUAUAUGGAUUUAUAUGACCAAAAAACAACCACGAACCUUAGCAAUCAAACUCAAUAACAAUUAUGUCAAUCGCCAUUAAAAACUAGAAAAUUGCAGGAGAAAGGAUCAGAAAAUAGGCUUGAUUUCCUCUGAUGAGAGUAAAUAUAAAAUCGCUCAGUAUAAUCAGUUUCGAUCAUUUGGGGAAAUUGUCAUCACCUCCAUAACUCCAUUGCCACCAUUACAAAACAUAACAGACCAAUUAUCAAAGCUUUAGAAAGGAAAAACUAUACUUAAGGAGAUGGAUCAGAAAAUAGGCUUGAUUCCCUCUGAUGAGAGGAAAUAUAAAAUCGCUCAGUAUAAUCAAAUUCGAUCAUCUGGGGAAAUUGUCAUCACCUCCAAUUCUCCGUAAGUUAAAUAUUUAAAAAACUUUAUUAUAAUGCACCAACAUAGUUAAUGUAAUUAAAAUCAAAUAAAAAGGGAGAAGGAUCAGACUAAUUGGCUUGACUGUCCUCUGAUGGGAGGAAGUUCUAUUCGCUCAGUAUAAUCAGAUUCGAUCAUCUGGGGAAAUUGUCAUCAUCUCCAUUACCUCCAUAUAUACAUAUUUUCCUCCAUCCAAUGAGACGCGACCACGUCAUUAAGGACUUGAUCCUUAAACUCCUUGUCUAAGGAUUGCUCCUUACCGAAUUGGGCUUUGAUAAUAUUAUUUUAUCCGGAUUCGCCUAGGAUAUAGCGCUAAGGAUUCGUCUAAAUGGACCGCCGUUGCGGAUGCUCUAACUCACAAUUAGAGAGAUGCUUUAUUCAACUUCCUCAUCAUUCCUCGCCCAAAACAAUCAGAGGUUUUUGAACCAAAUCCAAAAAGAGCUAAACCGCCAAAGUAUAUUUCAAUAGUUGCCCAUGAAGAUAUAUGGAUUUAUAUGACCAAAAAACAACCACGAACCUUAGCAAUCAAACUCAAUAACAAUUAUGUCAAUCGCCAUUAAAAACUAGAAAAUUGCAGGAGAAAGGAUCAGAAAAUAGGCUUGAUUUCCUCUGAUGAGAGUAAAUAUAAAAUCGCUCAGUAUAAUCAGUUUCGAUCAUUUGGGGAAAUUGUCAUCACCUCCAUAACUCCAUUGCCACCAUUACAAAACAUAACAGACCAAUUAUCAAAGCUUUAGAAAGGAAAAACUAUACUUAAGGAGAUGGAUCAGAAAAUAGGCUUGAUUCCCUCUGAUGAGAGGAAAUAUAAAAUCGCUCAGUAUAAUCAAAUUCGAUCAUCUGGGGAAAUUGUCAUCACCUCCAAUUCUCCAUAAGUUAAAUAUUUAAAAAACUUUAUUAUAAUGCACCAACAUAGUUAAUGUAAUUAAAAUCAAAUAAAAAGGGAGAAGGAUCAGACUAAUUGGCUUGACUGUCCUCUGAUGGGAGGAAGUUCUAUUCGCUCAGUAUAAUCAGAUUCGAUCAUCUGGGGAAAUUGUCAUCAUCUCCAUUACCUCCAUAUAUACAUAUUUUCCUCCAUCCAAUGAGACGCGACCACGUCACUAAGGACUUGAUCCUUAAACUCCUUGUCUAAGGAUUGCUCCUUACCGAAUUGGGCUUUGAUAAUAUUAUUUUAUCUGGAUUCGCCUAGGAUAUAGCGCUAAGGAUUCGUCUAAAUGAACCGCCGUUGCGGAUGCUCUAACUCACAAUUAGAGAGAUGCUUUAUUCAACUUCCUCAUCAUUCCUCGCCCAAAACAAUCAGAGGUUUUUGAACCAAAUCCAAAAAGAGCUAAACCGCCAAAGUAUAUUUCAAUAGUUGCCCAUGAAGAUAUAUGGAUUUAUAUGACCAAAAAACAACCACGAACCUUAGCAAUCAAACUCAAUAACAAUUAUGUCAAUCGCCAUUAAAAACUAGAAAAUUGCAGGAGAAAGGAUCAGAAAAUAGGCUUGAUUUCCUCUGAUGAGAGUAAAUAUAAAAUCGCUCAGUAUAAUCAGUUUCGAUCAUUUGGGGAAAUUGUCAUCACCUCCAUAACUCCAUUGCCACCAUUACAAAACAUAACAGACCAAUUAUCAAAGCUUUAGAAAGGAAAAACUAUACUUAAGGAGAUGGAUCAGAAAAUAGGCUUGAUUCCCUCUGAUGAGAGGAAAUAUAAAAUCGCUCAGUAUAAUCAAAUUCGAUCAUCUGGGGAAAUUGUCAUCAACAUCCAAUUCUCCAUAAGUUAAAUAUUUAAAAAACUUUAUUAUAAUGCACCAACAUAGUUAAUGUAAUUAAAAUCAAAUAAAAAGGGAGAAGGAUCAGACUAAUUGGCUUGACUGUCCUCUGAUGGGAGGAAGUUCUAUUCGCUCAGUAUAAUCAGAUUCGAUCAUCUGGGGAAAUUGUCAUCAUCCCCAUUACCCCCCCCCCCCCCAAACAAAAACAGUGUCGGAAAACUAUAUUCAGACAAUCAAACUCCAGAUCCUAAGCUGUCUAGACCGAAACAUAUACAGAUAAGAUUUCCCCUAAACUGCAAACUCGUGAUGGUUGAAAAACACAGAGGCUUUUCGUAUAAAAGCCAAAAACGAAUAGCAGAAACAGGGAACUACUAUGGCGUCAGCUCAUACGCAGCGGACAUGAACAAGAACGGUGGUAAUCAGUUAAAAGUGACGCGGACAAGCAAAAUUGACAUAAACAUUUAAGUGGAAAUUCAAGAGCACAGAGAAUGGAUCUAGCGGAAAGAUAAACUCAACGGCUGAGUUUAUUGAGAUUCAGGUUUAGGCAAAAGGUUUUUAUAAGAACCAAUCAGAUGAGGCGGUUGUCAUAAAACCCUAAUAACCCGCGUGUUAUUCAAGUGACUCGUUGUUUGUGUAAAUUGCUAUUUGGGCCUCGUACAUUAUGGGCCUUCGGAAAGUGGUUACUACUUUAAAAUAUUUGAUCAAUUCGGUUCUUUUUUAUAUUCCUGGAAAAUAAAUUCUCUAGAAAUCAAAAUAGACUAUGAGAAAAUUUCACAAACAAAAAAUAGAUUAUGAUUAUGUCUAAUAUGAUAUUUAAAUAUAUUGAGCCUGUUUAUCGAGCAAGAAUUUCAAAUUAACACUAUAAUAAUGCAUAACAAUAUAAUAAUGCAUAACAAUUUCAAAAACUUAAAAAAAAAAAACUAUUUGAAAGAAUUGCCCAUAUAAUUAUGCAUAACAAAUCUUUUUCUUCCCCAAUAAUUUUUAACAAUGACAAUGGAAUCAAUCUACAUAUAUAUAGUAUACAAUGCGUAAUAGUAUAAAUGUAUAUCCUCUCUUCUUUUUCAAAAGGGGUAUACCACAAUUGUAUUGAAUAUAAAUAAAUCAUAAAAUAAUUGUGAGACCUUUGUAAUAACGUUUUGCAACUAAACUAAUCUGCUUCAAUUUCAUCUUGGCAACAUUUUCAGCCUUCUUGAACCAAGAAUCCUUGUCUUCUUCUUCAGUAAACAUUGUUCUCUCUUCAAUUCCUUGAACCGGAUUUAUGUGAAUUUUCAAAACCUGUGACGGUACGACUUGAUAGUAUAAAACUUCACUUGUUUGACGUGUACAAAUGAGCAUUUUGUGGUCUACUCUAAUGUCUUCUUCGAUCGUUGUCUUGUCGUCUGCGUCUCCUUCAACUUGGUUUUCGAACGAGAAAAAAUCAUCGAUCUCUAUGUUGUUGAUAGUAUUGGUCCGAGGCCCGCCUGUAAUAUUAAAACAAAUACACGAUAUAUGAUUUACUCAACAUUUCUAUAUAUGUGGUAGCAGUUCUGUAAUUUGCUAUUUAAUACUAUAUCAUACCCACCAAAACAUUCAAGAUCUUGGUCAUUAUCCUCAAAACUUGGCAAAAUCUCGUCUUGAUUUAUAAAACUCUGCUGUCAAGGAAUGCAUAAGUUAGAGAGAGGAUUCAUGGCUUGGACUUAGACUUUAGAACAAAGAAUAUAAAUGACGAUUUCACAUUAAUGAUUAUGAGAUAUGAUGUUAAUUACCUGUUUCAGACUCCCGCUAGACGUUUUCAUCCAUGUGGAAUUCCCAGCAUUGAGGAGCUGUUCCUCGAGAUUUCCAAUGUGUAUUAAAUGAUCAUCAACGUUGUUGUUAUAGAGCUGGUUGGAGUUACUUGCAGCGAAAGUAAAGUCGUUGAAACCGUAUUGACCGCUGUUUUGAUUAGUUCCAUUGGAGAAAUCGCUGGUUUGAAUUGGCGAGCCUUCUACUCGCAAUGGUGGCAAUGACAUCUGAUGUUGCAACAUCCCACAUUCAAUCUCUGUAUUCACCUAUACAUACAAUAGAUUUAGAUACGAAAUUGAUAAUUUAAUAUAAACUAUGGACUUAUAUUAGCUAUAUAUAUAAGCUUACAUUUGGUUGAGUGAGGUAAGAUCCAUAAGGAGAUCCGUAAUUUGAAAAGCCUGUAGGCAUGCCUUGUGCCAUGUAUUGUGACCAGUCAUCAUGAUCACCGAUUGCGUUUGUGUUUCCAAAUUUUGGUUGGGUCUCGGUAGCGUUGUUAUAAUUAGGUAGAACUUGAUGUGUACUUGAACUUAUCUCAAGAUCCGAACAAACAUCAAAACUUGAGUUACCACUUACAUUCGAACUCGUGUUUACGUAAUGUUGAUGAUGAUGAUGCUGAUGUUGAUCUAAUCUUGGUUUCGCUUCAACGAUUAUCUUCUUAAAAACACGGCAAAGUGCAUAUGCAUCCUGAAAUUUAAAUGAUAAACAUCAAUUAAAGUUAUUUUCAAACGGUUUUGUCUUAAUAUAUACAAGGAAAUUAUAAUAUGGACCGGUUUGGUUAAGUUUUCAACCUGCAUGCCGAAUGCAGUAGGCUCGCAUUCAGUUUCAUCGAGGCGAUAUUCAUGCAUGACCCAACCAGUUCUAAUACCAUGUGGUGCGCGUCCACGGUAAUAAACUAAUGUUUUCUUGGUUCCUAUGGCUUGAUCUUUCAAACUCACCCGCCGGUCUUUGCCCGUGGCUUUCCAAUAACCGCCUUUUGUUGCCCGGUUUGUUCUUGAACCAUUGGGGUACUUUCUGUCCCGUGGACUGAAGAAGUACCAUUCUUGGUCUUUACUAGGAAGCAAUGAUUUCCCUGCCAAUUUUUAUAAUUAAUUAACUUUUGACAACACUUUAUUGUAUAUUAUUAUUAGAAGCUUAGUUUUUUAGAUAAGCCAAUUUAAUUUCUAUGAUUAAUUCUCUUUAUCUAUCCCGUAUGAAAUAUUAAGUUUGAUAAGUUAUUUACUGUUUCCAAUAAAAACCCUAAAGUACAAAAAUAGACAAACUAUAACAUAAAAGGAGUGGUGGUCGAUGAAACUUUUUGACCAAAAGGAGAUUAUAAAAAGUCGAUUGCGUCUGCUCUACUGAAUACUACUAUAUGACUAAACUUAAUUGUUUUUUAGAGAAAUCAAACCGAUAGUCCCAAUCCAAAACUGAUCUUACAAAUAUAAUAUAAUUAGUACUGAAUCAAUGUUUAAUUUCUGAAGUAGAUUUGCAACUUCUUUUAUUCGAAAGAAAAUAAAAUUGUAGAGGUUUAGAAGCGGAUAUGAAUCGAAAUGAAGGUAUAUAUAUAUAUAGAUGUAUUAAUUGUGGUCAAGUUAAAGUAUUUUAUGGUUUUCUUGGACAUGUGAUAUUCUUAUUCUUUUCUUCACUCUUAGACCACCCGCAACGGUAUAUUUUGAGGGUCCUUAGCACAUAAUCCUAGACUAAUUGGAAUAAAAUAAUUUAACAAAGCUCAGUUUGGUAAGGAGCAGUCCUAAAUUAACAGGUUCUAAGGAGCAAAUCCUUAGUGACGUGGCAAGCUCUUUUCCGAUCAUCAUCGGAGCUAACGUCUUCCGAUGAUCUUAUUCUCCUUUUAGUAUAGUAAUAAUAUAGAUUGGUCCAAAAUGAUUACUGAAACACUCCUGAAAAAAAAAAAAAAAUAAUUUAUAGAAACCACUUUUAAAAUUGAUUAAAAGAUUAGAAUUGCUAUAGAAAAUUAAUAAUUAUUGUAUUUGGUGAUGAAAAUAUAUUUAAAUCAGUAAUUAUUGUAUUUUUAUAUAUUUAAUCAUGUAAUAAAUAAAUAUUUAAAUUUAACAUGUUUUAAUUUUUUUUUCUUCUUAAUGAUAGUUACUCAUGCAAAAAUAAAUAUCUUAUUUUUACAUGUUUUUUUUUUCUUAAUGAAAGUUAAUCAUGCAAAAUUAAAUAUUUAAAUUUGACAUGUUUUAUUUUUUUUCUUAAUGAUAGUUAAUCAUGCAAAAAUAUAUAUUUUAAUUUCACAUGUUUUAAAAUUUAUUAAUUUUUUAUUCUUAAGGAUUCCAAAUUAGAUAACACCAUUGGACAUACUAAUUUGAUUAGAGUUCUUAAUUAUUUAAAAAAAAUACUUUAAUAUUCCUAAGGAUUUCAAUGGUGGUAACACCAUUGGAGAUGCUCUUAUGUCUUGAACCUACGUUCAAACCCCUUUAAGCUCUUACGCCAUAAAGGGUUCACGUACCGGAUUAUAUAUUGAUAGAUUGAUAUGUGGUUACUCAUUAAUGCACUUAUAAUUAUUACCUGGCAAGUCCCAUGGUUCACACUUGUAUAGGUCGACUUCAGGAAUAAUCUCUAGCUCAAUCUCUCGACCGUUGAUCUUUCUUUUGAGAUAGUAUGUGAUUAGUUCUUCAUCCGUUGGGUGAAACCUAAAACCAGGAGGCAGCGAGACCGGGGCCAUGAAUAUCUUCGGUUGACGAUGAUACUGAGACCUCUUGAUCGAUCGAUUUAAUAUCAGAUUCGAACAAAAAGAUUUAACGAACGGUCUUGUUUCGAGAAAACUCUGACAAGACCGAUCGUAGUGUUUGUAAAUAAUUAAAAGGAAUGAUUGAGUAGCCGAGAUAAUAGAUUAGGAGAGAGAUAAUACGAAAGACUCGAAAGAAGAAAGAGAGAGAAGACAAAUGUUUUGUGUUUUUUGUGUUGAGGCUUUGAACGCGCGGUAUAGGUUUAUAAAUAAAGAGGAGAAAGACAAAAAUUCAUAUAAAAUAGUGAAUAAUUAAAGAAGAUGAUGCCACCCUCAUAACAAAGUAUAUGUAACUAAUAAUAUAAAGUUAUAAAGAAAAUACCCAAUCUCUUCUCUUUUUGUUCUUUCUUACACAUAUUCUGAUUCUCGCCAUCGUUCUAUUCAAGUUUGAUGAUAUAGGUUGGAAGAAAUUAUAAGCUUUUGUAUUUCUUACAAAUGUAAUGGAUAUUUCAGAAUUAGGCAAACUAAUUUUUUGAGAAAGAAUUGUUUAAAUUUAAAAUCCACAAAGUUGCAAAUUAAAACUUAUAUACAAAGACUAUUCGUUAUAAAUUAUGUACAUUUCACACUUAUUUUCCAAUGUUUAGUAGUGGUUUUGGGAUACCAGUAAAGUUUCAAAUACAUAGUUUUAAUUUUAUGAUUUAACAUUCAUAACAGUGAUAAUAUUUAUAUGAAAAUGACCAUAGUGUGUUAAACUAUGCAUAGACAUGUCUUGACUGAAUCUGGCGCUAGUAAUAAAAGAUUUGGGAACAUAAUGCAAAAAAAAAGAAAAUCAGUAUUUCUUUAUCAAAAUGGUCUCCUAGGGUAUUCCAUCCUUCUCCAAGUGUGUCGGUUUGGAAUGUGUCCACGUGGCUAUACAUCAUUGGAUGCAUGGGGGAACGAAUCUUGUGUUAACCAAUAGAAACUGGUUUCAGAUCUCUUUAUGUUUGGCGGCGCUUCUAACUGAAACUGUCUCUUUAUGAUUGUAAAUUGUCUCCUUUGUAUCUCCACUUGCGAAUCGCCGACUCAUUCGUUACUUCGUGAUUACCGCAGAACAAUAUACAAUCUCAAUUGUAAAUAUAUGUAAAUAUUUGUAUUUUCUUGUAACCGAUCCCGAACCGAAUCCUAAACUGAUCCCAAUGUGGAGCAAUUAAUCUUAUGAACUAAAAGGUAAAUGAAAUCGUGUUUUGGUUAGUUACUUCAGUUAUGUAUGUUGCGCACUUCUUAGAGAACAUGUUGAAUGAUGUGUCCAUACAGAAGCGCAUGUGUAGUAGUAAAACAUAUCGCAGUUUAUCUUCUUUUUAACGUGAAAUUCUAGGUAAUUUUAUUAGCUCUGAUCUCUUUUCCAAGCAUAUUUGCUCUGAUCUCGCGUCAUCAGUUGAAGUAUGAUAAUUGAUUAUAUUUUGGUUACUUUGUGUGCAGUCUGGCAAUUCUCAAGAAAACCUCUCCUACUACAUCCACGAGAAAGUUCACAAUCCUCAUUGCUUCUCCAGAUCAUCAUUCCUAUAUGUGAUAAUUGUUCUUGGGGUCCCUUGUUCUUAUUCACUCAUUUAGUUACAAUAUAUUCCUCAUUAAUUACUUGCCACUAAUUCUUUGUUUUUCCAAGUUUUUAAAUGUGUUGUUGGUUUAAAACAUGAUCCUUCGUAUGUAGUUUUUGAAAACUACAUAUGUGAAAUAUGAUAACUGUCUUUCACUAUAAAAUUGUGAACAAAACAAAACGAGGAUGAGACAAAGAAGAUCGUAAUUCGUCCAUGAGCAUAUGUAACAUCUAAACGACAACAAACACAUGAUAGUAAUAUAUAUACACAGGCAUAUAAGAGUAUUAACUUUACAACCAUAUAUAAUUUUGUAGGUAAAGAGAUGUACAAGCUGGGAGUCCACAUGGUAGAUCAUGUGGGUCCAACUUGUGCCCAUGUGAAUAAAUCCUUGGAGGCAUUGAUGGGCCAAUCCCAGCAUCGCUUCUAAGCUUUUCCCAUCACCAUCAUCAACUUUUCUGUCAUUUAUUCAAACUCCAUAUUCCAGAUCUAUAUCCAGUAGUUAUAUAUACAUAUACUAUACUACCAUUAGCAUAUAACACAGACAUAUAAUAACAAAUUGGGUAUACCCUUCUUUACACUUUUCCCUCACAUGAAUCCAUCUUUUUGUUCUUUACUUAUUAGUUUCUCCCUUUCACACAACAUCUACAAAUUAGCUAAAGAUUGUUCAUAUAUGCUUUAUUAGCUAGUAUUCCUACUAUAUACUGAGUUUUAACAAUGAAAUGUAUUACUUAUCUAUAAACAUAUUAUCACAAUUAACAACUACAGUCUAUUACUUAUUAUGUAAAUAUAUAACGAGAAACAUACUAAAUAAAGAGUAAAUUUACAUGGUCGAUGAGACAAAACGAGAAAUAAGAACACCAAUAGAGAAAAAUGUCAAAACUUGGCUUGGCCGGUUUGCUGGUUCUAUACGGGUUUACCGCUUUUUUCUUGAUUUCCCGGUUAAUGACCUCCCGUGUUUAGACCGCAAACCAAACCGAAAAGACAUUCGCGUCACAAUUAAACUUCACCAUGAAACGACACCGUUAUAUUAACCACAAGAACCUCCCAAAACCUCUCCUCAAUUCUUCAUCCUCGUCUCAACACCACAACCAUGGUCGACGGCGAAAUUCAAAUCCUACGCGGUUACGAGCUCCGUCUCCUGCGGUGCACCGUAUCUUCACCACCGUCAGACUCUCCUCCCGAAACCCAUCCGCAGGACUCUCUUAUAAACUCCUUUUUGUCCCUAAUCGAGUCCGGAGACUACCUCGGAGCUCUAGGCUCCGACGCUACUAAGCUAAUACUAGGCGACGCCGAGUUGGACCUGGUUGACUCGGUUGAUUCGGCUGAGCGAGUUUAUUCCGAGCUUCUCGAAAAGGUGGAGUCUUUCGUGGUGAACGGUUCGUCGGAUGGAAUCGACAAGGCCCGCCGGGCUGUUAUGGUGAUGUGCUUAGCGAUCGCGGCUGCUUUUUGGUUCACUCGUUGCAAUUUGACCGGGUAAGUUGCCUAGUUAUUGCAAAACUCAAACUUCACUGCUGUUACUAGUUGUUUUGUCGCCAUAUAAUGUAGGCAUAAUCACUGCUGUUACUAGUUGUUAAAAACUUUUACUUGAUUAACUAGAUCAAAGCAAAAAAUCACUUUUCAAAAAAUAAUAUAGAUGUUUUUAUUACAAAAAUCCAACCAGUUUUUGUGUUUUGUCGUUUUCAACUUGUUAGGCCGACAGAUGGAUCAACGAAGUGUUCGUUACCGUUUAAAGUAUCAGAAAAAAGUAAGGAGUUAGUUGAAUGGGAAAACUGGGCAAAGAUUCAGCUCAUGUCUGCAGGCUCUGACUUGCUCGGCAAGUUUUCUAAUCUCCAGGUUACUAUUUAUAUUUGGAAGCCCUUUUAAAUUAGUUUUGAUCUUUGUUCUGUAGUGAACUCUACCUAACCCACAUCCUACUUUCUCUUUUUCCUGCAGCACUUAGUGUUUGCUAGAAUGCUUCUGUUAAAGUUGAAAGAUUUGUAUGCUACUGAAACAUUUGAACUAAGGAGUGUUUCUUGGUGGAUUGUGAGAGUUUUGCUUAUUCAUCAAAGAGUUCUACAUGAGCGAUCUUCGUCUUUGUUUGAUAUGUUGCAAGUCUAUAUGGCUGAAGCUUUAGACUAUUUUGGAGACUUGCAAAAAGUUGAAACCUAUUGGGAUGACAAGUUGCUGGAAGGAGAAGUUUCAUCUAUAACGUCAACCAUCCAUCUGGAAGCAUUUGUCUUGCAAUACAUUUAUGGAAGGGUUGAUCCCUGUAGGUAAGUUAAUCAUUGAGACGGCGUCGUCUUUGCCUACUUCUUACAUGUUUAUAGCUUCUUAUGGCAUGGCAUUAUGUUAUUAACACACACAUAUAUUGUCAGGUUGCAGCUUGAAUCUGCUAAAGCAGCAUCAAAGCUGGAGCUCUCUGUUAGUGGGGCUUUUGGAUUCCGUACUAUUCACCAAGUAAGGCUAUGAGAUUUAUUUAUUUAUUUUUGCUAUAUGUAUUAUUAAACUUUGUUAUUCUAAGUACCUAUGGUCUUUGUUGUAGGUAGAGCCAAAGGCACAAAUGGUAUUGGUAGCGAAUACAAGCUCAUCCAAUGGGGACGUGAGGCUGGCCUCUGAAAAAGCUGAUGUUGGAUCUUAUUAUGAAGCUUGGGGAGGUGAAGCUCCUGAAGUAUACAUGACUCCCAAACUAGUGAACGAUGAGGGUGAAGCUGGCAAAGACUCGGUGACGUUAAAACCAGUCGAACAGGCAAUGGUUUUGGCUCAGUGCCUUUUAAUUGAGAAGGGUAGUCGGAGCGAUGAGAUGCAAAGUAAGUAAAACCCAAAUUCAAGUGUCAUUUAAAACGUUUAGAGUAAGUGUUCUGUAGAGAGAGGUUUGAUGCAAAUAUGGAGAGAAUGAUAGUAACUCUGUCCUUUAGUUUUAUUUAUAUACUCUAUAUAUUUUUUUCCUGCAGGAUGGGAUAUGGCUCCCUAUAUUGAGGCAAUUGACUCUCAAAAGUCAACAUAUUUUACUGUAAGCUACUAUCUUUUCAGUUAUUCACUUAUCUCAGUUGACUAGUUUAAAAAGUGUUGAUGUAUAGAGAAGUUGGUUUCUCAUUUUGUCAUAAGCCAAUGCAAGUGAAACAAACUGACUGACUUGUGUUCUUACGGACAUGCUAUUAGCUACGGUGUUUGUGUGACUUACUACGUGUUCGGUGGGAAUCAACUCGGAGUCGUACAAAGGGACGUGCCCUGGAGAUGGUGGAUAAACUGGUAUGUGUGCACUGUGCAGAGCAUUGGCAUUAUCAAAUUAGUUUGUUCUUCUUUUUUGAGGGAUAAAUUGUCUUCUAUUAGGUUGAAUCUAUCAACAAGAGCGACCCAGGAGCAUCAAAAAGGAUCCCUUUAUGCUUUGCAGUUCAUCUCCCUACCAUUCCUGAUUGAGAAAGUAAGAUAUAUUUUUUUACUUAUGUCCAUGUAUAGAAAUCCUUUUUUUUUUUUAUAGUUUUUUUGCACUGUACCGAUUUGAUUAUAAAAACAGGGAAUACGGUGAACUUCUCGUGAGUUGCGGUUUGGUUGGGGAAGCAAUCACAAUAUUCGAGAGCUUGGAAUUGUGGGAUAGUCUAAUUCACUGCUACUGGUAAACUAAAGCUUCACUUGUUUUUUCCCUUUCCAAUAUGGCUUUAUGUUAUGCCGGUAAGCUUAUGUUAUGUCGAUUUGAAACUUCAGCUUCCUGGGGAAGAAAUCAGCGGCUGUGGAUCUCAUCAAUGCGCAGCUUUUGGAAAGGCCAAAUGACCCAAGAUUAUGGUAUAUAUAAAUCUUUGAUAUUUUCCUGUUGGUAUGAAGAGCCGUAAUCAUUUUCUGAGUGGAUAUUUCUGUAACCUUGGUUUAUACUACAAAGUUAUAUUUGGUUUCAGGUGUUCACUUGGUGAUGUUACGAAUAAUGACUCCUGUUAUGAAAAAGCCCUGGAGGUUUCAAAUGAUAAGUCAGUUCGUGCUAAGGUAGUUUGAUACACAAUAAUGUAAUCAUCUUAUAUGUCCUCCUCUCUCAGUCCACGCUCUAAUUAUCUCACUCCAUCUUGUAGCGUGCUCUUGCUCGCAGCGCAUACAAUCGCGGUGAUUUCGAGAAGUCGCAGAUGCUGUGGUAUGUUUGAACAAAUAUGUUUUUAAACCCUUUAGGCCUGUGUACUGUUGCUAUGUCUCAUCUUUUCCCCUACUUCAGGGAGGCUGCAAUGGCCUUGAAUUCUCUGUACCCGGAUGGUUGGUUUGCUCUUGGUGCUGCUGCAUUGAAGGUAUCAUCCUAUUCCAUAUUCUCUAAUAGCUGAGUAGCAAUAUGUUCUCAUUCCAAAUGUCAUUAGAUAAACAAGAUAGAAACUCGUCAUUAUCGCUUAGAGGGAUACUAAUUUAACAUCUCCUACAUUACUCCAUAGGCUAGGGAUGUUCAGAAAGCAAUCGAUGCAUUCACUUUCGCUGUUCAACUUGAUCCUGACAAUGGAGAGGCCUGGAACAACAUUGCUUGUCUGUAAGCACUUCACUGUCCACCUACUUUCACUAUCACAUUUACUAUGGAUGGUGCUGAAUAUAAUUUAUGGGUGCAGGCAUAUGAUUAAAAAGAAGAGCAAAGAAUCAUUCGUUGCUUUCAAAGAAGCGCUUAAGUUCAAGUAUCUCUCUUUCCCUUACCAUUUAUAAUAACUCGAAUUAAGAUAUUUGUAGUGUUACUAAUUUCAAAACGACCGUGUAUCAACAGGCGAGAUAGCUGGCAGAUGUGGGAGAACUUCAGCCAUGUAGCUAUGGAUGUGGGAAACAUUGAUCAGGUAGAUGCAACUAAACCACUUAAGAUUUUUAAUUCAGCACUUUGUAUAAAUGACUUAACUAGUAGUUCUCCCCUAUAUCGGUUUGAUGGAGUUAUAUGAGUUGAUUCAUCUGUGUGUUGUUUUUUUUCCAGACCUUUGAAGCUAUACAACAGAUACUGAGAAUGAGCAAAAACAAGAGGAUUGAUGUUGUUUUAUUAGACCGUAUAAUGACAGAGUUAGAAAAUAGGAAUUCAGCAUGUAAGUCAUCAUCUUCAUCGGUUGGAUCAGUAGAAACAGAACCGUGUGCUGCAACACCAGCUGAAACUCAGCGUCACUUAGAGUUGCUUGGGAAAAUUAUUCAGCAGGUUAGCAAACUAUUUUGAUAACUAGUAUAUGUAUCUUUGUAUCGUCUCAUUGUCUAAGUUUUCAUUUAUAUGAUUCUUGCCUGUGGAUAAAAUGUCUCUUAUAGAUUGUCCGAACAGAAAGUACAUCUGAAAUCUGGGGAUUAUAUGCAAGAUGGAGUAGAAUCAAAGGAGAUCUUAUGGUAUGCAGUGAGGCACUGUUGAAGCAAGUGCGAUCAUAUCAGGUAUUAAUGGUCAUGAUUAAUCGAAGCGUCUCUUUGAUCUGUGAGCAGCGUUCUGAGUUCUAUCUGAUGAUCUCUCCUUCUUAGGGAUCAGAAGUGUGGAAUGACAAAGAGCGUUUCAAGUUGUUUGCAAGAGCAUCAUUCGAGCUUUGCAGAGUCUACAUGGAGAUCUCAGUGUCCACAGGAAGCAGGCGAGAACUCUUUAGUGCUGAGAUGCAUUUGAAGAACACAAUCAAACAAGUACGGACCAAAAUUAUCUUGCAUUUAUUAUACACAUGAUACAAAACUGAAUAAAGGGUGACGUGUGUAGGCCACAGUGAGCUUCACGGAGAGUGAAGAACUGAAGGAGCUUGAAAGUUGCCUUGAGGAGGUGAGAAAUGUUAUGAAGAAAGAUAUUUGAGACGAUAUAGAUUAAUAGAAAAAAAUAUUUAUAGAAUACCAGUGUUUUACAGUUACAGAUUAUGCAGAAAUUUAAGCCUAGACAACAAACAGCUUGAACAAAAAAAACUGAAACAACAAAUAAGAACACUUUGAUGAACGUUAUGAAGUUGAAUGAAUAUUGAAUUUAAGGACUUGAGUACCUGAGAAAAUAUCCUAGUUAUAAAUAGAGGCGAAUCUCUUCUUGUGCUGCUUCUAUAACCGUCUUUCUCUUCUUGUACGGACUAAAUCCUCUUGAGUUGGACUCAGAGGUUUCUCUUCUUAGUUCAGAAAAUGCAGACCUCUCGCUAGGUUUAAACUCCCAUUGACAUACCAUCGUUUCAGGUUCUGAGCUCUUGUCCGUGUGUCCUGUAUCAUCCACCGAACCAGUGUUUGAUCCAGUCGAUGAUCCUUCAUUUUGGAAGGCCUUUUCUGAAUCUAAGCAUCUGUUUUCCACUUCUUCUUUCCUAGGAGGGACUUGUAUCCAACAGCUCAAGAGUUCUUCUUGUGGUAAUGGCUGAAUCGGUGACUUGCAAUAAGCUGUUGAAGUUGUUAGAGAAGAGGACAUGUCUGAAUCAGAUACCAAAACUAUCUUCCCAAAGAGUUUAAGGCUUUUCUUUGUUGGCUCCUUGAUAGACCUCUCUCUUGGAAAUAACUCCAGCUUCUGUACAAAUUGAUCAAACAAAGAGCAUUAGCAUUAAGCCUCUAAAGGUGUAUAUUCUUGCAGAUGGGUUUUAUUUUAUUUUUGUCACCUACCAGAGUCUCAAGCUCUUCAGGUGCAUUUGAAGUACUUGCAAGAGCAGCCUGAGGUGAUGCAGAGGAAACUGGGGGCAAGCUUCUAUCAGGUGAAUGUGAAUCAGAGGAAUCCAAGGCUUCUGAUCCAACAGGGGACAACACAGAGGUUGGAGAUUGGUUGUCACGUUCUGAGGGAGAAACCGAUCUACUUGCUUGAUCUCCCUCGUUCCCCAACUUACGUGGGUAAGGAUGCAUUGGUCUUCUCUUGGGACGAGGAGGCGGUAUCACAAUGGGCUCCACCGAGCUCCCAUUACUUCCUCCAGUUGCUUCUCGAGCAACCUGGGUAAACACACAACAGAACAAAGCUAAGUCAGAACAAUGAUCACUUGUUUAAGCACUUCUUGGUACUUUCUAUGACAAAGGAUAUUAGACCUUAGAGAAGAACUUCUGAGCAUGGCUUCGAAUCUGAACAGCAGUCUUUGUGCCCACGUGUCCUUGUAUUCGUCUCCAUGCUCGGCCGUGUAAUUUCAAGGCUUCAACAAACUUGUAGUGUUCUUCAUCAGUCCAUCUCUCUCUUUCUUUUGUUAUAAUGUAUGGUUUCCUCACCUAAAAAAGAAAAAAAGACAAAACUGAGCCAAAGAUCUUCACUUUAAGUAACAAUUCUAACACAUUAGAAGUGUCAAAAGAAGCAAAAACCUUGGGUGCAUAGUCAUUAAACUGUAUCUGCGUAUCUGAAGUUUCUUCAACUCUACUACUCGGAGAAGCUUUGGUACCCUGAAACCAAUAAACACCAAGCCAAAAGGGGGAACCUUUAGGACAAAACAUCAUCUAUAAUUUGCUUACAUACAAGUUCUGUACUUUACCAAAAGUGACAUAUGUAUCCUUUACAAAAAACCAACGGUUUCAGUUGUAUUCAGAGAUUUUAAUUACACGAUUUAGCUUAGAGAAACUCAUAACUCAAAAGAAACAAAAGAGCCUGCAAAUGGACAGGCUUAGACUCUAACUUGAAGUUAUUAAAAAAAACUCAACUUUGAGGUUUUUUUUUUCUUCUCUAAGCUCAUAGACUCAUUAGCUAAGGAGAAAGUAAGCAAAUUAAACACGGCAAGAUUUGAGUUCACACCUGAGCAUUCACAGUCAACGAAGGAGACUUCAUAAGUUUGCCUGAAUAAGAAAACUAAGCUCAGCCAGAGUAAAAGAAAAGAGCAAGUUUGAAGAAGGAAAGAGCAAAUGGAGAAAGCAGAGAGGAGAGAAAUAAAAGUGUUUUUGGGGUCUGUGGAGGAAGGAAAGAGAGAGAAAAAAUAGGAAGAUAAAGAAGAGGAUGCCACGUCAGCUUCUGCUAUGUGCGCUUUUUCAAUUUUUUUUUUUGUUUUUUCCAAUAUUUUAUUGGAACGCUCGCGAAACCGAUUAAAUCUUGUGGUUCACUUUCAAAGGCCCCCUCCAAUUGACACGUGCUGCUCGUUGGUACUUACUCGCUAAUAUUAUUAUUUUUAUAUAAAUAAAAAGGAUAAUGGAUAAUAUCGGGAAAUAUGGAUUUUAAUUACUGGACCAAGAAAAUUUGAGCCGCCAGCUAAAUAUCUUUCGUCUUUAAAUUAUUAAUACAUGGUGUGGGUCGUCGCUCCAUUACGAAAGUCUUGAUACAUACUACAUAAUAUAUGUUGCCAUCAUAUUAUUAUAAUUAUUUUCAGCUUUUUCUUACUGUUACGUUUAUCCAGGUCGUAAUCAAUCUUCUUAAAUGUGUAAGAUCAUUUCUUAAAUGGUUUUAAAGCAUAAAUACGACAACAAGAGCAAAUAAGUAACUGUAUGUAAAUCAAUGUAGUACUGGAGUGCACUUUUGUCCAUGUCACUUAUUCUUACAUUUAAGAUUUAGCCGACUGCUCUACGGAAAGUUGACACGUGAAAGGAGAUAUAGGUCACUCAUAUUCUUUUUUUUUUCUUAUUACAUGAAAAGCUCAUCAGCCACAUAUUUUCCUUCUCGCUGUGCCUUAACACUGAUUAUUUGUUAGGCUUAGUGGUGAUGUGGGAGUUAGGCAACUGAUUAUCUUACUGGAUAGUGUUAAGGGUGACGCUUUACACAUUUGCGAUAUUUUUCUUUUUCUUCACCACCAUGCAUUUUAUCCUUUGCGAUAUGUUUUAUGUUAUGUGGUUCAUAUUCAUUCUCAACAACUUAUUUGGCCUGCCGCUUUAGAGCCAAACGGGAUAACAAUGAAAGAAUCAGAUAUUCUUUUAAAAUAAAGGCCUAUGACUUUUGUGACAAUCAGUGUGAAUGUUCUAAAACAAAGAUAAAAGAGAUUGAAAAGAUGUGUGGUGUGUAGAAAAAGCAUGACCAGUGAAACUAUUUAUGGACCAACCGUAUUAUCUUUGUAUUUUAUUUCUGUAGGUAACUUUGGAUUCGAGCUGGUAAAAGUGGUCAAAGUAGAGUAGGAGACAGUUUGGGACAACUGGCACAAUAUGGUAGAGAAAUUAGAAAAAACUUAUUCUGAAUAAUUGUUUUUUUUUGUAAUUUAAAUAAAAUUCCAACCCGCAUAGGGGAAUUUAGAUCAGAAUAAUUGGUUGAAAACACUAUAAUGUAAUAUCACUCUGUUGUUUUUAGUAUGUAAAUUGUUUUAAUUUUUUUUUUGUUGCUUCAUAGUAUAACAUGUUCUCACCUAUGGUUCUCAAAAAAAUAAUGAAAUGAUUUUAAUUGAUGUUAAACUAACAUCUCCGUUAAUAAUAAUUUGUGGAGUAUCCAACAAUAAAAACAAAAGAAAAUAACUCUUGUAGGUAAAGAUAAGAAAAUAGUUUUGAAAACGUACUUUGCGGGGACUAAAACUGCAAAAAGAAAAUAAAAACAUGACUUUUUUUUUUUUUUUUUUUUAAAACAUCACUUCAUCAAAAGUGGUUUCAUGUAUAAUAAGAGGAAGACAGAAGAAGAAGACGCAUCAUGGAUCUUUAAACUUUUCUUCACAGAUCCUCUGGGGCGUUGAUGUCCUGUAAGAACAACAAGCACAAGUUGAGUCUAGUGAUAUAGUUCUUACAAUAUCCUCCCCGGGAAUAUAAACGUUACCUUAUCCUUGACUACAGCAUUAUCCGGGAUUUCAAGUUUUGUCCCGGAGUUUGCCUUCAGUGACACUUUUCCCUUGAGAACAACGCCUGAGGCCCUGAGCCAAACCAGACAUCACCAGAGACCUUAAGGCUAUCCAGCUCAACUAUACUCGGGAUGGACUUGAACAGGCCAAGGAAGCUCGCCACCUGUUUAUUAAACACACACAAAAAGUUACACUGUAUAACAGUGAAAUGCUCUUUACAGAGAGCGAAGAACAUUCUCUUACCUUUUUGAAUUCGGGUCCCAACUCAAUAGCUGGGUUUGUGGGGUUUGUUCUAGCUUUGUUCCGUGUGACAAAGCCAUCCACGAGAGUGUACAAAUCAGACUGUAAAAGAUGAUUACAGAUUAACUCUUUAUUCCAUGUUCAGUGGAUAUUCUGAGCUUUGUAGAAGUUUGGCUUACUUGAACAAGUAGCAAGUCUGAAGUUGCCUUCACUGGUAAGAAACAUGACCGAGGUACAUUCACACCGAUUGCAUUUUCAAAGAACUGUUUGAAGACAGGUAGCAUUAGAAUAAGCUGACUGGUGUGUUUCUCUAAAAACUGCGUUAACGAAAUAUAUAACAAAAUGCAUACCCUUAUCGCUGCGCCAGCUGCAGUUUCCAGUUGAAGAACUUUGACUCCAUCGACUUCCUGAGAAGAGCUUAAGACUAAUCACGCAAAGUUGCAAUUUGCAAUAGCCUAACCGCGCAGCAUGGUAUGAAUAAAAAAUAAGUACCUUCGGGUUUGGGAUGAUCUCCAUCUUAAGCGCAUCAGCUUCCACAAGCUUUUUAAUGGCUUUCAAGUUAACCCAACUGUAAAAAACUAAACAGUUAAGUCUCCCAAAUUAAAUCUAUUAUCUUCAAUGUUUUCGGGACCAGAUAGACUACUUACAGGUUGUUUGUGUUGAAAAUCUUGAAUUUUUCAAUUGAUUUGAAUUCAUUUACCUACCAAAACGCGAGCAAUUUAACACGCAUAGCCAGAGAUAAGCAAUUUCGUUUAAUGCUUAGAAAAAUAACAUUUUAUGACAUGUUAUGAGCGAAACAUGUAACAAGUAAAGGAAGCUAAUGAAAGCUAGGAUAUAUAGAGUCUAAUUGCUACAAGAAUCUCACGUAAAAAUAAAAUCUAUAUCAUCAAACCAGAAAGAAAUAAAUCUAAAUAAAAAUUAGAAGGAAAACAGAUUAGUGUGGACUUACAUGCUCAUCAGGAACCUGAGCAAUCUCCAAAAGCUGAGUUACACAUAGGAAAAGUCAAAUUUAGUGGUCAAUAGAACUAUUAUAAACUCUAAUAGCAGAAGAACACUUAGGAUGAUAUUCCGUUGAAGCUCAUGUCAAUGUUGAAAGUUGUGGAACCAUAGGUGGAGAUAAGUUGCAGUAGGAACACGGUUGGUAAGAGAAGUUGAAAUCGCGAUUUGGUCAAGACCAUAGAGCUUUGAUCUUAGGAGGAGAUGCAUUUCGUUAAUCAACACCGGAACAGGUCGAGAUACUGACUUGUGCAGUCUAGUAUUCCUUUCCUUCCAAAGCAUGUAAACUGUAUAAGUGCGGAUGAGUCGAGAAAUAUAGAGCAUAAAGUAAACGACACACAAAGUUUGUUUAUGGGGUUCGUUUCUUACAUCCCCAGGAUCUCGUCCAGAUUUCAUUGAUCACUAGAACAAGAAUGCAAAUACAUCAUUAUUUGCUAAAGCAUACAUCAUGCACAAACCUCCUGACAUGCUCUUUUCUAGAUAGAUAUCUAUGAAGAUUAGGAAUCAAGCACACAUGCAUUGAUCACCAUCCGGCCGCACCAGAGCUUACUGUCUUCACACAGCUGCAAUCUUCACAGACCUCCUCAAUGAAACUGCAUGUGCUAAACUUACAUCUUCAAACUGCAGCCUGAAAUACCAUCUUACAAUGGAUUUCAAUUUCUGAUUUAUAGAAAUUGUUCGAACCCAAGACAAGACAUCUUCGAAGGCAAUCGGUGGAGUGAAGUUGGACUGAGAGUAUCCAUUCUUCAGUUGAUUGAUAAAGAGAUUGGGGUGUUGAAGAACAGAGGAUUGAAUCAGCAGGAUGAUAUAUGUCUUUGGAAGAGAGAAAAUGGGGCUUUUAAAGAAGGUUUCUCCACGGCGUAAACUUGGAACAUUACUAGAGCUCAGUCACCGAGUGUCUCUUGGUUCAAAUGAGUAUGGUUUCCUGGUGCUACUCCAAAGUUUUCUUUCCUCAUAUGGAUUGCAAUACAUAAUAGACUAUCAACAGGAGACAGGAUUUUAAGAUGGAAUCCUCAGGCUGUAUCUACAUGCUGGUUGUGUAAAACGGCACCUGAAACGAGGGAUCAUUUGUUUUUUGAGUGUGUUUAUUCACAAGAAGUUUGGUUGAAGACUAUCAAGAACCUAGCAGGUAACAGAAGAAGUUGUGAUUGGUCUAGUGUGGUCCAAGUGGUGGUGAAUGGAUUCCAUGGUAGGAUUGUGACUUUUCUUCUUCGCUAUUGUUUUCAAGCAGUCGCAUAUGCAUUAUGGCAUGAACGAAACGUGAGAAGGGUGAGUGAACCUUCUUUGCCUGCCCGUUGUCUAGUUGCUCGAUUGGAUAAGUUGGUCAGGAACAGGAUCACGUCUUUGAGGAGGAAGAAAGGAGGAAAAUAUGAGAAGGCAAUGAAGGUUUGGUUUAGUAGAAGCUAAUGGAGAUUUGAGCAUUGUAUAGAAACUUAUAGUAUUUUUGUUUUAAGAUUGAGGCAGUGAAAAAUCUGUAACAAGGUUUUUUUUUGAUUGAAAUAAAUUUAAAAUUCUUUCAAAAAAAAAAAAAGAUAUUAUUAGGUCGUAAUUAUGGUGGAAACGUAAACCCUCAAGCCACUAUGAUAUCAAUUAACUCCAGUUUUCCACCAAAACAUGGAAAUAAACGCUUGUGUGUUGUGUAUUUCUGUGUGUCCAGUAUCUUUAAUACCGACUUACCGACAAUUAUCUUUGAUAUGAAUAGACUUGUAGCAAAAUUACGAGAGAAAGUGACCAACAAAAUUUGAUUUAAAAAAAAACAUAAAGUAACCAAGAAAUCUGAUCGACUUCUAUCAAUAUUUAUAUAUGUAUUUAUUGUUUUUUUUUACCGCAACGUCAGUGGUACUAGAGUAAUUACAAAUGAGUAGUUCACUAAAUCUUGAUGACAUUGAUUAAAUAAAAAUUAUAUAGGUUUGAGGUCUAAAAACUCUCUACAUCUAACCUGUGUUUAAUUUAUUUUCGUAAUUCAUAAUUACAAAAUUGUAAGAUCCCGAUCGAGUCCCGACUUGGUCUAAACAUGUACAUGUAAAAUAAGUAUGCAUGUAUGUAUAUGUUUCUAUGUGAUUAUAUGUUAAUUAUAGAAUUAUCUUAAAUCUAUUUGCACCAGUAAAAUGUCAUCAUUCAUACGGUAUGCUUUAUAGAAUUAGGAAAAAAAAAAUUUACGAUAAAUAUGUAUUCUUGAAAAGAAAAGGUAACAGGGGUUUUAGACUAUUAAAAAUAUAGAAUUAAAAAAUUGUAAAUUGUAAAACUAUUUAUUCACAUAAUAAAAUAUAAAACCUAAAAGAAUAUCUACCUCAAUCAUUUUGUUUUCUUAGAGUUUGAUUCGUGUUUAUUCACAAUAUAUUAGAUGCGGUAGAUAUGAUUAAAAUGCCAGUAGGAACCUAGGUUCUGAACAUCCCGGUUUAACAAACAAAAAAAAAACAAUUAACUAUAAUGAGAGUUCUGUUACAAAAAAAACUAUAAUAAGAGUUCUUCUAUAAUAAUCCAACUGGUUACAUGAAGGUCAUGCAAACAAUGGCUGAGUACAAUUAAUAUAAUUAUUAUCCAAAAUAUCCUAUUAAUACUAGACUACAAUAUAUGAGUGAAUGUGGAAUUUUUUUAAGAAGACAACAACAAUUAAAAUAUUUCAUUUUUAUUGUUUAAGUUGUGGUAUGUAUAAUUUUCUUGUACGGUUAUAAAUUACUCCAGAUCUAUUAGCGUGCAAAAUAUGAACACAUAAUCGAGUUAGGAUUUUAUUGGUCAAUGCAGUUUAAAUGGCGCACUGACCUAAAAAUCGACUAAAUUCGAACUUUAAAAAAAAAAAGCAACACUGACGAAAAAGACAGAAUUUUCUAAAUCCAAGCUUGAUCAAACUAUAUAUCUAAAUUAAAUUAUGUUUAUUUGGUGCUUCUAUGCACUAUGCAGGUAUGGAGAAAUUCAAAUUUUAUAAAAAAAAAAUAGAACCACAUUCAUAAUAAUAUUUUAUAGAAACUUUGGUUUUAAAAAAAAUUAUAUUUCUAUGAAAUUCUUGUAAAAGUUUAAAAUAAAUAGUGUUAAUUUUCAACUUUUAUAAAUUUAAGGUACGUACUUGUUGCAAAAAAAUUUAGAUAAUAUUUCUUUUAAAAGACAAAAACAAAAAAAAAAUACAUUUGAAAAAAAAACACCGCUAUUUUAAAGUUGCUUUAUUUUAAAUGAUAUAAUGAUAUCUUUCUUUUAUUUUGAUUUACUUUUUAAAAUAUUUAGAAACUGGUUUAAACUAUUUUUAUUUAUUCACUAUAGUUAUUAAUUGGUGUAAAUUUGGUUGUUUUAUUCAAAAAUUAGAACCCUUCUGUAUGAAAACAGUAACUAACACUAUAAAACAAUAAGAUGGUGUAUUCAACUUAGAGUUUUUGGUUAUUUGUAUUAAUGAUGAAUUCAUUAUUAUCCAAACAUGAAUUUUAAAAAUUUAUUUAAAAUCUACUGUUAUUAAAUUUGACAUUUCAUAAAGUACUCUGAAAUUCACUGUUAUUGAAAAUAUUUUUAAGUUGUGGAAUUUUAAAGAUUUUAAUUUAUAUUAAAAUGUUUGGAUAGAAUUUCUUAGUUAAAAAAAUCAAAAAUCAAAAUUCAUGGUUUCGGUUGAUAUUCAAGAGUGGUUUAAUUUAAACUCUUAAAUUCAUUGAGAUCAUGUAAAACUUCACUAAAAAUCAAUUUAGCCAAAAUUUUAGAUUGGAUACAUCCCCUGAGUGUGGAGCAAAUUCUAGAAUGUCACUCUUUUUUUUAAAAAAAAUACUACAAUUCUUAUUAAAUUUUCAAAGAGUACUACUUAUUUUAAGAAAAGUAUAUUUAAGAAAAUUUCGUAAAGCGUUUUUCCAUCUUUACAAAAAAAAAUCUAAGAAUUGACUUCAAAUUUUUUAAAUGUUUCACAAAUUAUUGGGUCUUUUUAAAUGUUAGUGUAAAAAUGAUAAUCUAUAAUAUCCCCUAGCCUUUGAGAAUACCUUGUCUUCAAGCCAUUACCUAGGAACUGGGUUGAACCCAAAAGGCAUUUCAUGUGAGCCACAAGAUCCAGCGCAUCAUUGUUGCUGAAAGAAGAAACACACACAAACAUCACCUGAUAUAGCUAAACGUAACAGACCAAGUCAGAUACUUUUGUUUAUUUAUUUAUUUGAUUUUUUAUAUUUAUUUGAUUUUACAUACUAGCAUUUUGCAAAAAGUAAUUCUUAUUUCUAAAUUAAAAAUCGAUCGUUAGUUUUGUUGAAAUAAACCAUUAGUAGAAUUAUCAUUUUCAUAUAGCACUUGACAUCGAAACAAUUCUUAACCAGUUAGUUCUAAUAAGAAUUAGUUUGCUGUUGGUGUUGUUCAAAACUCAAAUAAGUAACUGUUGGUGUUGUUCAAAAAAAAUUGUUGGUUACUAGAACUAUUUUGGAUUACCUCGUAAGUCGUAAUCUAUAGAAAAUCGAAUUCUUUGAAAUAAGGACGGACGCUGUUUAGGUUCAAACAAGUUACGGCCACAGCUCAAACACCGUUAGAAGUUUGUGAGAUAAUAAUACAACGGUUACAGCCACAGCUCAAACACCCCUCAUGACUUUAACCGUUGCAAUAUUAUCUCACAAACUUCUAACACUUUACUUUGUCGUGUAAGCACUAAAGUUUUCGGGUAUCAUUUUCAGUAUUUAUGGUUUCUUGUACAGAUCACAAUAAUUUAAAUCUAACGAUCAAUAUAAUCUCUUCGGUCGGAAACUAAAAUCGAGAGUUUAAAAUUGAACUACAUCUUAAUUGAGUUGUGAUAUUAUUAUUUUUUUUUUUUGAGAAAACGCCUUAAUUAAGUUGCGUUAUUGAAAUUAAUACGUACAAAGUUGAAAAUUAUACUUACAUAACAAAAAAAUUGCUAAUCUUUUCUUAUUUUAUUUUAAAACUAAGUCUGCUAAUAUAUGAAUAUCAUCCUAAUAAUAUUAUUGAUUUUUCAUGAUUUGCGUAAAUUUUAUAUAAUCUUUAUUGUAAGAAUUCAGUUACCAAUCCAUUAAGUAUCAGUAAAAUGCGUACCAAAACUCAGAAACCCCACCCACUAUAAAAUAAUUCAACUACGAAUCUAUGAUAGUACUAAUUUUAUUCACACCAUAGGAUUUCUUGAAGCCAGUUAUACAACAAAUUGCAAGGAUCUCAACAAAUUACAUUAAGCCAUCGAUACUCCUAACUGGGUCUUCGUUAUCAUUAACAUCGAUAAAUGUAUGCCAGACACGAGCCACUCCCAUUAUAAGUGAUAAGAUAUGUAUAUAACCUUCAAAAAUGGAUAUCCACGGAAAGGACCGGUCCAAUAAUAGUCUGAAUCACAGAAAUUUUUCCCAGCUAUUUUCAUAUAUAAUAUUCAAAUCUUUAAAUAACAUUAGCCUUAAAAUAGAUGUUAAAUUGUAUUAAGUAUUUUUUAAACAACAGGUAUUUAGUAGAAAACUAAUUGCGGAUAUGAUGAAUUAUCCCUACAAAUAAGUGGGCUGACCCGCAGACCAUCAACACCUAACCACGGAUGGAAACAAAAGAGAAGCAGAGUGGGGUUGCACAUAUUCAUAUCUCCAAUAACAUUUUAGUUUUUUCUUUUUAUUCUUAUAAUGUAAAAUGAUAAGAAUUCAAUAGACAAACUGAAAAAAAUCUUCUUAGUAGUAAUUGAAUAUAUAUAAUCUAAUCCGUCCUAAUUUUUUCCUAUGGACGCGUCAUUGCACACCAACUGAAAACGCUGUAUUGUAUGAUUACGUAUUCCUGAAAAUAUGAUUUCUAUUUUUGACUAUAUCAAGAAAAUUGUCAUUCAUAUCAACUAAAAGUAUAUGGCUAAUUUCAGUAACCUUUAAAUAAUACCGGAUUUCAGAUCGAAUGAUUUGCUUUGAGCAAUAGACUGAUAAGUUUGGAUUUUUGUUUCUGCCAUUAGUUAAACAGUUCCAUGAUACAAAAUUUAAAUAUAUUAAAAUAGACUUGAGCUACCAACUCAACUAAGCUGAUUUUGGGAUUGGUACAUAUCACUCUCAUUUUAUCAUCAUUCUCAUAAGAUAAUUUCUUCUAGUGACAUCAAGCUAAGCUUCAUCAAUUAACCGAAAUAGCAAUCAUUAUCAUAAGUCAUAAUACAUUUAUUAAAUCACAUCUUCAGCCUGUUCAAGUAGACUCGUUAAUAAGAAAAACAUAUAGUUUUUUUGGUAAUAUGUUAAAGAAAAAAAAACCAGAUAAGCUUCUUGAACACAAGGUAAAAGAAUGAGCAUUCCAGACAAGACACACCACCUCUUUCUAUCUUUCUCUCUCUAAUUUUUUUCUUUCAGAGUCAAGGCGGCGGGGUUGCAAGAGGAUGAUGGCCUCUCUUUCAUCUAGAUCUAGAGUUGUCUUCCUAACCAGUUUAAUCCGGUUUAGUUCUUGAUUGUUUUAAAAAAAAAUUCUCAUAUGAUUUUGAAAUUGUAAACCAUGAUUUUCUUACAUGAUUUACGAGGGGUUCAUAGAUAUAUUAUUCAAAAAGAGUGAGCAUUCCAAACGGACAAGAAUUUUAUUACCAAAACUUUAUCAGUUAAAAUGUAAAACAUUGUUGAUUAUAUUGAUGAGCAAAGAUAGUCACAAUGUAAAACAUUGUUAAGAAUAUGCGGAACGUAAGGGCAUCUGUAUUGGGGGUCCCUUAAGGUAUCCCUUAGAGGAAGGGGGUGGGAACCGAGGAAGAAAGAGAAGGGAAAAGCCCUUAAUUAAGGGCUGUCCCUUACUCUCUAAUGACCAAAAAAAAAAAAAAAAAAAAAAAGUGUAUGUUCUAGGAUGAACUUGUUUACCCCUGACGUUCAAAUAACUACCAUAUCCCUGCUAUUGUCAAAAGCUAACAGUGGAUUGUUUACUAGCUACGCAGGGAUCCACUAAGCCCACUAGCCAUGGCAACAAGGAGGACAUGGUAAAAUAGAUCUUCGGGUAGUCAAAUGUACAAAACAACUUCACUAUCUCAAAGAGACUACAUCCACUACUCAAGCAACAAUAAGCCGAAAAAAUCGAAUUAAAAAACUGAUAGUGACGCAAGACUAGGGAGCUUACUUUGGACCAGUGCAUCCCAUCGUCGUUCCCAGACCUCCAUUAAGCUUCAGCACAACAAGCUUGUCCAACAGAUACUUAGUCUCCGAAGCAUCUUCAUUACGUUGCAAACCAUAAUAAAAAAGCUUAUCAUAAAGAAAGCAAAGCUUCAAUACAGAUUUGAAUCAUUCGAGAAAAAUAAAAAUACCUUCAGAGACGUUAGCCAUUUUAUCGUAAGGAACAACAAUCUCGUCAGUAGGAGUCUGGAUCUUGCUCCACUCAAUGUGCUGUGCCUCACCGCUUCAAAUUCACAUGAUCGAAUUUAGAACUAAUUGUAAACAUUCUAAGUUUCGAGAUCUGUUCCCAGAUCCGAUAAUGAUACUUAUAUCGAUCGUUUCAGCUACAAAUCUAUGUAAACUAAACUGUUUGAUCUUCGAAUUUAAGAUAAUAGCAAACCAAAACUCGAUCCGCAAAGAAAAUACAAAGGACGAACCUCAGGUAGCGAGAGACGAGGUUGAUGAAUCCGCUCCUCUCGUUAUCACUGAAACAAAGGGAGGAAACAGAUGAGAGAGUCUAAAACGAUGAAGAAGAUUACCAGAUCCAGAAUCAGGAAAGUGAGAGCGUGUAACCUCAUCUCCUUAAGUCCAUCGGUGGCGGAUUUGAGCUGGGGGAGCUUCUCGAUCGCGGCUGCGGCCAUGGUUGAUUUUUCUGAAACGAGAUUCCGAUCUAGAGAGGCUAAUCGCAGAGAGGUUGAAGAUGAAGAGUGUUGUGGAAUCAAAGGGGAGGGUUAUUUAUAGUAAGAGAGGAGUUAAUGGUAACGAAUGAAUCGUCCGUUGUUUUUUUUUUUGAUCAAACCAACUUGUAUUAAAGAAUCGUCCGUUGUUUUCUCUUUGCCAAUUGUUAAACAGGAAUCUCAACACCUCGCAAAUCGCAUCUCCUUCUCCAUUAGGUGGUGGUUUUUACCGAACCGGUCGGUUUAAGUAUUUGAACCAAGUGAAUCGGUUCAAUUUAGCUCAGCAAAUUGGAUAUUGUUCCCCUAUUUUCCUCUAAAGCUCGAAAAAACAGAAUUCAAAUCGAACCACGGUACAAAAAUGGAUCGAGAUAAUAAAUUUCUAAAAAAGUUUCAUAUUUAUAAAAUCCAAAACCGAUAAUAACCCAGUUUUCGAUUUAACUCAUUUCUGUACAGAAUUAACCAGAAACCAAUUGGAACACCCGUGUCCAGUUAUUCGUUUUAUUAUCAUCAUUAUUAUUAGAAAACAAAAUUAAAUUUAUCCAUAUGAAAGUGAGAAAAACGAGUACCACGUCUUGCAGGUAAGCUUAGCUAUCCAUUUCCGAUGGUGCAGUUUUCACGUACCAGAAAAGAUAUUUUGAUGUUGAUAUGUUAUUUACAAACGUAAGAGUUCAACUUCAUCGUUAACUGAUGGAAUGUCAUAGGAGAAAUGAUUUAAUGAAAUUUAUUUUUAUAUAAACGAACACUACUAUUUAAGCAAACAAACAAAAUAUCAAAAAUAAACAUGCUAACCGGCAACAACAUAACAUUGUUUAUUUAAGGGCCUCCCGUAGUCCGUAGAACAUAUAAGUUUUUAACCAACCAAACAUUGAAAGGUAUGAGUAUGGUUCAUAAGAGAAUCGUCCGAGAAUCAGAACAUGGAGCAUGAAAUGACGGAUUGCACUCGUCUUCUACCUUAUGGGUGCGACUUCUGCGCCGUGUCUACUUUUUUUUACCACCUAUAGAAAGCAGAAACCAUACCAUACUAAAUAAGAAAAUAGUAAAUUUGAAAACGUACUUUGCGGGGACUAAAACUGCAAAAAGAAAAUAAAAACAUGACUUUUUUUUUUUUUUUUUUUUAAAACAUCACUUCAUCAAAAGUGGUUUCAUGUAUAAUAAGAGGAAGACAGAAGAAGAAGACGCAUCAUGGAUCUUUAAACUUUUCUUCACAGAUCCUCUGGGGCGUUGAUGUCCUGUAAGAACAACAAGCACAAGUUGAGUCUAGUGAUAUAGUUCUUACAAUAUCCUCCCCGGGAAUAUAAACGUUACCUUAUCCUUGACUACAGCAUUAUCCGGGAUUUCAAGUUUUGUCCCGGAGUUUGCCUUCAGUGACACUUUUCCCUUGAGAACAACGCCUGAGGCCCUGAGCCAAACCAGACAUCACCAGAGACCUUAAGGCUAUCCAGCUCAACUAUACUCGGGAUGGACUUGAACCGGCCAAGGAAGCUCGCCACCUGUUUAUUAAACACACACAAAAAGUUACACUGUAUAACAGUGAAAUGCUCUUUACAGAGAGCGAAGAACAUUCUCUUACCUUUUUGAAUUCGGGUCCCAACUCAAUCGCUGGGUUUGUGGGGUUUGUUCUAGCUUUGUUCCGUGUGACAAAGCCAUCCACGAGAGUGUACAAAUCAGACUGUAAAAGAUGAUUACAGAUUAACUCUUUAUUCCAUGUUCAGUGGAUAUUCUGAGCUUUGUAGAAGUUUGGCUUACUUGAACAAGUAGCAAGUCUGAAGUUGCCUUCACUGGUAAGAAACAUGACCGAGGUACAUUCACACCGAUUGCAUUUUCAAAGAACUGUUUGAAGACAGGUAGCAUUAGAAUAAGCUGACUGGUGUGUUUCUCUAAAAACUGCGUUAACGAAAUAUAUAACAAAAUGCAUACCCUUAUCGCUGCGCCAGCUGCAGUUUCCAGUUGAAGAACUUUGACUCCAUCGACUUCCUGAGAAGAGCUUAAGACUAAUCACGCAAAGUUGCAAUUUGCAAUAGCCUAACCGCGCAGCAUGGUAUGAAUAAAAAAUAAGUACCUUCGGGUUUGGGAUGAUCUCCAUCUUAAGCGCAUCAGCUUCCACAAGCUUUUUAAUGGCUUUCAAGUUAACCCAACUGUAAAAAACUAAACAGUUAAGUCUCCCAAAUUAAAUCUAUUAUCUUCAAUGUUUUCGGGACCAGAUAGACUACUUACAGGUUGUUUGUGUUGAAAAUCUUGAAUUUUUCAAUUGAUUUGAAUUCAUUUACCUACCAAAACGCGAGCAAUUUAACACGCAUAGCCAGAGAUAAGCAAUUUCGUUUAAUGCUUAGAAAAAUAACAUUUUAUGACAUGUUAUGAGCGAAACAUGUAACAAGUAAAGGAAGCUAAUGAAAGCUAGGAUAUAUAGAGUCUAAUUGCUACAAGAAUCUCACGUAAAAAUAAAAUCUAUAUCAUCAAACCAGAAAGAAAUAAAUCUAAAUAAAAAUUAGAAGGAAAACAGAUUAGUGUGGACUUACAUGCUCAUCAGGAACCUGAGCAAUCUCCAAAAGCUGAGUUACACAUAGGAAAAGUCAAAUUUAGUGGUCAAUAGAACUAUUAUAAACUCUAAUAGCAGAAGAACACUUAGGAUGAUAUUCCGUUGAAGCUCAUGUCAAUGUUGAAAGUUGUGGAACCAUAGGUGGAGAUAAGUUGCAGUAGGAACACGGUUGGUAAGAGAAGUUGAAAUCGCGAUUUGGUCAAGACCAUAGAGCUUUGAUCUUAGGAGGAGAUGCAUUUCGUUAAUCAACACCGGAACAGGUCGAGAUACUGACUUGUGCAGUCUAGUAUUCCUUUCCUUCCAAAGCAUGUAAACUGUAUAAGUGCGGAUGAGUCGAGAAAUAUAGAGCAUAAAGUAAACGACACACAAAGUUUGUUUAUGGGGUUCGUUUCUUACAUCCCCAGGAUCUCGUCCAGAUUUCAUUGAUCACUAGAACAAGAAUGCAAAUACAUCAUUAUUUGCUAAAGCAUACAUCAUGCACAAACCUCCUGACAUGCUCUUUUCUAGAUAGAUAUCUAUGAAGAUUAGGAAUCAAGCACACAUGCAUUGAUCACCAUCCGGCCGCACCAGAGCUUACUGUCUUCACACAGCUGCAAUCUUCACAGACCUCCUCAAUGAAACUGCAUGUGCUAAACUUACAUCUUCAAACUGCAGCCUGAAAUACCAUCUUACAAUGGAUUUCAAUUUCUGAUUUAUAGAAAUUGUUCGAACCCAAGACAAGACAUCUUCGAAGGCAAUCGGUGGAGUGAAGUUGGACUGAGAGUAUCCAUUCUUCAGUUGAUUGAUAAAGAGAUUGGGGUGUUGAAGAACAGAGGAUUGAAUCAGCAGGAUGAUAUAUGUCUUUGGAAGAGAGAAAAUGGGGCUUUUAAAGAAGGUUUCUCCACGGCGUAAACUUGGAACAUUACUAGAGCUCAGUCACCGAGUGUCUCUUGGUUCAAAUGAGUAUGGUUUCCUGGUGCUACUCCAAAGUUUUCUUUCCUCAUAUGGAUUGCAAUACAUAAUAGACUAUCAACAGGAGACAGGAUUUUAAGAUGGAAUCCUCAGGCUGUAUCUACAUGCUGGUUGUGUAAAACGGCACCUGAAACGAGGGAUCAUUUGUUUUUUGAGUGUGCUUAUUCACAAGAAGUUUGGUUGAAGACUAUCAAGAACCUAGCAGGUAACAGAAGAAGUUGUGAUUGGUCUAGUGUGGUCCAAGUGGUGGUGAAUGGAUUCCAUGGUAGGAUUGUGACUUUUCUUCUUCGCUAUUGUUUUCAAGCAGUCGCAUAUGCAUUAUGGCAUGAACGAAACGUGAGAAGGGUGAGUGAACCUUCUUUGCCUGCCCGUUGUCUAGUUGCUCGAUUGGAUAAGUUGGUCAGGAACAGGAUCACGUCUUUGAGGAGGAAGAAAGGAGGAAAAUAUGAGAAGGCAAUGGAGGUUUGGUUUAGUAGAAGCUAAUGGAGAUUUGAACAUUGUAUAGAAAUUUAUAGAUUUUAUGUUUUAUGAUUGAGGCAGUGCAAAAUCUGUAACAAGGUUUUUUUGAUUGAAAUAAAUUUAAAAUUCUUUCAAAAAAAAAAAAAAAGAAGUUGGACUGAGAGAAAUCAUAGUUCCAGAGCUUUGAAGAGUAAGAACAAGAAAAGAGAAGAUAAUCUCAUGUUUCCAUCACUAGAACCACAAAGUAAACAAGUUACAGGAACAACCAAACCCCAUCUUCUAAGCUUUUCCCUUGUUGAUAAUCUGUUCCAAUCAGUGACCCAAACAUUGAAUGAAUUCUUAGGAAUAUUUCCUUUAAACCAUACUUUGAUGGAUACCAAGGAACAGACGGAGGAAGGGGAUGUCUAGAAUCCCAAGUCUUGGACGAUGAGAAGGUAGGGGAAGGCUGGCCUUUAACAGAAGAAUAAUGGGGUGGCUUCCUCUAGGUACAGACCAUGUGCCACUAGCUAUAUAGCUUGGCUCACCGUAAAUAUAUUCCCAAUGCCUGUGACCCUCAGCCCGCUAGAUCUAGUAAGUGAAAUCAGAGGUCCUAAGCCUGUUCAGUCAUCAUGCCAUAACAGUUGAACCGCGACUCUAAGUUGACAACCGGUAUUUAAAUGACCACCAACUCUUAGAAGGCUGAUUUAAAAAACUUGAUUAAAAAGACUUGUAAUCCUACGUACACCACGAAGAAGUCGUCUGAUAUAUGUGUAGCUUAAGACUCAUAUGUAAGUGUACAUAAUGAAAUAAGUACAAUCAUAUGCCUUAUGUGUAGUACAUAUAUAUAUUUUUAUUCAAGCUUUUGGGUAGGAAUCAAAAGAACAAAUACUGCAUAAAGAAACAUAGAUGAUCUAAGCUUUCUGUGGAUAUAAUUAUAAAUAUCCAAAGCUAAGAUGAAAGAUUUACGAAAACAUUCUUUUUGCAAAGGCGAUGAAAGCAUCGACAAUGCAGAGCCAUGCUUGAUGCCAAGUACAAUCAAAGCACAUAAGUACAACAAUGCCCAUCAAUGCGGCCACAUAAGUUGAACCGGUGCUGUAGUAGAAGACCUUCAUAUCAAUAAAAUCUUCAUCGUCUUCUUCUUCGCCUCCAUUAUUUGCUUCCUCUGAGAUCUUCUUAGCCUCACAACUUAUAUGGCUCGGUGGUCCACAAAGAAGAGGAUUGCCUAAGAAGCUGCUCUCGUUGAAUGUGUUAAAUUGCCUUCCUUGGGGAAUGAUUCCUGAUAGAUUGUUGUGAGACACGUCGAACACUCCAAGAAACGUAAGGCUUGUUAGCUGGUAAGGAAUGCUUCCGUGCAACAUGUUGUAAGAAAGAUCAAGGCUCUCAAUGGCCUUCAGAUUGGAGAAGCUAGAUGGUAUAGAACUCGACAAGAAAUUGUGAGAUAGAUUCAUGACUUUUACUUUCGGGAGAUCUCCUAUCUCUGCUGGGAUGACACCACUUAAUUCAUUGUUAGACAGAUCCAUCCCAUAAAUAUAAUCAAUCAUUCCUUUUCUGAAAUUACUUCCUCCAGUGGGAUAAGAUUCAUACCUUUUCUUCACUUCAAAACCGAUUCCAAUAUCCUUAGUGAUAUAGUCUUGUAACGCAAGCUCCUCUACCACAAAUGUGAAUCUGUAAAAUUCCAACUUGAUACGCUCCAGAGAAAAAUCUAUCCCGUAACGAAAGUCACGGGACAUAUCUUCUCGCACUCCAAAUGAUAAGUUAAAGAAGCAUGAAGGUAUGGAGCCAUUAAGCUUAUUAUCUGAAAUAUCCAAAACUUGAAUAGCGCUCAAAUCACACAGCCCCCUUGGAAUAUUUCUUGACAGAUUAUUCCCCCUCAACAAAAGAAUGCGUAUUUCUAGGGAAUUGACAAACUGCGGGAUACUCCCAGAGAGUUUAUUGUUACCAAGAUCAAGUAUUUGGAUACCUUCCAACAAUGAAGGAACUGGUCCUGUGAAGUUGUUGUUGUUGAGGAAUAAAUAUGACAUGUCCAUAUGUGAUGGUAAGGCUCCAGAUAAUACGUUUCCAGAGAGGUCCAGAAGAUAAAGAUAUUGCAAGUCCACCAAAGAAGGUGGUAUGGUACCUUCUAAGAAAUUGUUUGAUAGAAAUAAUAAUUCCAAAUUAGAUAACUUAGAUAUCCAACUUGGAAUAGCACCUUUGAGAAAAUUGUUUGACAUGUCAAGGAAUUCCAAUCUGGUGGACCUAAGCAAACCAACUCCAAUCUCCCCUUUAUAUAAGUUGUUCUCAAUUCUCAACACGCGCAAGGAAGUGAAGUUGGUUCCUCUUGGAAGAAAUUGGCCGCUAAACUUGUUGUGAGAGAGCAUCAGAUAUUUUAGUGAAAAACAACUCGUAAGAAUGCUUCUUGGAAGCUUACCAGAGAAGUUAUUGUAAGACAGGUCCAAGAAUGAAAUGUUCUUCAUCUCACCCAUAGACGGCGGAAAUGCCCCUUCGAACCCAUUAUAAGAGCCAUUCAUUUCCACCAUCUCCGGAAGCGCAUGGCCAAUAUUAUUAGGGAACAUCCCACCAAUUUGAUUUGCUGAAAAAUCCAAAACCUGCAAAGUAUGAACUAUUGUAGGCAUUUGAAAAAUUGUGAAAAGAUUAUUUUUCAACUGUAAUACUUCAAGCUCUGAAUUAUUCGCCAGUAGCCAGGUAGGAAUGUGUCCAGAUAACUUGUUGCUGGAUAGAUCAACUAGACGCAAGUUCUUCUGGUACACAAGGAAUGAAGGAAUUUUCUCCAAGCUACAAGAUCGUAGCAGGGCAACACUCAGUUGAAAUUUUGGCUGCCACUUUCUGUUUGUAUCAAGUUGUAACAUAUCAGAUCUUGAUGAAAGUUUGAGGACCUUGAGCUUUGUGAGAUUGGUGAGUGGUUUGAGCGAUAAUACGCCUGUAAAGUUGUUAUCUAAAAAUGAUAGAUACUCUAGGGACUCAAGGCCACUGAAAGUAGAUGGUAUACUUCCAGUUAACUGAUUGGAUGAGAGGUCAAGAACCCUUAGCUUGUUCAAGCUACCCAAACAAAGAGGAAGCUUGCCUACAAGAUUAUUUCCUCUGAGAUCGAGCAGCCGCAGAUUUUUCAUUCCACAAACUACUGCAAAAUGAUAUAGUUUGGAAAACAUUAAGAUAGUGAGAACAAUAAUCUUAGUUGUAGAAGUCACGAGACCCUUCUCAUACUUGUUGUAGAUGUGUAGAAAACAAUAGUCACCUUCUAUUUGUCUAGGUCCAUCAACAAAGUUAUUAGCAAGACCCAAGACUUCCAACUUAGUCAAAUUCCUUAGAUCUGAAAUAAUGUUACAAGAAUAUGGAGAUGAUGAUAUUUCAAAUGUCAAAUCAACAAUUAAUGUCAUGAGUUAAAUCUCUGAAAAGAUAUAUCCCGGAGAUAAAUAACACUAACGUGAAUGUUACCUGGAAUGGAACCGUUAAAACAAUUUCGACUCAGAUCCAGCACCUUUAAAUUUGUCAAGUUUUGUAGUUCUGAAGGGGAGUCCAUGAGAAUAUUAGAAUGAUAACUAACAACUGCAAUUAAAAGACAUAAAGAAAACGACCUAACCAAACAUACCUUUAACAGGAAAAGGGCCCGCUAUGAAGUUACUGCGAAGAUUAAGAGUUGUAAGUGAUGUAACGACACUCAGAAAAGGCAAGGUGCUGCGUUGGAUUCCAUUGGAAGAGAGAUCCAGAAUCUCCAGGUUUUCCAAUUUUUUUAAGCUUUUAUAACCUGCAAGCAAAACACCUUGUUAACAAAGUAUCCAAAACAUGACUGGCCAUCGGAUGUAAUUGUGCGUUACAUUACAUGGCAUAAACAUAGAUUGAAAGGGCAUUAUCAGCAUAAAGACCACAAGGGUAAACUCAACAUUGUGAAAAGCCUAAUUAAUACCUUCAACAUCAUCAAAGACGCCAGUUAUUGCGGAUUGAGAUAAGUUCAGACUUCGAAUCUCUUCAAAGGGAUGCAGCAAAGAAAGAUUUAAGGAAUCUCUUAAGAAAUUCCGACCAACGUAAAGCUGGAUAACCCGCCCGCUUGUAUGAUUGCACUCAACACCCUUCCACCCGCAGCAAUCGCUCUUUGUGUCAUUACUCCAAGUAGGGAGAACAAAAUUCAGGUUCCGUUCUUCAGUAUCUUCUUCGUAGGACGAUUCAGAACUCUUCGAGAUCAUGUAUUUCUUGAGCUCCAACAAAGCUUUCCUUUCUUUUUCAAUGCAGGUUUUGCAUCCUUGUAGAUGCGCCAACAAUAAUAUCACCCAUAUCAAGUAAUUUUUCAAUAAACCCUUCCCUUCCAUUGCAAAUAAGAUAAAAGAGCAAAUCAGGAAAAAAAGAACCUCUAAAGCUAUUUGCGAGUGUAAGUUCUAUGUAAGAUACCACCAUGGUUAUAUAAGAGUUCAACGAAAAGUCUUUCUUAGUAAAGACGCACUAAAACUCGUGCAUGUCACAUACGUUACGUGAGAUUAAUGGGUAUAGUUUACUUUGAAUAGUAUGAAAAACUAAGUCUUCGUGGGAAACAUUCAUAAUCGGACGAUAGGAUAAGACCAAUAUACGCUAAUACCACGAAACAAGCAAGGGAAGAAUACGAACUCAGUUGGGUCAUCCGAAUACUGAAAAUGGCCCACGCAAUUUUUUUUUUUUUGUUUUUCGUUAUUGGAAUUGUGCAAUUUUCCAAUUUAAAUCAAUACGACCCUGUCCGGUCAGGCCUGUUUUUAUUCUUUGAAAUAUAACUCUUAUUUUUUGCUAAAAUUCUUUGAAAUAUAACUCGAAUUGAUAUAAAAAGAAUUAUGUAAUUUAGUGAUAUCUAUUAUUUGAUUAUAAUCUUGUAUAAUUUUUGUGACAUACUACUGUAAUUUUGAAUAAGUUUGUAUAUUUUUAUUUGUUUAAUAUGCUAUGAGAAAAACAUAUUAUAAAAAUCAAGGUUCUAAAAAUCGGUUUAGGCCCCCGCCUAGGCGGCAACUCGGUCCUAUCUGAAACGAUUUUCUUAAAAUCCGAUUUAUACCGACUUAUAUGACUUAAAUUGGUUUAAACUGUUCUAAAUUGGUUAAAAUCGAUCUAAAGUUGUCUAUAUAUGUUAAAUUAAGCAAUAAUAUUAUUACAAAUCUACAAAUUUGCCUACUUUCUUCUGUUUUGUAUAUCUAAUUUUGAUAAUUCAUCACCAUAAUUUUAUAAUUAAACUUAAAAACUAAAAUAUGUCCUAUAAAUGUAUAAAAUAUAUAAAAUAAAUCAAUAAUUUGCUAACGCCUAGGCUUCGCCUAUGCCCCGAAUAAUCCGCCUAGUCGCUAAUCCUCUAUAAAGCGCUUAGUUACCGCCUAGCAAUUUUUAGAACAUUGAUAAAAAUUGUUGAUUAUAUUUUUCGAAAAUCUGAAAAAAAAAUAUUUUUUUCAAUUAUAUGAAAAAUUCUGAAUUAAUAUGAAAAUGUGUACAUGAUACUUUAAAUAAAAUGUACGUGUAGUUUUGGUAAUUUUUUUCUGUUAAUUUUUUUAUUAUUUUAAAAGUUUGCAUUAUCUUGUUUUAACUAAUUUCAUAAAUUCUUUAUAUUUUUAUUUUAUGUACAAAAAUUAUUAAAAUAGAAAAUUAUAUAUAGAUAUAGUGAGUGAUAAGAAAUAUUAUUAGGUUGAGGUUAAUUAGUUUUCUAUUAUCAAUGAUUUAGUGUAUCGACUAUUAAUAAAAAUUUAAAAUCGUUUAUAAAAAUAUUUCUAUAAUAUCAUAUGUACUUAUAUGUAUAUUCUAUAUUAAUAUAAUGUAAUAUAUGAUAUUUAAUUGUUUCUAUAAAGGGUUUUUAGUAAUUUAAACCCCAAAGUAUUUUUAAAUCAGAAGAAAAACCUCCAGGUAAAAUUUUAUGUUUUUAAACCUUCAAUUAAGAUUUUGUUAGUGUAUUAACCUCUCCGUUAACAGUUCUGUCUAAAAUGAAUGUAAAACAUUAACUUAAAACACUGAGUUUAGUUAAAAUGAAAAAACUGCGUAGUUACCCGAAAACAUGGUGUUAUUAAACGACGUCGUUUACGGACUGUGUGUUGUCUUACGUAAAAAUCAUGUUGUUUUCAGAUAACUACGUGUCAUUUUUCCCUUUUAAUGAAACUCAACGUUUCAAAUUAACGUUUUACAUCCAUUUUAGACGGAACUGUUAACGGAGGGGUUUAUACACUAACAAAAUCUUAAUUGAAGGUUUAAAAACAUAAAAUUUUACCUGGAGGUUUUUCUUCCGAUUUAAAAAUAGUUUGGGGUUUAAAUCACUAAAAACCCUUCUAUAAACAACUUAUCUUAAUUCAUCUAUCUUUGAAAUGUUUAAUUGUUUUUUUGGUAAUAUAGAUUAGAUUAGGUAAUUCUAGGAUUAGUUUCCUUUUUAAAACUUAAAUUAAAUAAAUAAAAAUUCAAAUAUUAACAACCAAUCAAAUUAAAAGAAUUAAUUCGAAACUUCACCUAUGAAUGACACAUAAUCAAAAUCCAAUUAAAUGACUUCUUAAUUAAUAUAUAUAAAGAUACUCAUUCAGAUCAUUUUAAAUAUGAUAUAGUUUGAAUAUCUAAAAUAAAUUAUUUUGUAAAAUCCAAAUGUUUUUACGUUUUUUAUGAUACUUAACAAAUUCUCCACAAAAUAUGGUUACAACACAGAUUUUUUACCCAAUUAAUAUCUUACACUCUUAGUAGAUUAAUUAAUUCAGUCAAUAUUAAAUAUAUUAUAUAAUGAGUAGAUAAAUUCUCCACAAAAUAUGGUUACAACACAGAUUUUUUACCCAAUUAAUAUCUUACACUCUUAGUAGAUUAAUUAAUUCAGUCAAUAUUAAAUAUAUUGUAUAAUGAGUAGACAAAGUUAUGAAUUGAUCCAAAUUUAAAGAGAAAUUCUAUAGGCUUAGAGUUUAGAGUUAAGUGCUGGCGUUUUGGGAUAUGAUUUCAAAUUUUUUUAAAAAAAAAAUUAAAAUUUUCAAAAUAAAAAGGGUUAUUUUGAUCAUUUUCUUUCUUGAGGGCUAUUUUGUGACAAAAACUUAAAAAUAGCUAUUUGAUAGAAUUGCCCAAAUUUAAAUGACAACUUUUUAUCAAUGAUAAAAAUUAAUGCUAUUAAAAAGGAAGGAGUUCCAAAAAAUCUACUUAUGAAAGUUGUUUGGACUGUUUCCUUUUAUUAUAUUUUGGUCUUCCCCUAUAUAUUAUAACAUGUGACCAGCAUUAAAAUUUUAAAAUAAAAAACAAACACAUCUCCAUAAAGAAUAUAUGGAGAAUAUGCUAAUGACUAUUAUCUUACCAAAUACAGGAGAAGUUAGAUGUUUAAGAUUUUAAUGCUCUUCCGUCAUAUAACCAAAGGGAAUAAAAAUCCCAUUAAAGUUUAUUGAUCCAAUAAUUGUAUUUGUACCUCUCAAACCAAUUAAAUCAAUAAAAUAUGUUUCACUUUCAUCUUUCGGCAACAUUACCAAUCUAUGCAUAAUUUGGUUUAUAUAAAAAUGUCAAUUAAGAGUGUAAAAUCAAGUACCAAAAUUUCCACUAUCCAUUUUACAAUUAUUAACAUUAAAAAUUUACUACCAAAUAACUGUAAUAGUGUAAUCGAGGAGAACACCACUAAACCAGAUUAUAUGUGUAAUGUGAUCUACAUACAAUUUUGGAAUUUUAACCGGUUUAGUUGUAAAUAUGAUUUUGAAACAUAUUAUUAUAAAAACAGAAAAAUCAUAUGUAAUACAAAAUAAGAAUUACAAAUUUUCUUAAAUCAUUUUGAAAUUGUUAAUAGAUCCACUAUAAAAAAUUGAAUAACUAGCCCCUAAAUUAAAGCAAUCACAUUAAUAACAAAAAUUUCUACUUGCAAAUCACGCUUUAAUAUAAUUUAUAUAAAUUGACAAGUCUAAUAGGUUAUUUAGUUUUUUAUUGUUAUAAAAUACAUGAGAAGUUUAUCAAUUUUGUAAAAAGUGUUAUCAGAGUUUUCUGGAUUUUACCGGGACACAUUAAUUAGUUUAUUUAGCUUUUUGUAUUAUUAUAAAAUACAUGAAAAUUUCAAUAAUUUUUUUUAAAAAAGUGUUAUCACGUUUUACUGGGUUUUUACCGGGGUAACCAGUACAAGUUCAAAUGUUAAUGGUGGGUUUGUAGAUUUUAUCCAGGUCCAAUUAUGUUUCAGUUCAAUUCUCGGUUUUCGGUUAAUUUCAUAAUGAUAGAUAAAACAUAUUGGAUAAUUUUGGGUUUUCAAUUUAAAUAUCGGGAAAUUCGAUUUGUUCGAAUAAAAAUAUUAAAUGAUUUGGAUAAUUUUAAAUAAAAAAUAUCUGAUAUUUUGGGUAUUUCAAUUUUGGGUAAUAUCGAAUAAAAAUAUCUGAUAUUUUGAAUAAAAAUAUUAGGGUAAUUCAAUUUUGGGUAAUUUGGUUUAUAAAUAAUAGUUUUUAGAUAUUUGGUUAUUUAGAAAUCAAAUAUAAUUAUUAUUUAUUGGUAUAUGAUUUGUAUUUUAAAACUCAGGUACCCAUUUGAUUCUAUGUUUGGUUUCAAUUUUCGGCUUCAGAUAUAUCAUAUUUGAUGGGUUAUUUAUGAAAUUAAUUUCAAUUUUGGUUUUGUGUUUUUCUGUUUGAUAUGGUUCGGUUCACGGUUCUAUGUAAAUGUAUCUAGACCUAUACACUAUUUUAUAUUGAAAUUCAUUUAAAAAAAUUUAUUUAAUUUCGAAAACAAACUCGCGAAUCAAAAUCUAGUAUGAUUUUAAAUUAAUAGAUUAUAUAUUAGUAAUUACUCUCUCUUUUUUCCUUUUUUUAGUAAGUAAAAUGUUUUAAAGAAUUUGGUUGCUUCACAAUGUAAAAUGUUCAGUUUAGCAAAAAAAAAAUGAAAUGUUCUCGCAUAUAAUGAUAUCAAGAUGGUUCUCGAGAAAAUAAUAAAAAUAUUUUUAACUGAUGUUUUCAUUAACACAUUGAUGAUAUUUAGAAUCCCAACAAUAGAAAAAAAAAGAAAGCCUCGUAUAGGGAAAGAGAAGGAAAUAGUAAAUUUCAAAACGUUACUUUUUUUUUACUUUGCGGGGACUAAAGCUUCAAAAAGAAAACCAAAGAAACACCACUUAUCGUGUUAUUCUUGUGGUCUUUUACCUUAUACAAAAGUUUCAUGAAGAGUACUUGCAUGUAUUAAAAGAAGAGGAAGAGAGAAGAAGACGCAUCGCAGUUCUUAUUUCUUUACAGAUCCUCCGGACCGUUGAUGUCCUGUAAGAACAACAAGCACAAGUUGAGUCUAGUGUUAUUAGUUCUCACAACAUCCUCCCCGGGAAUAUAAACGUUACCUUAUUCUCGACCACAGCAUUAUCCGGAAUUUCAAGUUUUGUCCCGGCAUUUGCCUUCACUGACACUUUUCCCUUGAGAACAACGCCUGAGCCAAACCAGACAUCACCAGAGACCUUAAGGCUAUCCAGCUCAACUAUACUCGGAAUGGACUUGAACCGGCCAAGGAAGCUCGCCACCUGUUUUAUAAACCAAAACAAACAUAUAGAAUCUCAGUUGCAUUGUAUGAGAAUGAAAUACUCUUUACAGAGAGCCAUACAGGGGAAGAACGCUCUCUUACCUUUUUGAACUCGGGUCCCAGUUCGAUCGCUGGGUUUGUGGGGUUUGUUCUAGCUUUGUUCCGUGCGACAAAUCCAUCCACGAGAGUGUACAGAUCAGACUGUAAAACACGAUUAAUAAUUAACUCUUUAUUCCAUGUUGAGUGGAUAUUUUGAGCUUUGUAGAAGUUUGGCUUACUUGAACAAGAAGCAAGUCUGAAGUUGCCUUCACUGGUAAGAAACGUGACCGAGGUACAUUCACACCGAUUGCAUUUUCAAAAAACUGUUUGAAGACAGGGAAACAUUAGAAGAAGGUCACGGUUGUGUUUCUCUUAAAAAACUGCAUUGACGAAAUACAGAACAAAAUGAAUACCCUUAUCGCUGCCCCAGCCGCAGUUUCCAGUUGAAGAACUUUGACUCCAUCGACUUCCUGAGAAGAGUUUAAGACAAAUCACGCAAAACUGCAAAUGCUUAAUUGCGCAGCAUCGUAUGAUUAAAAAUAAGUACCUUCGGGUUUGGGAUGAUUUCCAUCUUAAGCGCAUCAGCUUCCACAAGCUUUUUAAUGGCUUUCAAGUUAACCCAACUGUAAGAAGCUAAAUAGUUAAGUCCCCGAAGAUUAAUCUGUAAUUUCCAUGUUUUCGGGACCAGAUAGAUUACUUACAGGUUGUUUGUGUUGAAAAUCUUGAACUUCUCAAUUGAUUUGAAUUCAUUUACCUACCAAAACGCCAGCAACUUAAGUCUUAGUCACACGCAAUAGCCAUACACAAGCAAUUUCGUUUAAUGCUCAGAGCAGCAACAUUUUAUGACAUGUUAUGAGCGAAACAUGUAACAAGUAAAAGAAGCUAAUGAAAGCAAGGAUAUAGUGUCUAAACUGCUACAAGAAUCUCAAGGAAUCUCUCGUAGAAAGAAAAUCUAUAUCAUCAAACCAGAAAGAACGAGAUCUAAAUACAAAUUAGAAGGAAAACAGAAGAGUGUGGACUUACAUGCUCAUCAGGAACCUGAGCAAUCUCCAAAAGCUGAGUUACACAUAGGAAAAGUCAAAUUUAGAGGUCAAUAGAACUAUUAUAAACUCUAAUAGCAGAAGAACAAUGAAAAAGCGUCAGGAUCAUAAGUUCCAAAGAAGACAAUGACAUAUAUCUCCAUAUAUAUUUUUUCACUAUGAGCCUGGAUACACCUAUGAUUUGAAGGUGGCAUGCGUAAUAACAAGGAGAUAUAUUGCAGAAUGCGCAGACAAUGUUCAGUAGGUACUAAACACCAAGUUUGAUUAGUAACUUUCCAGUAAUUUUGCAGCCAAAUAGCUUCAUCUAAACAGGAAAAGAAAUCUACCUGUACUUUUCCUUCGUAGGAGAUGAGAGUUCCUCCCUUUACAUCAGCUAGGGUUUUGGGUGUCACCUCCAUACAAUACUCAUUUUUGUUUUGGAUCAGGUGCUUCAAGAUUUCUGAAGCAACACAGAGUAAAUGACAGCCACAAAUUACUCUCUGAUUAAAUGUUACUUUGCAGAUUGCAACUAAGCAAAAUGAAUAUAGGAAGAAACCAAGAUGAAGAUAUUACUUAAGUCAACGACAGCGCCCAAGUUGUCUGAGUUGGCAACGAACACAUACUCCUUACCCUGAAUAGUGAGAAACCCGGAAUUAAAAUUGGCAAAUGCUGAAAGUCACAAACGUAUCAACUAUCAAGGAUCAAUUCAGGAGACAAUUAAUAAUAUACUAGGAAUAACCUGUGAUAUGAAAGCAUCAAGCUUGCCACUGUUCAUGAGGGAUGGGAAUACAUCACCGUGACCGGGAGGAUACCUUCACAAAAAGACCAUUUAUAAGUGGUGACAAAAAUAUAGGAUAUUCAAAUGCAUAUGCCAAUGCAAUAUUUAUAGGGGAAAGAACUCCAUAAGGAUUGCAGUAUUUGAUUUACAAGCCCAAAUGAGACUCAUAAAGAUUGUAAUCAUAGACUAGACCCCAGGACUUUUUGAAAAUUUUGCGUAAUAAGAAGAAACCAAAAUGCAAAAGGCAGUUGAAUUACAGUAAUAAGUUUACUUGUCUACCAGAACAGAACAUACCAGCCAUCCUUGUCAGUCUUUCCUUUGCUAGGCCACGGCACAAACUCAUCAGCAACAACACGAGGAUACUUGCUCUGCACAAGUCAUCACUGUCAGUUCCACAGUUGACUUAAAUCGUUCAAAUAAAGAAAGUUUAGUUUCUUGUCAUUGACAUCAAGUACCUGAUUAAAAGUGUGAAUAUCAACAUUGGAGUUGGUGUACUUCUCCACAAUCUGAAAAGAGACAAAAAGCAGUCAGCCUACAAGUAUCAGAUAAAUGUAGAACUAAAGAGAAGUGAUUCUCGGUGGAAAAGAAGUACCUUUUGUGUGUCAUCAUGUGUGUUGAAUGAGUUCAUGAGAACCAAGGGAACCUUGCAUCCAUACCUGUUGUUGAGAUUCUGUGGGAAAGCGAUAAAUGAGGUUACAUAAAGGCAUUAAGAUCAGCGAAAAAAAAAUGAACGGAAAAAUGACAAACCUCGAUCUGGAUAACAAUCAGGUCAAGAAAUGUUAAACCAUCACGAACUUCGAUAACCGAUCUGCAUAGAAACAGGAAAAGAAAAUGAAAAAACUAUUGCUUGAAGAAAGAAAAUGUCGCAUAAAUAAUACAUCAGGUAAGGACUGAAUACAGUAAACUCAAGAAGAUUUCCAAGAAAAUGAAGUUAUAAAUAUGGACUGUAUGUUCUAGGAUGAACUUGUUUACCCCUGACGUUAAAACAACUACCAUAUCCCUGCUAUUUUCAAAAGCUAACAGUGGAUUGUUUACUAGCUACUCAGGGAUCCACUAAGUCCACUAGCCAUGGCAACAAGGAGUACAUGGUAUAAUAGAUCUUCGGGUAGGCAAAUGUACUCAUCACUAUCUCAAAGAGACUAGAUCCACUACUCAAGCCAAGGAUAAGCCAAAAAAUCAAACUAAAAAACUGAUAGUGACGCAAGACUAGAGAGCUUACUUUGGACCAGUGCAUCCCAUCGUCGUUCCCAGACCUCCAUUAAGCUUUAGCACAACAAGUUUGUCCAACAGAUACUUAGUCUCCGAAGCAUCUUCAUUACGUUGCAAACCAUAAAAAAAAGCUUAUCAUAAAGAAAGCAAAGCUUCAAUACAGAUUUGUAUCAUUCGAGAAAAAUAAAAAUACCUUCGGAGACGUUAGCCAUUUUAUCGUAAGGAACAACAAUCUCAUCAGUAGGAGUCUGGAUCUUGCUCCACUCAAUGUGCUGAGCCUCACCGCUUCAAAUUCACAUAGAGCUCAUUCAAAUUCACAUAGGACUCAUUGGUACGUUUAUAUAAUUAUAUGUAUACAUUCAUUCAAAAGUUUCCAGAUCUGUUCCCAGAUCCGAUAUAUGAUACUUGCAUCCAUCGUUUCAACUACAAAUCUACGUAAACUAGACUGUUCGAUCUUUCGAAUUUAAGAUAAUAUCAACACAAAACUCGAUCAGCAAAGAAAAUUCAAAGGACGAACCUCAGGUAGCGAGAGACGAGGCUGAUGAAUCCGCUCCUCUCGUUAUCACUGAAACAAGGGGUAAGAAACAGAUGAGAGUCUAAAACGAUGAAGAAGAUUACCAGAUCCAGAAUUAGAAUCAGGAAAGUGAGAGCGUGAAAACCUCAUCUCUUUAAGUCCAUCGGUGGCGGAUUUGAGCUGGGGGAGCUUCUCGAUCGCGGCUGCGGCCAUGGUUGAUUUUCUGAAACGAGAGAUUCCGAUCUAGAGAUGUUAAUCGCAGAGAGGUUGAAGAUGAAGAGUGUUGUGGAAUCAAAGGGGAGGGUUAUUUAUAGUAAGAGAGGAGUUAAUGGUAACGAAUGAAUCGUCCGUUGUUUUUUUUUUUGAUCAAACCAACUUGUAUUAAAGAAUCGUCCGUUGUUUUCUCUUUGCCAAUUGUAAAACAGAAACCUCCACACCUCGCAAUCGCAUCUCCCUCUCCAUUCGAUGGUGGUUUUUACUGAACCGGUCGGUUUAUGUGUUUGAACCAAGCGAAUCGGUUCAAUUUAGCUCAACAUAUUGGAUAUUUUUCCCCUAUUUUCCUCUAAAGCUCGAAAAAACAGAAUUCAAAUCGAACCACAGUACAAAAAUGGAUCGAGAUAAUAAAUUUCUUUUUAAAAAAAUCAUAUUUAUAAAAUCCAAAAUCGAUUCUGUACAGAACCGGAAACCAAUUGGAACACCCGUGUCCAGUUAUUCGUUUUAUUAUCAUCAUUAUUAUUAGAAAACAAAAUUAAAUUUAUCCAUAUGAAAGUGAGAAAAUCGAGUACCACGUCUUGCAGGUAAGCUUAGCUAUCCAUUUCCGAUGGUGCAGUUUUCACGUACCAGAAAAGAUAUUUUGAUGUUGAUAUGUUAUUUACAAACGUAAGAGUUCAACUUCAUUGUUAACUGAUGAAAUGUCAUAGGAGGAAUGAUUUAAAUGAAUUUUUUUUAUAUAAAAUGAAUACUAUUUAACUGUCUGUGGUAGCUCAGAACUGCUUUUUCUUUUCUCCUCUGAUGUUGCUUUAGUUUACUUUGAUCAGCUACUAGUUUACUAUGUAACUUCUGUAACAAACGAAAAUAAAAUUUAACAUUUUUACCAAAAAAAAUAAAUCUUACAACCAAAAAAAUUAAAUCUUAUAGUCUUGUAAAAAAUAUUACAAACAAGCAUGCUAAUCGGCAACACAUAACAUUUUUAUUUAAGGGCCUCCCAUAGAACAUAUUUAAGUUUUGAACCAACCAAACGUUAAAGGUACGAGUAUGAUUCACUAGAGAAUCAUCAGAGAACCAGAACUUGAAGCAUGAAAUGGCCUUAUGGGUGCGACUUCUGCGCCGUGUCUACUUUCUUUUACCUCCUAUAGAAAGCAGAAAGCACACCCUUACACACGGUCCGAGCCUGGUCCACACGCACAUUUAUAACUUAUAACAAUGUAAAAAGCAAAAAUGUUUGGUCUAAUUGUAUAAAGAAAAACAAGAUAUUCCGCUAAAUUAAACAAACCAUAGGCGUCGAAAGAAAUUUUGGCAAAAAAAGAGAAUUUCGCCAUUUAUGAGAAGGCAUUUAAUUUUAAAAAUAAAUGCAAUUUUCCUCGAAUCCCAUUAAUCUUACGUACUUAGCACGCACUACAUAUUUUCACCCUGUUUCCAAGUAUUUUUUUUUAGAAACCGUAGAUCAACAAGAUGGAAAGAAAUGAAAUCGUGUUUCCAAUGUGGUGUCAUUCGUGUCAGGACCUUCUGAUUCUAACCAAACUUCACAAAAAGGUACAUAGUAUAGGCCUUGCGAAAUAAUUUAACUUUCUAAAAGAAAAAAACGAACAUUUCCAAAAGCAUUUAUUUCAAAAUAUAUUAUUACCAAAAUAACUCGCAUGGUUUUUAGGGUUGCCCUUUUUUGAUAUAAACCACCCAUAUACAUAUAUAUAUAAGGUAUUUCACUUCUUCCUCCAAGCUCCAUCACCACUUCUCUUGACCUUACUUUCUCUCUUAUUGUCAUCUCGUGAGCAUUUGCUCCCUCAUCGUCGUGAUGGUGCUCUCCCAUGCUGCAUCGGAUUCGGACGUUUCUGUCCACUCCACAUUCGCAUCACGAUACGUCCGAACUUCGCUACCUAGGUAACACACGAAUAACAAUAUAAUAAUCUUGAUCAUGUUAUAUGCAUUUAAGCUGUAUUAUAGUGGUUUGUUUAAAACGUAAAAUAUCAGGUUCAGGAUGCCAGAAAACUCGAUUCCAAAAGAAGCUGCUUAUCAGAUCAUUAAUGACGAGCUUAUGCUUGAUGGUAAUCCAAGGCUAAACUUGGCCUCCUUCGUGACGACGUGGAUGGAGCCUGAGUGUGAUAAGCUCAUCAUGGCCUCAAUUAACAAGAACUACGUCGACAUGGACGAGUACCCUGUCACCACCGAACUCCAGGUUUAUAUUUUAGUCAAUAUAUAUAGAAAAAAUUUAUUUUUGUAAAAAAAAAAUCAUGAUAGUUGCAAAAUUGAGUUUAGAUAGAAUUAAUCAUAAGAUAUAUGCCAAUAGUUAACUAUGAUGAUUUGUGUUUCAAAAAUGAUGAUAUGUAUUCACCAAGAUUAUUAUAGUUAAGUAACAAUCUCGACGUUGAUAAGAUUUCAUUGAAGUAAAAAGGUGAGUUUUCACUAAUCAUUUUUUAUUACUAUUAAUAAAACAGAACCGAUGUGUGAACAUGAUUGCACAUCUAUUCAACGCACCGUUAGGUGAGACGGAGACGGCCGUUGGAGUAGGGACCGUUGGAUCAUCGGAGGCCAUAAUGUUGGCCGGGUUGGCCUUCAAGCGAAAAUGGCAGAACAAGCGCAGGGCCGAAGGCAAACCCUUUGACAAACCCAACAUUGUCACUGGAGCCAAUGUUCAAGUAAUUAACGAUUCUUCAAGUUUAAUAAUCACGCUUUUGAGCAAUGACUUAUAAUAAUGAAUCAAUAUGUUUAGGUGUGCUGGGAGAAAUUUGCUAGGUACUUUGAGGUUGAGCUUAAGGAAGUGAAACUACGUGAAGGGUAUUAUGUGAUGGACCCGGAGCAAGCUGUUGAGAUGGUCGAUGAGAACACUAUAUGUGUUGCGGCUAUUCUUGGUUCCACUCUUAAUGGAGAAUUUGAAGAUGUCAAACUCUUGAAUGAUCUCUUGGUCCUGAAGAACAAAGAAACUGGGUAAUUAUAUAUUUCUUUCAUAUAUAUCAAUGGAUUGUUACACACUACUGUAUAUAUAGUACACUAAGAAAAAACAACUAACAUAUGCAUGUUUUUGAUAGAUUGGAUAUACCGAUCCAUGUGGAUGCAGCAAGUGGAGGAUUCAUAGCACCGUUUUUGUAUCCGGAACUGGAAUGGGACUUUAGACUGCCACAGGUCAAGAGUAUAAAUGUGAGUGGUCACAAGUAUGGACUUGUGUACGCUGGAAUUGGUUGGGUGGUCUGGAGAAACAAAGAGGAUUUGCCUGAUGAACUCAUCUUCCAUAUCAACUAUCUUGGUGCUGACCAACCCACUUUCACACUCAACUUCUCCAAAGGUAACGUACUUCGCCACUUCAGUAUUACUAUUAGUAGCUCACUCCAGAAUCUAUAAAUUACUUUCAUUUUUUCUAUAUGUAUUUAUUGAUAUUCUUCUUAAUAAGCACAGGUUCGAGCCAAGUCAUUGCUCAAUACUACCAGCUGAUCCGAUUGGGCCAUGAGGUGAGCCAUGAAAAUUGAUUUAAUAUAUCAUGCUAAUUAACUAAGCAUUACUUACAAACUAAUUAAAUUGCAUCAAACAGGGGUACAGAAACGUGAUGGAGAAUUGCAGAGAGAACAUGAUCGUCUUAAGGGAAGGGCUUGAGAAGACAGGAAGGUUCAGCAUCGUAUCAAAGGACGAGGGAAUUCCACUUGUUGCUUUCUCCUUGAAAGAUAACAGUUCUCACACUGAGUUCGAAAUCUCCGAGAUGCUUCGCAGGUUAGCUAUCAUUAAUAUGAUCUCAAAUACUCUCUCAUGAAGUUCAGUGUGUUAUGAUGUUUUACUGUGAUGUAAUGUAGGUAUGGGUGGAUAGUGCCGGCGUAUACAAUGCCAGCAAACGCAGAGCACAUAACUGUUCUUCGUGUGGUCAUCAGAGAAGAUUUUUCAAGGACACUGGCAGAGAGACUUGUGAUGGAUAUUGAGAAAGUGAUGCAUGAGCUUGAUGAGCUUCCCUCGCGAGUGAUCCACAAAAUUUCACUAGGAGAGGUGAAGAGUGAAGAUAACGGCGACAACAUGGUGGUUACGGUGAAGAAAAGUGAUAUUGAGAAGCCCAUAGAGAUCAAUGUCAAGAAGUCUGACAAACCCAUAUUUUGUUGAUGUUAGACCUUCAUAGGUCGACUGGUUUUUGAUUGAGUUUUUAUUUUUAUUGCGUCGAUUUAAAAUUUUGAAAGACAUCAUGUAUCGUUUUACUGAAUUGAUUUCUAAGUUUUGAACUAAUGUGUGAUUAUUAAUCACACGUUUAUUUUUGAGACAUUAAAAGAAAGUUAAGUUUCUUAUUUUGAUAAACUAUUCUUAGUUUCUUUGUUAUGUCAAUUACACUCCUAAUUACUUUUAUUUUGAUUAGUUGAAACUAAAUUCAGAAAAACAAGUAAAUUCUGAAAACAAGAUUUCUGUAAUUGGAUUGUUCAAAUUUAUUUAAUUAUAUAAAUUUCAUGGACUUUGAUUUUUUUAGAUAGAUGAUGAAAACUAGAAACUCAUAUGAUGUCAUUCGGCCGACUCAAUAAUAGAGAUCGAAUUAAAUAACAUCACCUUUACAGUUAAUUCUUAUUUGGACAGUAAUCAUAUCAUCGAUCGAUCGGCAAAUAUUAUUACAAACAUUAACUGUGCACUACGCAUGAUCUUAUGUAAUCAAUGAUGAAAUAUAAUAAAUCAACUCGCAUAUUUUACAUUACGAGGCCUAUCAUACUAGAAAAACUAAGAAGAAACCUUACCGUAUUGGUCGAUACGCGUUAUCUUCCGCGUUCUAGUAAUGUACAAAAGUAACCAACGUUUGGUCUAAUUCUAUGGACCAAACGAUUUCUGAGAAAACAUUUAUUUAAUACAUGAACGAAUUCAAUAAAAGGCAAAUAUUUUCCUCGGAUCCUAUUCAUCAUUGACUUAGUAAGCAUUAAAUAUUUUUACCGUGUCAAUAAAUCAAAUUUCUUAGAAAUCUUUAUUAAGGAAACUGUUAUAAAUUAAGCAUUGAAAUGAUCAUCCACUUCUUUACCAAACUCAAGCACUAUGAUCAUCUACUCAUCAAGCACUAUGAUCACCCACUCAUUUACCAAAUUAAGCACCAUCUUUGUUAUUUUAUGUAUUGUUGUUCACUAUAAAUACCAUCACUUAUCUCACUCUUUUGUACACCAAAAACAAGAACAAGAGUUUAUAAUCAAAGAAUCAUUACAUUUUGUUCUUCCUUCUUAUAAUAAACUCUCUCCUUUAUACUAGUGUUAUUUGCUUCCUACGGGUAUUAAAUUCUACUCUUAUUUAAAUUUCUCGAUACUAUAAAUUAUAAGUUAUUUCAUAACACGUUAUCAGCACGAUCGUUCUGCAAUUCGGUAAAAUUUAUUGUAUCAUAUAUACUCUGCUAUAAUGGUCGGUAUACCGCCUGUACUAUUAUUUAUAUUAUGUUAUAAUGGCCGGAAUACCGCCUAUAUUAUUUAUUAAUAUUUUAAUUAAUUUAUUGGUCGGCCGAGCCGCCUUAUAUUCUAUUUAUUGUUAACUGGACGGCCGAGCCGCCUUUAUUUUCUGUUUGUUGUUAACUNNNNNNNNNNNNNNNNNNNNNNNNNNNNNNNNNNNNNNNNNNNNNNNNNNNNNNNNNNNNNNNNNNNNNNNNNNNNNNNNNNNNNNNNNNNNNNNNNNNNNNNNNNNNNNNNNNNNNNNNNNNNNNNNNNNNNNNNNNNNNNNNNNNNNNNNNNNNNNNNNNNNNNNNNNNNNNNNNNNNNNNNNNNNNNNNNNNNNNNNNNNNNNNNNNNNNNNNNNNNNNNNNNNNNNNNNNNNNNNNNNNNNNNNNNNNNNNNNNNNNNNNNNNNNNNNNNNNNNNNNNNNNNNNNNNNNNNNNNNNNNNNNNNNNNNNNNNNNNNNNNNNNNNNNNNNNNNNNNNNNNNNNNNNNNNNNNNNNNNNNNNNNNNNNNNNNNNNNNNNNNNNNNNNNNNNNNNNNNNNNNNNNNNNNNNNNNNNNNNNNNNNNNNNNNNNNNNNNNNNNNNNNNNNNNNNNNNNNNNNNNNNNNNNNNNNNNNNNNNNNNNNNNNNNNNNNNNNNNNNNNNNNNNNNNNNNNNNNNNNNNNNNNNNNNNNNNNNNNNNNNNNNNNNNNNNNNNNNNNNNNNNNNNNNNNNNNNNNNNNNNNNNNNNNNNNNNNNNNNNNNNNNNNNNNNNNNNNNNNNNNNNNNNNNNNNNNNNNNNNNNNNNNNNNNNNNNNNNNNNNNNNNNNNNNNNNNNNNNNNNNNNNNNNNNNNNNNNNNNNNNNNNNNNNNNNNNNNNNNNNNNNNNNNNNNNNNNNNNNNNNNNNNNNNNNNNNNNNNNNNNNNNNNNNNNNNNNNNNNNNNNNNNNNNNNNNNNNNNNNNNNNNNNNNNNNNNNNNNNNNNNNNNNNNNNNNNNNNNNNNNNNNNNNNNNNNNNNNNNNNNNNNNNNNNNNNNNNNNNNNNNNNNNNNNNNNNNNNNNNNNNNNNNNNNNNNNNNNNNNNNNNNNNNNNNNNNNNNNNNNNNNNNNNNNNNNNNNNNNNNNNNNNNNNNNNNNNNNNNNNNNNNNNNNNNNNNNNNNNNNNNNNNNNNNNNNNNNNNNNNNNNNNNNNNNNNNNNNNNNNNNNNNNNNNNNNNNNNNNNNNNNNNNNNNNNNNNNNNNNNNNNNNNNNNNNNNNNNNNNNNNNNNNNNNNNNNNNNNNNNNNNNNNNNNNNNNNNNNNNNNNNNNNNNNNNNNNNNNNNNNNNNNNNNNNNNNNNNNNNNNNNNNNNNNNNNNNNNNNNNNNNNNNNNNNNNNNNNNNNNNNNNNNNNNNNNNNNNNNNNNNNNNNNNNNNNNNNNNNNNNNNNNNNNNNNNNNNNNNNNNNNNNNNNNNNNNNNNNNNNNNNNNNNNNNNNNNNNNNNNNNNNNNNNNNNNNNNNNNNNNNNNNNNNNNNNNNNNNNNNNNNNNNNNNNNNNNNNNNNNNNNNNNNNNNNNNNNNNNNNNNNNNNNNNNNNNNNNNNNNNNNNNNNNNNNNNNNNNNNNNNNNNNNNNNNNNNNNNNNNNNNNNNNNNNNNNNNNNNNNNNNNNNNNNNNNNNNNNNNNNNNNNNNNNNNNNNNNNNNNNNNNNNNNNNNNNNNNNNNNNNNNNNNNNNNNNNNNNNNNNNNNNNNNNNNNNNNNNNNNNNNNNNNNNNNNNNNNNNNNNNNNNNNNNNNNNNNNNNNNNNNNNNNNNNNNNNNNNNNNNNNNNNNNNNNNNNNNNNNNNNNNNNNNNNNNNNNNNNNNNNNNNNNNNNNNNNNNNNNNNNNNNNNNNNNNNNNNNNNNNNNNNNNNNNNNNNNNNNNNNNNNNNNNNNNNNNNNNNNNNNNNNNNNNNNNNNNNNNNNNNNNNNNNNNNNNNNNNNNNNNNNNNNNNNNNNNNNNNNNNNNNNNNNNNNNNNNNNNNNNNNNNNNNNNNNNNNNNNNNNNNNNNNNNNNNNNNNNNNNNNNNNNNNNNNNNNNNNNNNNNNNNNNNNNNNNNNNNNNNNNNNNNNNNNNNNNNNNNNNNNNNNNNNNNNNNNNNNNNNNNNNNNNNNNNNNNNNNNNNNNNNNNNNNNNNNNNNNNNNNNNNNNNNNNNNNNNNNNNNNNNNNNNNNNNNNNNNNNNNNNNNNNNNNNNNNNNNNNNNNNNNNNNNNNNNNNNNNNNNNNNNNNNNNNNNNNNNNNNNNNNNNNNNNNNNNNNNNNNNNNNNNNNNNNNNNNNNNNNNNNNNNNNNNNNNNNNNNNNNNNNNNNNNNNNNNNNNNNNNNNNNNNNNNNNNNNNNNNNNNNNNNNNNNNNNNNNNNNNNNNNNNNNNNNNNNNNNNNNNNNNNNNNNNNNNNNNNNNNNNNNNNNNNNNNNNNNNNNNNNNNNNNNNNNNNNNNNNNNNNNNNNNNNNNNNNNNNNNNNNNNNNNNNNNNNNNNNNNNNNNNNNNNNNNNNNNNNNNNNNNNNNNNNNNNNNNNNNNNNNNNNNNNNNNNNNNNNNNNNNNNNNNNNNNNNNNNNNNNNNNNNNNNNNNNNNNNNNNNNNNNNNNNNNNNNNNNNNNNNNNNNNNNNNNNNNNNNNNNNNNNNNNNNNNNNNNNNNNNNNNNNNNNNNNNNNNNNNNNNNNNNNNNNNNNNNNNNNNNNNNNNNNNNNNNNNNNNNNNNNNNNNNNNNNNNNNNNNNNNNNNNNNNNNNNNNNNNNNNNNNNNNNNNNNNNNNNNNNNNNNNNNNNNNNNNNNNNNNNNNNNNNNNNNNNNNNNNNNNNNNNNNNNNNNNNNNNNNNNNNNNNNNNNNNNNNNNNNNNNNNNNNNNNNNNNNNNNNNNNNNNNNNNNNNNNNNNNNNNNNNNNNNNNNNNNNNNNNNNNNNNNNNNNNNNNNNNNNNNNNNNCAUUGGGUUUUCCAUGACUAGGUUUUUAACGAGGCACCACGUAAUACAAGAUGGAUGAUCAAGGGGGAGUGUUAUAAAUUAAGCAUUGAAAUGAUCAUCCACUUCUUUACCAAACUCAAGCACUAUGAUCAUCUACUCAUCAAGCACUAUGAUCACCCACUCAUUUACCAAAUUAAGCACCAUCUUUGUUAUUUUAUGUAUUGUUGUUCACUAUAAAUACCAUCACUUAUCUCACUCUUUUGUACACCAAAAACAAGAACAAGAGUUUAUAAUCAAAGAAUCAUUACAUUUUCUUCUUCCUUCUUAUAAUAAACUCUCUCCUUUAUACUAGUGUUAUUUGCUUCCUACGGGUAUUAAAUUCUACUCUUAUUUAAAUUUCUCGAUACUAUAAAUUAUAAGUUAUUUCAUAACAGAAACAAAAUAAAAACAAUCGUGUUUUCAAACAAAACUUCUCAAAAAUGUACUUGGUUUUAAAAAACCUAAAACGAAAUUAGAGGCAUUAUUCUACUAACAUAAAUAAAGUAUAGGCACUAGGAAGAAAAUUCCGAGAAAGGAAACCUCUAAAAGUUCGUUCAUUUCAAAAUAUAUUAUUACACAAAUAACCCAUAUAAAACCCAUUCAUAAUUGGUUAUCAUUCAAUAUCAAUUAUUAUUGAUAUAAAACCCCUCACUAGGUGUUUCUCCAUUUCCUCCAAUCCCAUUCGGCCAUUCAUCACUUUCCUCUAUCUCAUUUUCUCUCUUAUUAUCAUCUUGUGUUAUUUCUCUCUCUCUCUCAUCGCCGUGAUGGUGCUCUCUCACGCCGCAUCGGAUUCGGACGUCUCCGUCCACUCCACAUUCGCGUCACGAUACGUUCGAACUUCACUUCCUAGGUAAAAUAAAACUAAACAAUAUAACAAUCUUGAUCAUGAUAUACGUAUGUAUAAGCUCCAUAAUAAUGGAGGGUUGAUAACGUUAAUAUCAGGUUCAAGAUGCCGGAAAACUCGAUUCCAAAAGAAGCGGCGUAUCAGAUAAUAAACGAUGAGUUGAUGCUUGACGGUAAUCCAAGGCUAAACUUGGCCUCCUUCGUGACCACGUGGAUGGAGCCUGAGUGCGACAAACUCAUCAUGGCUUCCAUUAACAAGAACUAUGUCGACAUGGACGAGUACCCUGUCACCACCGAACUUCAGGUAUCUGAUCAUAUACUAUAUAUAUCAUGAUCGUUCAAAAUCAAGUUUAAACAUAAUUACGUAUCGGCUUAUAUAUGGAGAGAAAUGAUUAUAAGAUCUUCAGCAUUUUUUUCUAAGGAUCUUGUAUGUGGCCGAGAUAUUAUAUGGUAUGUUUUGAUUGAUGUUUUAAUUUAAAUUUGUAUAUACCAUUGUUCAUAGGUGCAUUUCUUUCUUUUUUUCUCUCUCUCUAAUUUGUUCCUAUAUAUUAAUAUAUAUAUGUUACUAUUAUUAGUUUGUAUCAUCAUAAGAUUCUUUAUUAUUGAUUCUACAUAUAUAUAAACGCAACGCCACCACCUAUCUUGACUUUUUCUAUGGCCGUGUUUAUUACUUUUGGAUUCAUUUGAACUACACUAUAGUAAUUAGUGGGAAUAUUGGUACUACGUUUCCUCAAUUAAUACCAGUCAUUGUGUUCCUUGCUACUACGACUAUUUAAAUUGAUAGCCGGACAAAGUUAAAACUAAAUGAUAUUUAAUGAUCGGGCCAACAUUGAAAUAAAUAGAAUAUAAAAUUCAAGUUAUACUUACAAAUAAGUUACAAGUGGUUAGAUUCCUCGUAUUUUAAAUUGAAAUAUAAAGAGUAUGAAUAACAUUAUAUGAUAUGGUAUAAUAGUAGGAUCAAAUUUAACAUUCUGUAUUAUUUUCAGAUUAGAAUAUGAUCGUAAUUUUUUUUUUCAUCAAUUAGCUGACCGUAAUUAUUUACAUUAUAAGAUUUACACGACCUCAUGCUGAAUUAUAGAAUAAAUGUAGUUGUUAAUGACUAAUUAAUCUCCACCCCUUUAAGUGUGCACUAUUUUAAAUUUACUCUAAAGAUCUGUGACGGUGCUAUUCACCAGGAGUAGCAUCAAUCUCGGUGUCAAUAAGUCAUACGCCACGCUGCUUUUCGCUAAAUAAUCAUUAUUGUUUUAAUAUUUUGAAAACAGAACCGAUGUGUGAACAUGAUUGCACAUCUAUUCAACGCACCUUUAGGAGAGACAGAGACGGCCGUUGGAGUAGGGACCGUUGGAUCAUCUGAGGCCAUAAUGUUGGCCGGUUUGGCCUUUAAGCGUAAAUGGCAGAACAAGCGUAAAGCGGAAGGCAAACCUUUUGAUAAACCCAACAUUGUCACUGGAGCUAAUGUUCAAGUAAUUAACGAUUAUUCAAGUUUAGUAAUCAUAACUAAAUCUUUGUGUUUGACCAAUUUCUUACAAUGACGGAUCAAAAUGUUAGGUGUGUUGGGAGAAAUUCGCUAGGUACUUUGAGGUUGAGCUUAAGGAAGUGAAACUAAGCGAAGGGUAUUAUGUGAUGGACCCGGAGCAAGCUGUUGAGAUGGUCGAUGAGAACACUAUAUGUGUUGCGGCCAUUCUUGGUUCCACUCUUAAUGGAGAAUUUGAAGAUGUCAAACUCUUGAAUGAUCUCUUGGUCCUAAAGAACAAAGAAACCGGGUAAAUUAAUUAGUUUUCAUACCAAUGGAUUGUUUACACUAUAUGAUAUUAGUAGUACUAUAGUUAGAAUAUUUAACACGUUUACACUAAUCAAAACAACUAAUAACUGGGUCGAUAUUUGCAUGUCUUUGAUAGAUGGGACACACCAAUCCAUGUGGAUGCGGCAAGUGGAGGAUUCAUAGCACCGUUUUUGUAUCCAGAAUUGGAAUGGGACUUUAGACUGCCUUUGGUGAAGAGUAUAAAUGUGAGUGGUCACAAGUAUGGACUUGUGUACGCAGGAAUUGGUUGGGUGGUUUGGAGAAACAAAGAGGAUUUGCCCGAGGAACUCAUCUUCCAUAUCAAUUAUCUUGGUGCUGACCAACCCACUUUUACGCUCAAUUUCUCCAAAGGUAUGUUUAACUUAGUGAUGGUCUUAGUUGCUGCUUGUAUAAAUUUUCUUUCUUGUUUAUCAAAAUUUAAUUUUCUUGCUAGCUAUUCCUAAUCUUUUAUUUGUUUGACAUUAACGUACUAGCCAUGAUCUAGAUUGACUAACAUCAAAGUUAUGGAGGGUAAAUAAUAUCUUUCUACUUAACAAAAAUAAAGUCACUUUGCAAAUUUUCUUGCUAUUCUUAUCUUUUGUGUUUGACUUAUACCUACUAGCCUUGAUCUAAAUAGGCUAAUAUUUCUACUUUUAUAUACAAAAGUAAGCUACUUUUAAAAUUAGCCGUAGAUCAUCAAAUGGAUGGAGCAAUAGAGGUCAAACUUUUUCCACUUUUAUUUACUUUGAACAAUUUAAGAAAUGGGUAGGACAUGAACAUCAAAGUGAUACAGGUAACACAAAAAUUUAAGUACGUAAAACGUAACUUAGACGUCGUCAUAUUAAAAUGUGAUUUUCAUAUACUUUCAACAUCUGAACUUUUUAUUAAUUGUAUUUGUUAUCACUCAUAGCCAAUCACUCUUCAUUGAUUUUCCUAAAUAACGCAGGUUCGAGUCAAGUCAUAGCUCAAUACUACCAACUUAUCCGAUUGGGCCACGAGGUGAGUCAGUUCAUGACAACUGUUAAUACUAUAUAUCAUGCUAAUGCUAAGUAAUUAGAAAUUCCUUAGUAAAAUAAAAUGUGUCAAACAGGGUUAUAGAAAUGUGAUGGAGAAUUGCAGAGAGAAUAUGAUCGUGUUAAGGGAAGGACUUGAGAAGACAGGAAGGUUCAACAUCGUAUCAAAGGAUGAGGGAGUGCCGCUUGUCGCUUUCUCCUUGAAAGACAGCAGCUCUCACACUGAGUUCGAAAUCUCCGACAUGCUUCGCAGGUUAGUUUUUAUUUCAGAAACCAUAGAAAAUCUAUGAAAUAUUCUAAAGACAGGUGCUAUUUGACAAACAAUAAUUUUUAAAAACAAUGUGAAUUAAAAUAUAUAUAAAAUUUUGAAAUUAUUUUUUGAAAAUUUUAGCAAUGGAGAUGCUCUAAUAUCUCAAAUACUCUUUCUUUCCCAAUUUCGAAAGGUUUCACUUUGAUAUGAUUCAUGCACUGAUGCACUUGAGAGUAAAUACAUAAGUUAGACGUUAUUGAUACUUCAAAGAUUCAUAAAAACAAGUAACUAGAUUUGUGUAUGAAUAUGAUGUAUCUAUAACUUGUCUAUUUAUAUAUUGAAAUGUAGGUACGGAUGGAUAGUGCCGGCAUAUACUAUGCCUCCUAACGCACAACACAUAACUGUUCUUCGAGUGGUCAUCAGAGAAGAUUUUUCAAGAACACUCGCAGAGAGACUUGUGAUCGAUAUUGAGAAAGUGAUGCGUGAGCUCGAUGAGCUUCCUUCACGAGUAAUCCACAAAAUUUCGCUGGGAGAGGAGAAGAGUGAAGCUAACGGCGAUAACUUGAUGGUGACGGUGAAGAAAACCGAUAUGGAGAAGCAGAGAGAGAUCAUCAAUGGCUGGAAGAAGUUUGUUUCCGACAGGAAGAAGACAAAUGGUAUCUGUUAACUGAAAUAAUAAUAUAUAAUGAAAAUGUUUGGACUGCUUUAUCAAUAAUGCAUUUGCACUAAUUCGGAGAUUUGAAGGGUUUUACUUAAUUGUUGUUGAACAAUUUGAUUAGUACUUGUAAUAUUUUUUUGAUAUUAUUGUGACAUUUUGAAUAAAGUUUCUGUGUUUUUGUUAUUAGUUUGUCAUGACCAUUACAAAUGUGAUUAAUGAGUCUAGUAAAUGCAUAAUAUUUGGCUUAUAAUAGUGUUGCUAAUUAUUUUCAAAUAAAAAACUUAUUAUAAUUGAACUUGUAUCAUCAUUUUAUAAUGUGCAACAAUAAGCAAAAAAAAGUUACACAAUCUAGUAGUAAUUAAUUCUUUUGAUCAUACAAGAGAUUUAUUUAUUAUAAUAUUUUUAUAACUGAACUUGUAUCAUCAUUUUAUAAUGUGCAACAAUAAGCAAAAAAAAAAGUUACACAAUGUAGUAGUAAACUUUGUUUGAUCGAUACAAGAAAUUUAUUUAUGAUAUUUUUCAAAUGAACUCUAAGCUGGAGCAGGAGCACCAUGGCUAGAGCAAUGUUUCUCAACAUAGUUGUUAACGAAAGGGUUACGGAAGGAUCUGAAAACCGUAUGCUUACAACUUUCAUUCAACGUCUUGAUCGUAGCACAACAUUCAGAACCAACGGUUGUUUUUUUGGUUAACAUCUUCAUCAAACAUUUUGUUACCAUCUUGUAACUGGAAAAACACUCCUUUAAUUCCCGAUUUGGGCUGUGUUUCUGGAUAGCCGAGGGCCCCUGAGCGUAACCCGACCAUUGGAGCUCUUCGUCAUCUGUUGGGUCAAUGAAUUGAGAUGUGACACAGCUUGAAAAGAUAAUUAUAGCAAUAAAAAUUGUAAGAUUCUUCAUUUUCUUUGGAUUCUUUGUCGAUGUGAAAUUGAAAAUUGAGAAAAAAUGAAUAUACUUUUAGUUUUGGAUGCCUUUAAGAUGAAACUACGUCAGGGUUUAUAUAGAAGUUUACAAUGAAUACUUUUAUAGCAUAUACAAACAAAAUAUAGAAAGAAUCAUGUCUAUAAUUGUUUAUAUUCGAUUAAGGACAUAAAUCUAAAAUUUGCAUGUUGUUAACCCAAAAAGAUUGUAUAAUAUCUUAAUGUUGACCAAAAAUAUGGUAUAAUAUCAUAAUAAUACUCUGAGAUAAUAUCAUUUAAAUAGUAUUUGUGCUAAAUAAGUUUUGUAUGUAUUUGAAAUUUAUUAUAAUUUUGAUAAAUUAAAUUUUUAGAUAAAAAUGGAUAGAUAAUUUUGAUUGGUUAACAAUAUAAGAAUAACAUUAAAUUAUAUUAAAUUAUAUUAAUCAUCUUAACACAUGCAUCUCCAUAUCAUAUAACAAAUAUGAUUUUAAAGAUUGGGUCAAGCAAUUUAGAUUUCAAUUUUAAUUUUAAUUUUUGUUAUUAGUUAUUUAAUUACUUACGUAAUAGGAUAAAUUUCAGUUGAUCAGUCUUCAGUCAAAAUCAUUAGAACAUACAAAAUAAGCAAAAUUGUUUAAAAGUAUGAAGAAUGUGACAAAUAGGUAAAAUCUCUGAUUAAGAUUUUAUCCUAAUUCUUAUUUUACUUAUUUAAUUAAUUUAAAAUAAUAAGAUAAAUUUGAAUUGAUGAUUCCUCAAUCAAAAUCAUACGAGUUCGAUAAAUAAGAAAAUUAUCUAAAAUUAUGGUGAAUAUAACAAAUAAAGAAAAUCAUUUUCAGAUAAUAAUAAUAGUAUAGAUAGAAGAUGGCCACCGUAUAACGAGGAAAAAAGUAACAAAUUAACAUCGCCUAUUACAAUUUUUUCAUUUGCACAACAUUAUCUCAAAUUAACAAAUAUCAAAUAUUAGGAUAAGGUUCACAAAUUAAAUCUUAAAAAAUAACUAUGAACACAUGACAUAAACCCCUUAAAAACAGAGUUAUGAUUAAUUCAAAAUAAUCUUCUUCUUUUUUUUUUGUAGAAGAGUUGUCAUUAAUUCAGAAUAAUAUGUUGUUAAAUGAAUCAGAUUAUAUUUCUUUUGUAUAGAAAACAACUAAAUUCUGCCAAAAAUAAUAAAAACUAGUAUGUAUUGAAAUAAAGCUGACAACCAAAAAUAUUAUAGCGACAAAAAAAAAAAAACUAAACCUAAAAUCAUUAUUUUUUUGAAGAUUUAAAAUUAUUCUUUUGCAAGUUCAACUAAAAGCUUGUUGUCACUGUUCUCUACUUUAUGUUUAAGCUUCAGUAGAAAACAAACCAUCAUACUCUACUGGAAAAGCCAAAAAAAAAAAAAAACUUUCAAAUAAGCUUUUAAGUUUUUGAUGUAGCUUAUUAUGCUUCUGAUUUCUGUUAAUGUUAAAACAUAUAAAAAUUUACCAAAGUUGCAUAACUUCUAACUUCUCUUGACAAAAUUAAAAACAAUGUUGACAUUAUAUGGUUAAAUUAAAAAAAAAAAUUGUUCGGCCAUUUACAACUUAUAACUUUCAUGUCGAAUGUCGAGUAAAGUGACAGUAAAAAAACAUGUGAUGGCCAGAGACUAGUGAUAAAGCAUUAUCAAUAAAGCAUUUGCAUUAAUGCGGAGAUUGAAGGUUUUUACUUUGUUGUUGUUGAACAAUUAAAGUUUCGUUUGAUUAGUACUUGAAUAUAUUUUGAUAUUAUUGCGACAUAUUGAAUAAAGUUUCUGUGUUUUUGUUAUUAGUUUGUCAUCCAUUACAAAUAGUAUUAGUGAGUCUAGUAAAUGCAUAAUAUUUGGCUUAUAAUAGAGUUCCUAAUUAUCUUCAAAUAAAAACAGUCUUAUUAUAAUUGAACUUUUAUAAUGUGCAACAAUAAGCAGAAGAAAAGUUACACAAUGUAGUAGUAAACUCUUUUGAUAAAUAUGAGAGAUUUAUUUAUGAUAUUUUUCAAAUAAACUCUAAGCCGGAGAAGGAGCAGUAGCAUCGUGGCUAGAGCAAUGUUUCUUAACAUAGUUGUUAACAAAAGGGUUACGGAACGAUCUGAAAACCGUAUGCUUACAACUUUCAUUCAAUGUCUUGAUCGUGGCGCAACAUUCAGAACCAACGGUUGUUUUUUCGGUUAACGUCUUCAUCAAACAUUUUGUUACCAUCUUGUAACUGGAAAAGCAUUCCUUCAAUUCCUGAUUUGGGCUGUGUUUGUGGAUAGCGGAGGGUGCCUGAGAGUGACCCGACCAUUGGAGCUCUUCGACAUCUGUUGGGUCAAGAAACUGAGAUGUGACACAGCUUGAAAAGAGAACCACAGCAACAAAAAUGGUGAGAUUCUUCAUUUUCUUUUGAUUAUUUGUCGAUGUGAAAUUGAGAAAAAGUGAAUAUGCUUUUAGUUUUAGAUGACUUUAAAAUGAAACUACGUCAGGGUUUAUAUAGAAGCUUACAAUGAAUAUUUUUAUAGCA
rnacentral:lncRNA from 1 species